AUGAAACCCUAAGAAUCUUCUUCGAAACAAUGGCUAAUCCUGCACUGUGAUUCAACAGUUCCGCCCUUCCCUCAGCGCAUUUGCAUAGCAAAUUCAGCGCCAUAAGCAUCAAUUCGGAAGCCCUUUUGUCAGAAGAAUCGAGUAAAAGGUCAAUCAACAAGGGCACUGCUCCAGCUUCCACUGCUUUAAUCCUGUUUUUUUCCCAUGGACAUACCUUGAUAAGAACUUUCAGUGUGGCUUUGGAGACCUUCCGAGAGAUUUGAUCGUUCAAGAUAUCUACUAAUUCGUGGAAGAAUUCGGGUCUGAGACUGAUCGGUUGAUUUGGAUCAGCCACUUCGAACAUGGAUUUCAGAAACAUGACAGCAUAGACACGAGAAUCAUAGCUCCCGGAUUGCAUGACGCUCGUUAAGGACUGGAUUAACUCGAUAUUAUUCUGCAAGAGGGAUUUUAGCCCGGAUCCCGAUAGAUGGAGAUUAUAGAGAAUGCUCAAGGCUUCAGAUUGGAUAAACCGCCGGAGAAUAAUGUUUGGGAUCAAUUCUGAAUCCAUAACCACUUGCUUUGUUACCGGGCAAGUAUUAUUAUUCUGAGAAAACAGCCAUUUUUCGAUGCUCUCCCGAUCAUAUGUUAUACCGGUAGAGAGCGUAACAGGAUCCUUCAUAAUCUCUAGACUGAUGGGGCAGAGAAAGUAGGAUGGAAUUUCAAUUUCAUCCAUAGAAGAAGAAGUAAUUACAAAGAUUUGAUAAACCUAAGAUCUGAUCCAAGAAAAAGGUGACUAUACAAUUUUAAGCAAGAAAAUUAAAGUGAAGAGAAGUACAAAAAUUUUGUAAGCUAUAGAUGAAAAUCGAAGAAAGUGAAGUUCUUGUGGAGUUGAGUGGAUUGGUUUAAGGAGGAUAUGGUUUUAUAUGUGUCUAUAAAGAGAGGUAAAGAUUCAAAAUGUCAAAGUCAAAACACGGAAAAUUUUGUGUGUUCAGUUUGUGUGAAGGAAAGAGUAUUAUUGUUUUUUUUUUAUUACAACAAAUAAAAUUUGGACUUGGACUUUUCUAACAUGCAAUUUGCAAAUGACAACUUUACAAAUAAUUUUCUUACUUAAAUUAAAACACGUGAUCAAGUCAUGUUUAAUUACCAUGAAGGAGUAAAACAGAAGAAUCUGAGUUUGGAAAAGUUCAAUUUUGGUUUAAUUAGUUCACGAAAGUAACUUCGACCCGUUAUUAUUAUAAUUAUUUUUAUAAAUUUUUAUUCAAUUCAGUUGAACCGACGUAGUACUUUUAUCUUAACAAAAAGAAAAAUUGCUAAUCUAUGAGGUGAGUUGUCGAAAAUAAAGUAUAGAGAAAUAAAUUUAUUUCCUCUUUAAAAGUUUCAAGAUAAGAUAAUUCAAUGUCGAGUAUUGUGUUUGUAAGUCUUUUCGCAAACAUAAUUUUAACAAGAAAUCAUAUAUUUAAGAGAAAAAUGAAUUAUUUCUUGUCUUUCAAAAAUAUGUAUGGUACUUCUAAUUUUAUGACUGAAACAUAUCUCAAAAUCUAGUUCCUUUUGAAAAUAUAAAAUAUAAGUAAAUAAAUCCAUUUCUCUCUUUAAUCAUCGAAAACUUUUAUACAAUGUGAAUUAUUACCAAAAAGAAAUAAAAAAUCCUCACAAUUUUGAAUUUUUCAUUAUGUAGUUAUAUUCUGAGACUCCGAAUUAAAUAGAACAACACAAAUUCUUAGAUAUGGAUAGAUAAAGCAAACUGUCACACUAAAUUUAUUGUUAAUAAAUACGAUAACAAUAUUUCAUAAAAUAAUUUUUUCAAUCCAUUUUCGUACAAUAAUUCAAUACAAAACUAAAGUCGUUCUUAAUUUUUUUGGUUCGCGCAUUCCAUCACCGACACCAACUGAUCAUAAAUGCAGGAUGGACCUACCAGUAGGUUUGCAACACAUGUAUGUGUAUUAAUCCAUAGCUGGCUGCCGAUAUUGACCAAAGCUGGUUGGCAAUGGCUCGGACUACAUGGAGUUUUUAUUUAAUCUUGGCUCUAUUUGUUUCUCUUUGUUUAAGUCAACCCAAAAAAGUUAAAUUUUAUUGGAUUUUAAUUUCAUAAAAUAAUUUAUAGUCACAAAUAUUAUAUAUGUUUAUGGAACAAUAAAUUUCGAGACGAGUUUACUCAUACAAUGAUAGGAUGAACAAAGCUAUAGACGUAAAAGUCUAAGAUGAGGAAAAUAUUAUUUUCACAAUUAAUUAAUUAUUGAAAAUUCUGAGAAUAAGUAAUUACAGAAAUUUGAGAACGAAAGGUUGAGCUUUAAAGCAAAAUGGACCAAGUUUAAUAUUUGUUGACUAUUUUUAGUCAACCCCCCACAUGCCAAAUUGCGAGACUAUCAUCUUUUAUUGCUUAAAGGGAACUUUUCAAUUGCUUUAUGUGACCUUUGGGGCACUGAUUUACCAUUUGAAUAGUCCUAAUUCCAAGGUUUGGAUUCAUACUGGGGAAGCUCUUUUUGUUGUGAGAUACGGUAAUACCCCAAACUUCACGUUAGAUAUUUGGCUAAUAUGAUUCAUGUAUUUCAUGCUAAUUACAUUGUCAUUUGCAUCAAUUUUCUAAUUGCUUUAUCUUAAAACGGUAUAUUCGAUCAUUAAGUCUUUAAAAUCUUUACAUGGUGAUAAUCUUCGACUCCUCGACCUAGGUGGUGAACUUUACAUUGAGCUAUGAUAGAAAAUUAAGUUAACUAAAUGUUGGAGAUUGGCUUGGUAAGUAAUGAAAAAUCGAAAGUGUUGGAAAUUAGUAUCGACAAAGGUUCAAACUUUUCAUUCGGCUGAUCGAGGUCACUUUAAACCAUAGAUAGGUAAUUGCCAUAUUUGGGACAUGAUGCAUGAAGUGACAUGAUCAUGACAUAAUAAUAUAUGUCUCAUAUGACGUUAUAAAUUUUUAGGUGCGAAUUGUUGAAAUCGGUUGACAAUCGGUGUAAAUCGGGUAAGAAAUUAAAUGAACGGUUGAGGAAUUAGCUCUAUAAUAUAUUUUGGGAUCUUAGGGCAAGUGAAAUGGAUUAUAAACAUGUCAAAAUAAGCCAAGGAUUCUUGAUUUGUACCUGCAAAGAUAGAUAUAAAAUCAGAUUAUACAACAAGUGACCACCUCAUGCUUGAACACCUUGUGCUUAGGAUGUUUAUCAUUUUAACACUCAAUUUCUUCAACUUUAAGACAUCGAUCUCGUCUUUACUCCCUAAGAACUUAAUAUAGGAUGAAUAUAUAUCUUAAAGGUCACAAAUGGAUCCAAAUAUAAUGGUUGAAAGUCAAGUAUUUCUGCAAAGAUGACACAUCAUGUUUGGACAGCUCAUGCUUAAGGAUACUUGUCCUUUGUUCACAUUUUUCUUCACCCUUAAGCAAUAUGUGUGACCUCAACCACUUAAAGAUCACUCAUUCACCUCAUAGAUAAUAUAUUAACUCCCUUAGCUCGUCUCUAAGUGAUUCCAAGUGAAAAAGACGGUGAAAAAGUCAAAGAGAAAUAGAAACAAGAAACUGGAAUUUCCGGACAGCUUUGUUACUUCACGAUUUUGAGGUUUGUAUCCUUUGUAAGGAUUUAUAAUUUAUUGAAUAUUUGAACUUGCUUGUGAGUAGGUUGCAGUAUUGUUAACGAUUUUAUGAUCCCAAAAUAGGGGUAAUUAAUUACAAGAAUUUAAAAGAAAGUAAUCUGGACAGAGAUCAGGAUUUGCUAGAUUUGAAUGGUUUAAACUUGGAUUUUGGAUAAUACUUUAGAUAUAACUUGUAUCUAUGUAAAUGAAUGUUGUUGUAUGAGAGUUAGAAGAAUAGAAAUGGUCUUCUAAUAGCCUAGAAUCUGAUUGGUGACAUGCUCGUAAAAUGGAAACCGAAAACAGUCAUAGGAAAAUAAAACUGCCUGAUUUUGUGCAGUGGAAAAUGUACUGUUUUUGAAGCUCAAAACCCUUCAUUUGUUACAACCUUAUGAUCUGAUUAUCUUCACAUAUAUGUUAUAGGUCGGUGGUAAGAAUUUGGGAGUCAUCGGAUAUAGUUAAGGAGGUGAAAAAGGAUUGGAAAAAUAAUUGGAUAGUAAUGAAAAUCUGAAAACAGAUUCUGCCCAUUUGUGUUUUUAAUGUGAUUUCAACAUUUACAUAUCCAUUAAUUAUCUCUUGACCCUAGAAAAUAGAUUCUAAUGAGUACUAGGUUGUCGACAACAAUUGGAUGACAUUGACGUUCAUAACUGGACUUGAGAAAUAGCGAGACUUAUGGGAUUAGUUUGUAAUGCCAUCGGUAACUUGAAAUAAUGAUUUCAUCUAAAUUGUUUUGGCGUGAAUGGACACAUUUCGGGAUUGUGUGUGUUAAAGUUAUUAAAUGGAGGACUAUCUUUAAUAUUAGAUGGUAAUACAGGUGAUUUUUCGACGUUGAGCGAAAAGGAAAUUGAUAUACACUUCGUAGGAGUUUGCACACACAAAGGCGAAAGGUAAGUAAAAAUUCAUUUCCAGCUAUGAUACAAGAACCUAGUAUUUGUGAUAUGGUAAUGUUAAAAUAUCUACAUAACUUUGAUAAGAGGCAUAUAGCACAUUAUAUGAUGGUUAUAAUCGUUGAGUAUGAGGUUGUGGAACCUAUUGACAUCGAUUUUUAUUAAAUAUAUCAUUCAUGAGCAUUUUCAUAUGCAUGCAUGACAUGUGAUCAUGGUUCAAAUUCCUGCAUGCGAAACAUGAUUCCAAAGUGAGUUUUCUUUAUAAAUGUUUUAUUGAUCACUAUUAGGGCACCGAGGCAUGUGAGACAUGCUUAUGUAAUAUGUUAGACAUCUCGAGUGAUACUUCCUGAGUGAUUGCAAAGGUAGAUAGGGGAUGAACCUUUGGUGAUCACGGGAGGGUGAACCACUCAAUUGUACCCUUAUGAUAUUAUGAUUAUUAGCGCUGCCAGGUGGGAGACUUCUUGGGUGAUCAUAGGGGUAAUUAGGGGAUGAACCUCUAGUGAUCACGAGAGGAUGGUCUACUCGCAGGUGUCGAUUUCAUAUUGAGCAUUUGAUUAUUGAUAUUGAUAUUAUGCAGAGCUCUAUCCGAUGUAUAGUAGGUGGGUCAAGGGCCCUAUGAAAUGAAAUGUUUCAAAUGAAAUGAUUUCGAGUUGAUUUUGAUGAAUAUUUGAAUAUGAUGCUUCUUUAUCGUGAUAUUUAAAGUAAAUAGCAUAGUUGUAUAUAUCAUUAUUAUUCAUAUUCAUGACAUGCAUGAAUUUUGCUUACUAAGCAUUGGUUUAUGUAAUUCUUACAUUGUAGGUGAGUCUGGAACUACAUAGAGAGCACGACUAGUUGUGGAGCUCUUACGGGAUUCCAGAGUUCGAUGCACAUGGAUGAUGACUUGUAGGGUUAUUUUGUGGGUUGCUAUUUUGAGCUUAUGGCCUAUUGCGUUGUAUGUUGGGGAUCUUGUGUUGUAUAUCUUUUGGCAUGGCAUGUAGACAUGUUUAUAAUCUCAGAAUAUAUAUGUUUGAUUAUGACGAUAUGAUUUUGGUUUAGAGAUAUAGCUUAUGUUGUUUUGUCAGGUGAAAAAAAAUGUGUGAAACUCUAUGUCUAGGUGACAUAGAUUAAAUUUGAAGCAUAUAACUACAGAAAAUGAUCAAAACUGAUAUUAGGAUAAUCUUUUAAAAUAUUGUAAUGGUUAAUGCAUUAGAUUAACUUAAUAUUCUAUCACAUAACAGUCAUCAUUUAAUUAUAAAUUAUGAGGGUAUGUAGUUAAUGUUUUAAUGAACUAACAUGCAGUAAUUUUAGCUAAAGAUUACUUGAAUUGUGAAAAGCAAAAUGUUUAUAUUUAAUAUCUUAUUUUAGUUUAUGAAUUAAUAAUAAAAAGAAAUUUAUUGAUAAGUUUACAUUUAUUAAUAGUUUGAUUAGGUAUUAUUAUACAUCUAGUUCGCGUGGAGUCCACAUAUGAGAUAACUAGGAAUUAGACGCCAUGUUGGCUAUUGUCCUCUACCAUAUAUACGGAGGCCUAUCUUAAUUCCUACUUGCGUGCUUGGUUGGUGUGAUUGUAUGAUUCUAAAUAUCCAUUCAAAAUCUUAGACGAUCAAAAGAAGAUCCAGAAGAAUAAUCAUUAAAUAGGUAAUUCUUUUUUAAAGAAACAAUAUCAUAAUUAUGAUAACUGUGCGAUACGACAUGUACUAUUGACCUAAUUUAACCUAAAUUCAUCUAUAAAUACAUACGCUUGGUUCAAAGAAAAGAUACACAACAUUGGACUCUAGCCAAAGUUUUGUUCAUUUGUCUCUUUCACAUAAAAUUUAUUCUCUAAUAUUUUUUGACAACUGACUUGAUCGUUUGAAUGUAAAUGUACAAGAUAUGAUCCAAAAAAGUGACGUUGAAUUUUAAAGUGCAAAGAAGGUAUAAGUUGGAAGCAACAACUACAAAUUGUUCUGAAAUAAAAGUUGAAUAACGUAUACAUUUUUACUCAUAGAAGAUAGCGGAGUGCAUUUCUUACUAAGCAUUUUUUUUUUUUAUUUUUUAUAAAUAAUGUUAGUGGGAGAUCAUAAAUUUAUGGGGAAUACCAUGGUGAAUUUAUGAAUAUUAUUUCAAAAUAACUUUAAGGGGUACAAGGCACACCAGUUUACUACAUAAACCGAAUCAGGAUCCCAUUCUUCAUAUAUUUCAAUAUAACUAGUGAGUUAACGUAUGUUGCACGUUAAUUGAUUAAUGUUUAAAAUAAACGUAUGUAAAUUUUAGAAAAAUUCUUUUAUAAAUUUGAAAGAUAUUCAUAAAUUCGUUGAAAUUGACUUAUUAUUCAUCAAGUUUCUCUGUAUAUUUUUUAUUUUUCAUAUCAACAUUUGAGAAUUUGCAUAUAUUUGUACUAGACAUUUCCCUGUAGAAAAGUUUGUGGGAAAUUUUUUUAUGCGAAAUAUACUUCUCUAUAUAUAUUAGCUCAACCUAAAAUAUGAUUUAACACACUCAAACAUUGCCCCUAAUUCAUAUUAUGAGUAUAAUAAUUAAAUAUCACCAAGAUAUGCAACAUAACAAUAUCUACACUAUUGCAUUAAAAAUGAUUUUUCAUGAUGACAGGAAUUAUGCAGAAUCAUAAAUUAUGGCUUAAAAUGUUAAAUGCAAUUUCAUGUAUCAACCUUCUUCCAAAGACAUGAUUUUGUAAUAUUGCAAAAAUGUAAUUAGAACAUUAGAAAAUAAUGUAGACAUGGACAUAAAUAUAUAAAGGGAGAAAACUUCUUCAAACUUUUCAAAGUUCAAUUAAAAAGAAUUUUAAAUCGAACAAAAAAUUAUUUAUAAUAUGAAGAAAAAAGAAAUUUUAUAUUUUUUUCGAAAAAUAUAAUAAAAAAAACUAAGCAAAAGAAAAUUACAAAAAUUAAAUAAAGAAUAUAUAAAUAUUAUUUAAUUAAAAUUGAAAAAAUUAAGUUUUUUCAUGAAGAGAAAAUAAUUAAAUUUUUUUUAAAUCGAAUAAAAUUAUUUAUAACAUGAACAAAACAAAUUAAAAAAAGAAAAAAGAAAUGAAAAAAAAGAAAAAAGAAAAAUAAAAUCCAGGAUGGAGUUUUCUCCAUCCACAUGAUGGAGGUUUUCUCCUAUAUAAAAAAAAGAUUAUUAUAAAUUUUUUCAAUUAAAUUGAAAUAAUUAAAAUUAAAAUUAAAUAUUAUUUUUUAAUUAAAAUUGAUAAAAUUACAUUUUAUCAUAAAAUGGAAAUAAUUAAAAUAAUUUUAAAUCGAAAAAAAUAUUUGUAAGAUGAAGAAAAAAGAAAUUUUAAAAACAUUUUCAAAAAAAUAUAUAAUAAAAACAAAACAAAUUAAACAAAAAAAAUUAUGAAAAUUAAAUAAAGAAUAUAUAAAUAUUAUUUAAUUAAAAUUCAAAAAAUUAAAUUUUAUUAUGGAGAGAAAAGAAUUAAAAAGAACUUUAAAGCAAAAAAAAAAUUAUUUAGAACACAAACAAAACAAUUUAAAAAAAGAAAAAAUAAAUGAAAAAUGAAAAAUAAAAUCUAGGAGAACCCCAAACUUCCAUCUCCCCGUCCAGAUGAUGGAGGUUUUCUCCUAUCCUUUAAAAAAAAAAAAAAAAAAAAAAAAAAACCUUAANNNNNNNNNNNNNNNNNNNNNNNNNNNNNNNNNCUUAAACUUGAUGUAGCAGGCAAAAAUAGAAAAAAAAAGAAAAAGAAAAAGAAAGAUUAUCAUAAAGGUUUUUAAUUAAAUUGAAAAAAUUAAAAUUUAAAAUGAAUAUUAUUUUUUAAUUGAAACUGAAAAAAUUACAGUUUAUCAUAAAAUGAAAAUAAUUAAAAGAAUUUUAAAAAGAAAAAAAUAUUUAUAAUAUGAAGAAAAAAGAAAUUUUAAAACAAUUUUCAAAAAAUAUAUAAUAAAAACAAAAAAAAUUAAACAAAAGAAAAUUAUGAAAAUUAAAUAAAGAAUAUAUAAAUAUUAUUUAAUUAAAAUUGAGAAACUUAGGUUUUAUUACGGAGAGAAAAGAAUUAAAAAGAAAUUUAAAACGAAAAAUAUUAUAUGUAACAUGAACAAAACAAUUAAAAAAAAAGACAACUUAAAUGAGAAAAAAAAAAAGAAAAAAGAAAAAUAAAAUUGAGGAGAACCCCAAACCUCCAUCCUGGAUGGAGGUCUAAACCUUCCCAUCCAGAUGAUGGAAGUUUUCUCCUACCCUUAAAAAAAAUAAAUAAAAUAAAAAAUAAAAAAUCUUAAACUUAAUGCAACAGGCAAAAGUAGAAAAAAAAAAGAUUAUUAUAAAGUUUUUUCAUUAAAUUGAAAAAAAUUAAAAAUUAAAAUAAAUAUUAUUUUUAAUUAAAAUUGAAAAAAUUACAUUUUAUCAUAAAACGAAAAUAAUUAAAAGAAUUUUAAAUCGAAAAAAAUAUUUAUAAUAUGAAGAAAAAUAAAUUUUAAAAUAAUAAAAAAAACAAAUUGAACAAAAGAAAAUUACGAAAAUAAAUAAAGAACAUAUAAAUAUUAUUUAAUUAAAAUUGAAAAAAAUAAGUUUUAUUAUGAAGAGAAAAGAAUUAAAAAGAAAUUUCAGUUGAAAAAAAAAUAUUUAUAACAUGAACAAAACAAUUUAAAUAAAAACAAAUGUGGAAAUAAGAAAAAAGAAAAAUAAAAUCUAGGAGAACCCAAACCUCCAUCCUGGAUGGAGGUCUAAACCUCUCCAUCCAGAUGAUGGAGGUUUUUUCCUAUCCUUAAAAAAUAAAAAAAUAAAAAAAAAUUCUUAAACUUGAUGAAGCAAGCAAAAAUAGAAAAAAAAAAGACUAUUAUAAAGUUUUUUAAUUAAAUUGAAAAAAUUAAAAAUUAAAAAUUAAAAUGAAUAUUAUUUUUUAAUUAAAAUUGAAAGAAUUACAUAUUAUCAUAAAACGAAAAUAAUUAAAAGAAUUUUAAAUUGAAACAAAUAUUUAUAGUAUGAAGAAAAAAGAAAUUUUAAAACAAUUUCCAAAAAAUAUAUAAUGAAAACAAAAUAAAUUAAACAAAAGAAAGUUACGAAAAUUAAAUAGACAAUAUAUAAAUAUUAUUGAACUAAAAUUGAAAAAUUGAUUUUUAUCUUGGAGAGAAAAGAAUUAAAAAGAAUUUUAAAUCAAAAAAAAAUAUUUAUAACUUGAACAAAAUAAAUUAAAAAAGAAAAACGAAAAAUAAAAUUCUGGAACAGAUGGACUAAUCCAAAUGCUAUCUUUUCCAAGACAUAAACAUUAUAUACUGUUUGUGAUAUUGAAAAAUUUAGACAUAUAUGGACACGAAAUUUUGAAGCAUCAAAUCAAAAAUAAAAUAAACUAUUUGAUUGAAAAGAAGUCUCCAAACUUCAAAACAUUAAUUAUAUGAUAAAAAACCUAAAUAAACAAGAACUAGCAUCACGGAGCUCCUGCUCCUGCUCCUACUCCUGCUGGAUGGAACUUUGCUCUACUGCACUUAUUUUGAGUCACAUUCAUCAUUUUAAAAUCUAGACUUCUCUGCUAAUUCAAAUCAAACUAAAGUAUUAAAUUCUCCAAAAUUCUAUCAAUUCACAUAAAAAAAAAAGAAAAAGAAAAAGGAAAAGGAAAACCACAAAACGAAAAGAUAAAUAAAAAGAAACUUACAUUAAUCAGUAGUCUGCAACUCGAUUUCGAUUUGAUUUCAAGGAAGAAGAAGAAGGAAACUCAUGUAUAAAAAAGCUUGCAAUGUUAGUUUCAAUUAAAAAGAAAAAUGUAGUAGAUUAUACUUAAAAGAAUAGAACAAAAAUACCUAGAGUGCAAGUCGAUAUCUGAGGAAUUGAUGAUCCCGUAAUAAUAGCACGUGCAAUUGAGAAAUUAUAAUUUAGGAAUUUUUGAUUUUUGUAAAAAAAAAAAAAAAAAAAAAAGGGAAAAAAGGGGAAAAAAAAAAAAGCAAAGAGGGGUUUUUUUAAAAAAAGGGGAAACUNNNNNNNNNNNNNNNNNNNNNNNNNNNNNNNNNNNNNNNNNNNNNNNNNNNNNNNNNNNNNNNNNNNNNNNNNNNNNNNNNNNNNNNNNNNNNNNNNNNNNNNNNNNNNNNNNNNNNNNNNNNNNNNNNNNNNNNNNNNNNNNNNNNNNNNNNNNNNNNNNNNNNNNNNNNNNNNNNNNNNNNNNNNNNNNNNNNNNNNNNNNNNNNNNNNNNNNNNNNNNNNNNNNNNNNNNNNNNNNNNNNNNNNNNNNNNNNNNNNNNNNNNNNNNNNNNNNNNNNNNNNNNNNNNNNNNNNNNNNNNNNNNNNNNNNNNNNNNNNNNNNNNNNNNNNNNNNNNNNNNNNNNNNNNNNNNNNNNNNNNNNNNNNNNNNNAAAAAAAAAAAGUACAGACGAAAAUAAUUAAAAGAAUUUUAAAUUGAAGAAAAAAAUAUUUAUAAUAUGAAGAAAAAAAAUUUUAAGACAAUUUUAAUAAAUUUAUAAUAAAAAAAAAUAAAUUAAACAAAAAAAAGUUAUGAAAAUUAAAUAAAGAAUAUAUGAAUAUUAUUUAAUUAAAAUCAAAAAAAUAAGUUUUAUCAUGAAGAGAAAGAAAUAAAAUGAAUUUUAAAUCGAAAAAAAUUAUUUAUAAUAUGAACAAAAUAAAUUAAAAAAGAAAAAAUAAAAGAGAAAAAAAAAUAAAAACGAAAAAUAAAAUCCAAGAGAACCCUAAUCCUCUAUCCAUGAUAAAGAUUUUUUUUUUUCAAAACCUCCAUCUUGGAUGGAAGUCUAAAUUGGAACGGAUGAACUAAUCCAAAUGCCAUCUUCUCCAAGACAUAAAUUUUAUAUACUGUUUGUGAUAUUUAAUAAUUUAGACAUAUGUGGACAUGAAAAUUUGAAACAUCAAAUCAAAAAUCAAAUAAACUCUUUGAUUGAGAAGAAAUUUCCAAACUUGAAGAUAUUGAUUAUCUUACAAAAAACCUAAAUAAGCAAAAGCUAGUUGCAUGGAGCUUCUGCUCUUGUUGGAUGGAGCUUUGCUCAACUGCACUUAUUUUGAGUCAAAUUCAUCAUUUUAAAAUCUAUAUUUUUCUGCCAAUUCAAAUCAACCUAAAGUAUUAAAUUCUCCAAAAUUCCAUCAAUUCACAAAAAAGGAAAAUAAAAAAAAAAAGAAAAAGAAAAAGAAAAGGAAAAAGAAAAUCACAAAACGGAUUUUUAAAUAAAAAGAAACUUACAUAAAUCAGUAGUCUGCAACUCGAUUUCGAUUUGAUUUCCGGAAGAAGAAGAAGGAACCUCAUGUAUACAAAAGCUUGCAAUGCUAGUUUUAAUUAAAAAGAAAAAUGUAUUAUAUGUAUACAAUCUAUUUUAUUUUAGAUUAUACUUAAAAGAAUAUAACAAAAAUACCUAGAAUGCAAAUCGAUAUUCGAGGAACUGAUGAACCCAUAAUAAUAGCACGUGCAAUUGAGCAAAUUAUAAUUCAGAAUUUUUUGAUUUUUGUAAAGAAGAUGAAGAAGACCUGAGCAAUGGAGAGAAAUGGUCGAUUGAGUGAAAAAAUAGAGAAAUGGUAUGGCUACAUCUAGUUUGCCCAACACAAUAAAAAAUAAAUAAAAGUAGAGGACGAUAUAUAUUGGAGAUACGUGUCCAGCCAAUGCUUUCGCUCUUUUAUAUAUGUAGGAUAUUGACAAAAUAACGGUAGUUAGGUCAUCUCCAACGCAAGACAUGAAAUUUGUAAUACUUUCAUACAAUUUUGUAAAGUUACUUUCAAUCCAUUAUACCAAAUACUGCAUCAAAUGAAUAAUGUUUCAUUUAUUUCCUUAUCUUUUAAUUAUCAAAAAUUAAUUUAUUUCAAGAAUUAUUUAAUUAUAAAUUAUAUUCUACUGAAAUACCAGAUUAAAAAUUAAAUUAAAUUAACUAAACUAUUAAAUUUAUUAAUAAAUAUAAAAGGCUUUACACUUAAUACGACAAUUGAAAAAUUAUGACACUUAACACACAAAAUAAAUUUUUUACAUACAAUAAAAAAUUAUAUCAUAAAUUUUAUUAAAAGUAAUGAUCAAAUUAAAAUAAAUAAAAUUAAAGUUAAAUCAUCAAGGAUAAAAUUUGUUAGUACAAAAUGAAGAGGAAAAUGGGAAUUAUGAAAAACUCUAAAAGUCAUACUAAAUGAAUAGUGUUGUAGCAAAUUUAGUGCAACAUUGUUAAUUGUACCAACUUGAUGUAAAGAUUUAUGAAUAUUGCUAUUUAUACAUAAUGAUAUUAUAUAAUGAUUUACAUAUAGAUGAAGUGUCAAAAAGAGAUUGUGGAAGAUUUUUUUUAUUUAUUUAAUUGAAAAAUUCUAAAUCAAUUAUAUCAACUACAUUAAACCAUCAUAUAAAUCAUUAUGUAUAUAUAGCACAACUGUAAAUUUAAUAUUUGGUUUGAGUGAUAUUUGCACCAAUGCAAAGUGAUUUGAGAUAUAACUGUAGUAUUCUAGACAAGACAAGUGACGGGGCUUUGCUGCACCAAGUCUUUGAAAUUAUAGUAUAGAACAGAACUUAAACCCUUCAAAAAGAAUGAAAUAUUAUGUCUCAAUUUAUUGUUUGCAGUUUAGUUUUGAAAUUUAUUUCAUUUUAUGUUAUGUAAUUGUGAUCUCGUAGACAUAUUUUAAAGAAGAAUUGAUAAUUUUAAGGGGAUUCAAAGUUCAAUUAUUUAAUGAAAAAAUAUUUCUAGUUUACGUUUGGGCUCUAUUUUUUCAAAUUAUAAUGAUAGGAAUAGUAACUUUUUGAAGAAUUUGUGGUUAAAAAAAAAGGACAAUUUUUUAGGUUUACGAAUAAUAUUAUUUUAUUGGAGAAUGUGUGGUUGAUAAGAAAAGAGAGAAAAAUAAAUUUUAAUUUAAUGGAGACCGAACAGAAGUUAAAAGUGUUCGUUACGAUCAAAAGUCUCAAUUUAGUUAUACUAUGAUGUUACAAAUCAGCUAAUACUUAUUCUUGAUUAUUUUUAAAAAACCAGAAGAUUUUUAUUUUAAAUUCAUGAAGUGUGAACAUGUACAGAUUGAAUCAUAUUCACACACCUAUUUUUAAAAAUAAAUAAAGUGCUUUUAAUGGUAUUUACUUUAUAUAUUUAUUAUGACGCAAUUUUUUUAGCUUAAUUAAUCCAUAAGAAUAAAUAGUGGUUAGCUGUGUACAUGACAGCAUUAAUUAAAUUUAUCAAAAUGUCAUGACUUUUUGAGGAGAAGACGUGUUGGAGAUGAGCAUUCAGGCUCCAUUAUUAUUUAAAAAAUAAAAGUAAAAGAGAAGUAUAAUAUUAAAAAAAGAAUUUAAAAAGAUUAAGAAAAAACACAAUAAUCUUUCCAAGGUGGCUGCCCUCACACCACCACCACCAUCAUAAUCCCUCAUCAACCAUUAAUAUUGAUCGACGAAAUUCACCAAGUACACGAUAUCAUAGAUAAAUAAUAUAAUAAUAAAUAAAAUAUUGUCCCGCAAACAUAUGUACUUAAUCUAGUUUUGAUUAAUAUGUGUUCAAUUUGAUUAAUAAGAAUUCUAAUUGAAUAGCCAAGUUUUGACGAUGAAUUUCUAUAAAUAGUUAACUAACUAAUCUAAUUGAUGAGCAAUUAUUAAAGCUCUUGUUAAACCGAUUUAAAUAUGAACAAAGAUUUCAAAUCCCCAUUUAUUAAUUUAUUUUAUUACAAAGACCAUGACAAUAGUUAUUUAUUCUUGUUGAUUAAUGUUCCUAUUUUGUUUAUAAUCUCUUUCGAGUAUAAUCAAAUAUAUUCUCAAAUGUGACCCUCAUAUAUCUAUACGAAAGAUGCAAACAUGAAAGAAUAAAUUAAAAAUAUUCAAACAACUAUUGAAAUCAUGCAAGACAUAGUAUUAUAUUUUAUCUGUCCUCACAAGAAUUGUUACUAUUUUGCUAUCUUUCCUAUUAUUUAUCUUGGAUAUAAUAAAAAUCACUCAUCAAUCCAAUUAGCGAUCAAUUAAUUGAAAGCGUCAUAUAUAACAAUUUUUCAAGGAAAAGAAAUACUUAACAUCAAAAUCUUGAAAUUAAAAUAAAACUUCAUAAUAAAUGAUUUAUCUAUAUCUUAGCAACUAAAACUUUAGCCUAGCAUUACAAUGUUACAAGAAAUCAUAAAGGAAUAAUCAAACAUAAUCCAAAUUCAAAAUAUAUGAAGAAAGAAAAGAGAAGUCACGAAAUCUUGAAUUUCUUCAAUCUUCCUUGAUAUGUUACCUCUUGACUUACCACAAAAGAAUGAUAUUUUUUACCUCUCUUGAUUGCAAGAAUUUGUAUAGUGUAUGGUAUGAGAGGUGUCUUUAGUUAUUGGAUGAAGAUUUAUAUUUAAAAGCCAAAAUUAGGUCAAAAUCCGUGUUGAAAUUGGUUGAAUCAUCCAAGGAAAGUGUCUCGCCUGGCCAGACUACAGCCACGUGAUUGCAAUAUAUAAAUAUGUGCAAUCGCAUCGUUAAGCACUUUUAUCAUCUGCUUUUGCCAAAUAGAGCGUUGGGAUCACAUCACCUUGUUUCAUGCAAUCACGCCCCUAUAAGUUUAUCAAAUUCUCAAUUUGAUCCCGAAUUUCUUUAUUCAAUCUGAAUCCUUUUUUCAUGUAUGUUUAGUCUUUCAUCUUUUAAUUUUAUUCAGUUUGAUCUCUAUAAUCUGCAGACAUCAUUCUUUGGUUCGAAUUAACUUUUAUACAUUAGUUAGUUCCCAAACUUUGGAAUUCUUCCUUUUUCAUCCUUCUUUGAUUGAUUUUCACUUUUUUUUUUAUUUGAUAUUCGAUGGUAUGACAACCGUUUAUAAUGACCAACAAAAACAAGACACACCACAAUUCGCCUGGACUGUCGACCCAAAUGAGCACUGUAUGUCCAUGCACGACCAUCGACUCCCAUAAGCGCUCUAUGUCCAUGCUUCACUGUCGACUCUCAUGAACACUUUAUGUCUAUACCUGACUAUCGAUCCCCAUGAGUGCUCUACGUCCGUGCUAGGCUGUCGACUCCCAUGGGAUCAUCUACGACUACGUGGCUUGUCCAACACUUAGCCAUAAAAUCGUCAGUAGAUUGGAUGAAGAUCACUUGACGGGGGUCACAAACGCAACCAACUAUCAGAUAGUUGGAGGUCCCCCACUCAGAAUGUGGGAUAGUAGAAGAGGUUACGUGGGACACGUGGCACCGUAACCGCCCAACAUUCCCACGGCUUCAAUCACCUAUAAAUACAUCAAGGCGAAAUAGAUAUGGACAGAGAAAAAAUUUGGCUAUUUGAAUUCCAUUUUUGCUUUCCCUAACACCGUAUACUGAUUCUCAUGCCAGAGAUAAAACGGGGGACAAAGUCUUGCCUUCACUUUUAAGGCAACAUUGGUUCAUCGGAGUAGCAGGAAUACCUUGCGCCGCCAGAAGGGCAUGGAGGUAAUGUUCCACAACUACUUUAUUAUCUUUUUUUCAUCAAAUACAUUUCAAAUUUGAGUUUGUCUUUGAUCAUGAUUUAGAUAAUGUAAUACUUGUGUUUGGUGUUUCAAUUGAUAUUUCACCUAAUAUGUCCUUUGUACUAAGAGAAUGUGCAUCCGUGGAGACAUUUCUUAGUUGAGGCAAGUUAUAUGCAUUGAUGCUUUCUCCUAUGGACUGCAACAAAUCUUGAUCUUGUUUUCUAAAAUCUUCAGGCAUAUGUUCAAAGUAAAGAUCCCAUAAAUUUCUAAAAUCAGUAGGUUCACAAUAAAUCAACAGUGUAGUAAAGAAUCUUCUAAAUGCUCGAGGCAUCUGAAAGGCGACUGCUUCAUCUAAGUAUUUAAUGGUACUUCGAUCGGAUUCAAGAAGCCCUCUUUUUUGGGCCGCUUCUUCAAAAGUCCAAAAUUGACUCCCAUUAACAUUCAUGAGGUCCUCAAAAUACUAUGGUCCUCUUACAAGAUUUAGUAAUAAACAAUAAUAAUAUCUUUUCCCUUCAGUUGGAUUCGCUCCUGCAAUGCAUGAUAUCACUUCUCCUUUUUUCAUCUUUGUCCAUACAUGGGCUUGUCUAUUCCAUACGUAGUGUUCUGGACAUUCUCCAUAUAAGAACAUCGUUCCAUCUUUGUUCUUGUUACACAUUUUGAAAUAUUCAGUCAACAUUGUCCUUGAGACGUGAUCGAAUUGAAUAACUCUAUUUAGAUCUUGGGGUUCUCAAUAAGAUACCGUUUGUUGAUUAGGGAGUUGAAGUUGUAAGUUGAUGACAGCGGGUGACAUUUCAUUCAAUUGGAAUUCAUAAAUUUUCCAUACAGCUUCUUGUGCAAAUACCCAGUUUGCAUCUUGGAAUUCUCGUAUUUCAUUUAUUAUCCUAUUGUCAUCAUCAUGAGAUAUGUAGAUAGCUGUUCUGUCAUGACCUUUUUAGAUAUACUUAUAUAAGUAUUUAACAGCUUUCAAACCGGAACAAAUCUCUACACUAAUAUGAAAAUUAUAUUGUAGAAGCAAAUAUGGAUUGUAAGGAACAACCCAUCUGUUAUCAAAUGUUGCAUUUCAGACUUUCACCUAUGAAUUAGGAAUUGAAGAAAUUUGACUAAUUUUUACGUACGAAUAUCGUAAAUUAAGAAAACUAAUGUUAAUAAGAAUAAUAAUGGUAUUUACCUUAUAUCCAUAAUUUCUUCUUCUAUAUGUUGGAUAUGCAUCAUUUCCUUGCACUGUCUUCGAGGAAAAUGGUCUUGGAUAAUGGAAUCGACAUGUCCCGCUUACUAUACAUGGACAUUUGUUGUUAUAUUCUCCAUAGGGUCCAUGUAGCAUGUGUUUGACAACUACUUUGUAAAGAGUAAAUUUUGUUUCUUUGUCUGGGAUUUCUGCCUACAUAUAUUUGUCAUAUUGGUCAGCAUUUGUGAUUUUGUAACCACUUUUCAAUAUAAUUAAUAUGUGAGCACGUGGAAGUCCUCUUUUUUGAAAUUCAAUCACAUAAACAUAAGCCGCAACUUUGUUAAGAAUCUCUUUUUUCAAUAUUUGAUCUUUUAGGUCCAUUAGCUUUCCUCUAAAGACCCUUGUAGUGAGAUUGGGUCUAUCUUGAGGACGUUGACCUUCUUGGAGUUUGUCUUUUAUUUCUUUCCAUUCCGAAUUACAUGUCAUUGUUAAAAAAAAUCUGGCUUUUCAAAAUGUUGAACUAAUGCCAUAGCAUCCAAGUAAUGAUGUCGCAUGUCUCGUGGACCUCCAAUAAAUGAUGCAGGGAGAAUAAUUCUUUUUCCAACUUCAUCUCUUGUUUCGCCCGCAUUUAUAGUGUCAACGAUUUCCUGAUAUAGUUCUUAUCGAAUGCGUGAUUGUUGUGUUAAGCCUAGUAGUUUCGAGCUUUAUAUACAUGUCAACAAUAUAUUGUUGUAGCAGUCGUCCAAUCCAAAGAAUUAUCAAUUUGCUUGAUGGUCGAAUUUGGAGCUUAUGACAAUAAUGUUCUCGGAAAGAUACUUUUGAUGCUUGGGUUCGGGUAACUCCUGUUAAAAAAUACAAUAAUAUAUAUUAGAUCAUAGUUAUAUGAAAUAUUUUAGAUUAAAUAAAUGCAUUUGUAUGCAAAAAAUGAAUUUCACCAUAGCGUUCUUCUAUGAUGAUAUCCUUUGCAGAAUUAAAUUGAGAGAAAUCGUUGGUGGUUGCAGUUGUACAUACCAUUUUGCUCGUUACAUUAUUUUCAACUCUAUUUCUCUUAAUGUCUUGGUGUCAACCCGCCUCCCCAUUUGGAAAUAGCAGAGGAUAUUGAAGUGAAUCGUAACAACUGAAGUAGUGUCGAAUAAUAUGUCGAUUUCUAGAAUGUGCAUGAACAAUAAUAUUCCUUUCGAAAGGUAUGAGAUCAUCGUUUCUUUCUAUCCAUAGGGCAGCCACUUGAUUGAUGGUCGGUGUAUUGUAUACACGUUGAUCGAUAUUAACAUUGCUUGCAAUAUGUAUCUGUAUAUUGUCAAUGCAUGAUUGAUCCUUUAUGGUACGAAAAAAUUUAGCAUAAGGAUUGUGUUGUAGAAGUUGCAUCAAUUGUUGAACAAUGGUUUUUAUCAAGAUCGGCAUCUCUUAGUAUGUGAAUCAUGUUUUCCAAUUCGUGAUCAACAUUGUAAAAAUACAAUUGAAAAAAUAUAGGUCGUUUUUCUGGUAAAAAAGCUGGAAGAUCAUGGUAUAUUUGCCCGUGAGCUCUAAAUGUGUAAACUCCUUUGUUUGAUGUAGUGAGAUCUUUAUCAAAAUUUACAUCAAAUGAAAUGAAGGAAAAUAUGCUGUUAUAACCUCUCAGAUUUUUUUGACAUAAAAUCCUUUCACUGGACUGUGAAGUAAACAAAUGAUACAAUUCAUUUGGCACUUUGUUUUCAGCAAGUUGGAUCUAAUAAAUGUUGAAUGAAAAAUUUUUAACUGUUAAAUUAUACAAAUGUUUGAUAAUAGAAGGUAGAAACUAUUUGACCUAACCAUUUUGACAACAAAAUGCUGGAGUUUCAUACUCAUUUUGUUGUGCCCCAAAAAGUGCAUGAACGUAUUUUCUUAAGCUCGUGUAUUGGAGAACACCUGUACAAUAUUAAAUGAACUUUGACAACUAAUAUUGGUAAAAAAAUAAUGUAGAUGAUAGUCAAUCCAACGAUCCAAGAGUAAGACCUUGAAUUUUAUUCCGAUUUUGUUCUUGUUUGGUUUCAAUGGAAGAUGAGAUACAACACUUGUUGUCGGUGUCCUCUGUGUAUCUCUUCUUUCUGGAUUCAAUUGUAAGCUAAAUCUUUCUGAUCCUUUGUACUUUUGAGAGCCUUAAAUAUUUUGUUCUUUUAUGUUGGUUAUCAUAUCUAAGGAAUUAUUUCCUGAGACUCGACAACACGAAAAUAAAUGAAUUUAAAGAGUUAUUGAUUAGAGGAGUGUCUUAUAAAGUUAGAUUACAUUUUAUAUGCAUUUAAAUAAUGGAAAGAAUUGAAAUUAUUUAAUUAUAAAUUACUUGAACUUCUAGAAAAAUGAUUACAUGUUAGUAUAUAUGUAGAACCUGAUGAAUUUUUUAAAAUCAAUAUUUAAGUUGUUAAAAUCUCUACGAUUUUAGUGUUUGAAUAUGAAGUGUUUGAGUGUAAAUGUUAGUAAUAUUUGUAAAUGAAUAUACAGUAUAAUCAGAUGUAUAAAAGAACUUCGAGAGGUAAAUAAAAACAUUAAUAAUUAAUAAGUUGAAUAAAAAUAGAAAUGAAGAGGAAAAAUAUUUGUUACCAAACUAUCAGAAUAAUUUUAUUAUUACUAUUACUGUAUAAAUGAUAAACUAAGCCAGCAUAAGCACUAGCAAACAUUUUUCCUUUUUACAACUACCAAAAAAAUCGAUAAAGAAAAACCGAAGCCUGAUGAAUAUCUUUCUUCCUUUUUUCUUUUUUUUUUCCCCCCUCCCUAUUUUUGUGCUGGAAAAGAAUACUAAACAAAAAUAGAGAACAAAUUUAAAAAUCGAAAAAUAGUCAACUAAUAGCUUAAAGUGAAAUUAAUCAAACAAAAGAGAGCCUACUUGGACUUAGAGCGCAGAGAUUGAAGCCAUGAAAAACUUGGUAGAUCUAGGGUUGGCCAUUUGUGGAAGAGCAAAAGUAAAAAAAGUGAAUAUUUUCUGGCUUCAGAAUUUAAUGAAUCACAAUUUUUGGGUUUAAUUUGUUUACAAGUUUUGUUUACUCCACAAUACCACCUGCAUAAUAUGUGUUCGCCUGUGUGAGAGAGAGAGAGAGAGACGGUGUGACGAGAAAUUAAAUGACAAACUGCAGACCAGAAGCUAAAUGGAAAUGAAUGUUAAUUGGGAUACAUGCACGUAAAUACUAAUUAUUUUAGUAUUAAUGACAAUGAAUACAUACAUGAAGAUGAAUGUAAAUUCAUUUAUACUUAAUGAAUAUAAAUUAAUGUCCAAUGAAGUGAUUCAAAAUUCUUGAAUGGAUCGUAAUUAAAGGGUGUGUAUGUGAACCGAUAUAUGGGUACAUGAACUGAAGUUUUUAUUUCUUCUAAUGUUUGUGGAUUUGCGUGAGAUAUUUGGUUAUGAAAAUGAAAAAUUAAUGCUGCUGUAUAUCAGAUUUGAAAUUGCACAUAUAUUCAAUGUAGGUAAAUGUAUUCAAUAUAUAAUUAUGACUAUGUGUGCAUGCAUGCAUUUACGUUAAUGUUUCAGUAUAUUUUCUGGAUAAGAAUUGGAUAAAUAAUUUAUUAUAGCUCUAAAAUAUAUAAAGUGUAUAUGAACUUGAAGACUUCAUGUGGAAUUUAAUAUAUCUAUAAAUAAAUAAAUUAAUGUUUAUUAUUAUACACGUACAUAAAUAAAUAAUUGAAUUGUUGUACUUCUAUAGUAAUUGAAUAGCAUCAAGUUAUACACCAUUUUGUCUAAAUAAUUUUUCCAAGAUCAAAUUUAUAUAUUGAAUGUAUAAUUCUGUGCAUGCAUUUAGGUAAAUGUAUUCAAUUUAUAAUUAUCAUUGUAUGUAUGCAUGCAUGCAUGCAUUUCCGUAAAUUCUCAGACAUCAUUUUAUUCUGAUUUUUUUAUUUUAUUGAUUCAUGCCUAGAAGUUGUAAUAUAAAUCCAGAGUAUAGAAGUUUAGAGAAAGAGGAUUUACUUAUUUUAAAUAGCUUUUGGAAAUGUUGAGAGAGUGAGCUGGUGUUCCUCAGAAUUCUCAUUUUGGAUGGAUUUUAUGGGAGUUGCUUAUUUCGAUAAUAAGUGGAUCAAUUUUGGUUUCACAAGAAGACAACACAAUUAAUGCACAAAAAUUUAUUCCUCAAGUUUAAGAUUAAGAUUAAUCAUUAAUAUGAGGUUUAAAUUAAUUCUCCAAACUACCAUGCAUUUAUUUUAUUUUGUUUUCAAAAAUUAUUCUAUUAAUCUAUGGUUUAAAGUCAUUCUUGAAGUUCAAGUAUACAUUAUUUUGUCUAAAUUAAUUUUCCAAGAUUAUGUGUAUACAUAGCAUGCGUGUCUAGUUUCUUUUGUAAUAAUAAUUGUGAAGAUGAAUAUUAAUUAAAAUGCUUCUUCACUUUCAAGAUUAGUCAGUAAUGUGAGAUCUAAAAUAAAUCUCCAAAGUAUUGUUCAUUUAUUUUAUUUUUCCCCACAAUUUUAAUGAUACAGCAAAUUUGUUUUAAAUAUAAUAUAAACUUUCUCAUAUUAAAUUAUAACUUCAUUAAAUUAUAUAUGAUAAAAUAAUAGGUGUGUUUUGCGUCGAUGUUUCGAACAAAAAUAAUAAUAUGUCUCUUAAAUGAUAAAAUAACAGGUAUGUUUUGAGACGAUGUUUCGAACAAAAAUACUAACAUGUGUUUCUCUAAUCUAAAUCAAUAUUCAAUCUUCUAUUUUUAGUUUCUCGCUGGGAUGGUUCCUUCAAUUAUCUCCUUUGCAUCCACCUUGUAAACUUCUUCGACAAUCAAUUUCUUCCAUGUUCUUUCUUCUCUUUUCUUCACAUCCAUCUUCACCAAGAAUUUGAACUCUUUAUCUUCCGAGGACAUUAGCUUUUUGUAUUAUUUACACAGUUCUUUUUGUUGGUCUGAGAAGAAAAUACCAAUAUAUGUUUUUAUAAAGAUGAGUUAGUCACCUAAUUUUAGUUAGAAGCAAUAUAAUAUGUUGAAAACACAAAAUCUAAAUUAUAUGUUUACCUUUAAAGAGCCUCAGCAUAUUCAAUCACAGUACUUACUAUGAAAGAUUUGGCAGCAUAACAGAUUGUGACGAAACUUCUUGAUUACCAUCUAAAACUAUUAUUCUCAACAAAUACUUUCUAUUAAAAGCUAUGUCCUUAAUUUCACAUAUUGUACAUGUGACGAUUUUUUUAAUCUUCCUCUGGGUAAACUCUUGCACCACACUUGUUUUGAACCUUUAAAAUCUUGCCUAUAAAAGCACAAUACAAUUUAGUCACACUAUUUGUAAUAAUAUCAUCUAAUUUUACGAUACCAUCAUCCACCAUCCUCUUUGUAGGUCCCAAUAGUUUGUACAAUCCUUCACCACAUAGCAAUUUUUUAGUGCUGUAAAAAAAAAAAAAAAAAAAGCAAAAUAAAUCAUCUUUCAGCUAUAUUAAAAUCUGUUUUAAUUUAGUAGUAAUGUAAAUAUAAUCGUCAUGACUAAAUAAACCAUGCUCACCUAUUUUUAAUAGCAUUAGUUUCUUCAAGUUGCGGAUUGAUCUCAAUGAUACUAAUAUUUGAAGUGGAGAUGUUUAGUUCAUUUGUUUGAUAGACAUUAGUAAGAACGCGGCAUAGAUUGUUGAUUUUAGCAUACAACUCUUUUUAAUAUGAUAAUAAAAUAAUUAUAAAGUAUCACCUUCAUAGUAACUUGCUCUCACACUCAAAGUUGCAAUAAGUGGUAUUGAACAGCAUCUUCCAUAAACUUUCCUUCGUUGUUAGCCAAAUCUCCCCCACAAAUGUAAUUUCAUUGUAUUACACCUGUACUAAAAAAAAAAAAAAUUGUUGAGUAAAUAAUAUUAUAAAGUUUAUCUUCUUUUUAUUUGAUUAAAAAAAAUUGUUUGAUUUUAUGGAUGAUGUUUACCCAUUGUCUAGGAGAAUCACUUCCCGUUUCUUCGUUGUUCUUUCACUUGGCCUCUUAACGUUGAUGAUGAACGUAGGUUUUACUUUGACAGCAAAUCCUAUAAUAUCUGAAAACAAAAAAGAAAAAAAAUUUCCAGAAAGAAUUCAUUAGCCAAUGGAAAAAAAAACCUUAGAUAUCAUGAAUUUCUGUUUUCACUAAUGUCAUGUGGAGUGUUCCCUUUUUUUUCCCCCUUCUUCAAUAAAUAGCUUAAUAAAAUAGGACCUGAUAUAAAAUGUGGGUAGAGUUUUUUGAAUAUUAGAAUUAAUACUUAGUAAGACUCUCCGAACAUUAUUGUAAACUAUGCAUUUGACUAAAAAAUAUAAUUACAAUGACGAUAUCUCCGCUAGCAAAAUUUGGUACUUCAUUGAAUUGAAGAUAAGAGUUUGAUAUCUUAUAGCAUAUGUGUUCUUCAAUCUCUUCUACUUUCGUUGUAGUUGUGAAAGACAAUUCGAUUUCACCAUUCACAUUUUGGUAUUGACAGGUCAUACGUUUUUAUUUCGUAUAAUGUAAGAUUUCCCCUUUUCAAUUAUAGCAUCGAGCUUUUGAACUGCAUCAUUGAAUAACAUGGCUUGAAUUUUAUAUCCCUAUAGAGAAAUCACUAUGUUACUUCUAAUAUACCCGAUUGAAUAAACUCAAACAUGAAUAUACCACAUAAUCAUUACUCCAUUACCAUCAAAACUAAAUUCAAAUAAUCCAGUGUAGCAUAAAUAUUCAGUGUAUAUCAAGAGCAAAUAUUUAUUCACUACAACCUAAGUCGUCAGAUUAGAACCUAAGUCAUCAAAUUAGUAAAAUAAAAGUUUUUUUCCUUUCUUUCCUUCCUCUGAUCUCCACACCAUCUCAGAUUCUCACUAUUAAUUUUACUGUACAAAUAUAAAAGUCAAAAACAUAAGAUCCUAUAAGAUAAAUUAAAGUAUUCAUGAUAAAGCAAAAGACUUUUAGAAACACGUAAAGAUAUGAGGGAAAUGAAAUAUUUAUGCCAUGUCAAUAUUUGAAUCUCGAAGAUGAAUUCAGAAUUAUUAAAUAUACGGGUCAUCAUAGUAGAUAUAUUACCUCCUUGUCAAUUAGGAUGAUCUUCAAAAGAUCAAAAUUUCCAGCAUUUUGGAAUAAAAUUUGACUAAAUCCUUUCGAACUACCGUCACUUUAAUGUACCAUUCAUUUUCAUACGCCGAUAAAUCUCUUAUAGCCUUUGAUUCCAUGAAGGGGGAGAGCAAAAUAUUUGAUGAUUUGAUUGAAAUGUGACAACAACCAAUUUGUGAAAAUAAUUUAAAUAGUUGAGGGAUUAGUUCAUUUAUGUCUAAAACUCAUGAUAACAAUCAAAUUCAUUCAUGAACAUGAAAUCUAAUUAAUUCCAAUUGAUGCUGUUGAUGCAUGUCACAUAUAUACAAUGUAUGAUUAUCACUUUAUGUGUGAAAGCAUGCAUUUAGGUAAAUGUAUUCAACAUAUAAUUACCACUAUAUGUGUCCAUGCAUGCAUUUACGUAAAUGCUUUAGUAAGAAUUGGAUAUACAAUGUAUAAUUAUCACUUUAUCUUUCAAUUUCUAAAUCUUUAAUUGAGUGUCAUAGGACUCCUUGGCUUCUGAAAUCAUCAACCUAGCAACUUGAUUUUAUCCUUGACCACCUUUUCGAACAGCCUCAACACGUCCUCAUAAUUAUUAUACAUGCAUGUAAAUAAAUAACUGAAUCGUAAUAGGGCUUGUAAGUAGUAGUGCUAGAAUCGUCCAAAAAAUGAUUUUCCCUCCAUGUGAUAUUUAGUAUAUUAUAGAUUUUUAUCCCCAACAACUUGCAUAAUAGUUAUGUAGGAAAUCAUCAUUUUUGUUAAAUCAAUUAUAUGAUUUACUUUUCUUUCAGUUGAGAAGAAAACCGAGAAAAUUUGUUUUAGGUGAAUAGAAAAAUCAAAUAGAAAAUAUUUUGCUUAUGUAGAAGAAAUAAAUGAGGAUAAUUUCUUACCGUACUUGUUGGUCCCAAUCGAUCUUUCAACAAUUAAUUUUAGGCACAAAUUUCAUAAGAUCCAAAAAUUUUCAACCACAUUUCAUCAAUUUUUAUCAGAAUCUACUAAAAUACACCAAAUAAGGGCUUAGUUCGUUUGUAAUAUUAUUGUCCAAUGAGAAAAAGUUCUUCAACAAUUUGACGUGUAAAUCGACAUUGAAUACGUGUAAUACAACCGACAGCUCAUUAUAAGUAUGUUAAUUGUCGAUAUAAAAAUCAUCAACCAAGUUUAAAUUGUAUGUUAUUUGAGCAGGUAAUAAGCAACAAAACAAGGCAUGGCAUUCGCAGAGGAUAGAAUUUAGUUAAUUGGAACAUCAAAUCACCUACAUUGUUCUUGCCCAAAAGGAAACAAUGUGCUUGUAAAUAAUUUAUAGACCUUUCACGAUUAACCAUUUAAGCUGUGCAGUGACUAUUUUAGCUUUAGACAUUCUCUUUCUUUCCAUUCUAUUCUUGCUUUCAGAAGUAAAACGUAACAUCUGCGAGAAAUACAAAAUUGCAGAUUUAUGGGGUAAAAAUCAAAAGAAUGUCUCUUAACUCACACUAGACGGCCUGCUGCAUCAUAUACUCGCUCCCUGAUGCACUGAAGCUUGUAUGGGACAAGUGCAAAUCCGAUCCCUACAAAAGAUAGCUUUCAGAAGCCCAAUGCUUAAACUCAUGUGAUGAACUCAGCAUCGGAGAUUCAAAGAGAUAGGAUGAACAUCACUUUCACUUAUUACUCAAGGUAAGUUACUGGGUUUAAAACAAAUUCACAACGAGUGAAGGUGAAGAUGAAUCCAUGAGUAGUAGUAGUACAAUAUACGAAGUUUCAUACUUCAUGAUAUUUUAUUUCAAGCUCCAUAGGUACAUUUUUGUAGCACGGGACACGUAUCCGAAUUGAUAUCAUAUAUAAUCCUCAAACGCCUAAAAUUCUUGGGCAGACUAGCUCUUUCACAACUCAUAAUGUCUCAAAUUCGUAUGUUUACGAGAAGUGAUAAAUACCCUUGGAUGUAUCGGCACUGGUUAUUCCCGUCCGUUUCUAUGGCAUGUAAUAACUAUUGAGUCUUUUUCACAAAACAAAGGGUAGUUAAAGAUUGGAGAACUUUUCUAUCAUUGUCCAUAAAUUAAGGAAAUCAAACCAAUUAUAUGCUACCAUAAAUUAACUUACUUGCACUGUUCCAUCUAAGUUCUGAGAGUCUCUCUAAAUAAUUUACUAGCGACCGCUGUCAGUUGAUCAUGUGCAUUUUGAAUCUUAUGCUUUUCUCUUAUGGUCAACUUGAUAUCCACAAAAGACUGUAGAAUGAAGAACGAAGUUAUGGUUACAUUAUUAAAAGUUACUGUUAAGAUGUAAUCCCGAAUAUGAGGUAAUAAAAUAACAUUUGACACAAAUUUAUCAUCCUUACCAGUAAUGCGCUCAGGUUUUGCAAUAUAUUCUUAAUUUGCAUUUCGCACGACGAAAGAAUUUGUCGAAUUUUGACAUCUACAUCUAUAAGGAGAAGCAUAGAGAUAAUGGUACCUACUCGAACAAUCGAUUUUGGAGGAAGUCUGACUAUCACUACCAAGCAAUGAACAAAUCUCAGAAACACAAGACGCCAUCAUGUUUAACACGAGACUUAGAGGCCUGUUGCUCCUAUGGAACAUAAAAAAAAAGGAGGCGGUGGAUAAUGUUCUCUUCUCUUUACACUAAUAGCAGUACAGGAGUCGUGAUUGUCUUCCUUGAAAAAGAUAUAAUUCGUUCCAACCAACACCUAGAGGCGGGGUGAAUAGGUGUUUAUGCGGAAUUUAAAUCAAUUAAUUAAUUCAUGCAACAAGUCACAUAAAUUAAGCAUUGCCUAGAUUCAUUCACAUACUUUUAUCUACCUAAGUUGAAUUUUCGGUUGAAAAGUAGAUAAAGAAAAACAAUAAAAACAAUAAAAACACCACAAAAUGUUGACGGAGAAAACCCAACUAGGUAAAAACUCCAGGCACAAGCCAGUAGAGAUUCACUAUCGAAGAUAUUGACUUACAGUACGCCAGACACAAUUGAUACUACCAAUUCUCUGACCUCCUUAGUGUAUCAACCAAAGCUCUCCUAGAUUCUGCAGAUCUACGCCAAAAUCCCAGCCUUGAAUAUCUUCAACCUCUCGUGAAUCACCAAGCACUUCUGCUCUUCAAGCAAUUUCCUUCCCGGAUCUUCAAACUGAUGAUCUUCUGAAAGUUGGUAAGGAGUAAUGAAACGAUGUUUUGAUUUUUGUAAAGAUUGAUGUUUUUACUCAAAGAAACAAAAGAUGAAAAGAUGAAAGAUGAAAAGAAUGAAUUUGUUUGUUCUUGAUCCUUUGGAAUUUGAGAGGAAUUGAUGUUUUGUGUUUGCCAAAGGUUCACAAUGAAAAAUCGGACGUUUUGUUUAUAUACUAGGUCGAAUUUGGAAAUAUGGAGUGUUAAAAAUUCGCGAGAAAUUAAAAUUAGUAAUGGCCAGAUAACACGAUCGCUCGAGCGAGGCGCUGGCGUAACUCGAGCGACGCACCUUCGCUCGAGCGACUGUCCAGCGAAACUCCAGCGAGGUUGGUUCUGCAAUUUAAGCUUGAGUGAGGUCAGGGCGAAACUCUAGCGACAUCAACGCGCCGUUUGCAACUUCAAAGUAUCCACCUUUACCCUAGAUCCAUGCAAUAAAAUUUAUUAAAUUGCAACUCUAGUCCCUGAACUAUUAGACCUUUACAAUUUAGUCCCUGAUGUUACAAACAUGACAAAUAGGUCCUUUGGUCACAGAUUGCCAAUUACACAUUUUCCUAACAUUCCUGAUAAUUCUGCAUCAAGAUGAUGGAAUUCAAUUAUAGCACUGGAGUUUACCAACCCCAGGAUAAAUUAAAUAAGGCAUUAAAAUUCCAACAAGAGAUAGGAGCUGCAUCAACUUCGGAAGAAAUUAUGUACAAUCGAGAUAACUAUGCAAUGUUUGCAUGCUAUCACGAGUGAUGCUUAAUGAAAAGCUGCAGGAGUACAAUUUGAAUUUAGAUGGCCUCAAAAGAAACAGCUACAAGGCUUCCAUCCAAGCAAGCAAUUUUAGUCUUGAGGUUUUUAAGAUACAAGCAUUAUUUCGCAACAACUACCUAUUUAUGUUUAAAUAAAUAGUCUAUUUGACAAUUACUCUCCCUGUCCCAUGUUAUUCUUCUUGAUUACUAUUUGAGUUUGUCCUAAAAGUUAUUCUGGUUACCAACUUGAGAUUCUAAAUUCUGAUUAUACACCUUGUCAUGUUAUAGUGGGACAAAGCUUAAACUAAAGAUAAGAAAUAAACUACCCACUGCAAUAUUAAAUGGAAGUUCAACUUGGGACAGACUUGAAUCGUCAAAAUUGACUUUUCUUCAGAAUUUGACCACUUCUACGCUCAUAUACUUCGACCUACUCAUACAAAAGCUGUAAGUGUUAUGCCCUAAAUCUAAUCGAUUUAAAUUAUAAACACUUUUAGUAUGUUUAACACAUUUAUUUUUGGCAAGAUCUAUUAUUUAUUUAAAUUAAUAUUCUGAUGAAUAAUAUUAAAUAAUAGAAUUCGAAGAUUUAAGUUUCAGUAAUUUGUUAAUUACAAGGAGUUGUGAUUGUGAGAUGCAAAUUACAUCUGAUAGUUCUUAAAUAAUCCAUUGUCGUAAGUAAUGACGAGAUACGGAUAUCGUUAUUACGGAUAGACCAUCAUGUGUAGCAUUUAUUACUUGUGAAGUAAGUAGUCGAUCUUACAAGCUAAAGUGUGGUAACACUUAAAUAAACGCGUGGAUGUUUUCUUAUAGAACAAAACAUUGGAAAUCUGUUAGGAGAUUCUACAUGGAUAAUUAUCUGAGUGUCAGUGAUUAAUUUCUAACGUUCGGUGGUGGAAUUGGUCCUUUGACUUGAGGUCAUCAUAGUGCCUUAUAUGAGGAUAGUCAUACUUUCACAGUGUUGGAUGUUGCUCUGCCAAUGGCCGCUAAUAUGGCAUUGCUCGGGUAUGUCAAGAAUCAUAUGAAGGUUGUGAAUGACCAAUAGAGGAUUCGUCACUCUUAGAUAGUAAGAGAUUAUGAUCCACAAUUUAUUCAAUUAUGUCGAUAACGAAAUUCUUGACCAAGGUGUACUGAGACGUCAAAAAGGAGUUUUUGACUUAUAUUGACUUAAUAGUGGAAUGAAAGAUAUGAUCAUUAAUCGGGAUUGACACACUUCCAUAUCUUGUAAUUGAUCGAAUCAUAUUGACGAAAAGAUUAUAGUUUCAUAGUAAACGAACUAGUUUGGUUUUGUCAUACCACGUGACAUUUCCCGUCACAUGCAUUACCUUGACACAUUGCUAGAUAUCAAUCUGGUACGGCGAGUGUGAACUGGUAUAAAUUAUAAGGAUGUUUUAAUUUAUCAAUUUUGAUUAGAUAAAAAUAAUAUUUCACUUCGUUAGAUUUCGUGACCGGGAACCUGAUGGAUAGCACACAAAAAGAGAAUUGGAAGAUUGUAAUUCGUCAAUUAAUUAAUUUAACAAUCGUUGGAUAAAUUAAUUAAUUGGAUUGGUUAUUUAUAGGCCCAAUUAAUUCACAGACCGGAUUUAAUUAAAUUGAUUAAUUAAAUAUUGGAUUGGGUCAGACCAAACUCAUUUGGGCUUAUAUAAAUAUAUGACUAAGGUUUUCAAUUUGUAGAGAUUCUAGUAUUUUUGCUAGCACAAGAGGAGAAAAUUCUAGUGGCUACAAUUUGUUCUCUGUGUGGAAUUCCAUUAGAAGUUAGACAAUUGGACAGUUUUGGGUGGCAGAUCAAGCUAGGCUGCUGAAACAAGGGAAAAGCAAAAGAGUUUGUAGAUCUCGAAAAGGCUUAACUUUUACCACAAUUCUUAUCUAAAUAUAAAAAUGGUUCUUGGUGGGAAUUGAAAUUAGUUUUUAUUCGGUUGUGCAUAAUAAGUAAAUUUCCAACAAUGGCAUCAGAGCCAACUUUGUGUUUGUUAAGAAUUAAUUUACAUAUUGAUAAAAUCAAAAGUUGAUUUAUUUAUGUUUUUCUUGAAUCUAGCAAUUGUAUUAUUUUAUCUUCAAAAUUAGUUUUGAAAAAAAAAUGGUUGGUUUUGGCGGCUCGCAUCGCUGUUGGUUGCAGCGUGCGUUGUUGUAGCCGGAGGCGGUAGCCCCUACCGUGUAUUGGGCUGCCAGCUUCGUUCAAGGAAGUAUGAAUUUUUUUUAUUUUUAUUUAUUUAUUUAUUUUGUUGUUGUUGUUGUUGUUAAGAUUUAGGGUUUGGAAAUCAGUUUAAGGACGGGGGCCUCUUCUGAAAUUUGAGUAAUUUCAGGGGCUUCCUACAAUGAUCGAAGAGGGUAAAAACUUGCAAUUUUAAAUGGAGGGCUUGUCAUGUAAAUUUCGAAUUUGGGGAGACUUUGUUAUAAUUUCUUUAUUGGGUCAAAUUGCAAAUUUCAAAGGGGAUUUAAAUUCAAAUAUUAAAAUGGUUUUAAAGUUGGAUUUGUAAUUGGAUUUGACCCGUAUUUAUUAAUUUGGCCCAAAAUUGAAAUUUCUUUUAAAAUUGAUGAUUUCUUUUUAUUUUGUUAAAAUUAGAUUUUAACUUAAACAUUUAAUUUUGACCCUAAAUUGAACUUUGUUUUAUUUAAGAAUUUUGUCCUAAAUUAAAAUAUUAAUUCUAUUUUAUUAGAUUUGGACUCUAAUCCAAUGUUAAUUAAAAUUUGAUUUUAAUUAAUAAUAUUCCCCAAUAUAUAUUAAAAUUAGAGUAUGACUCUAAUUUAAUAAUUAAUUAAAAUUUGAUUUUAAUUAAAUUAUUCCACCCUAAUUUUUUUUAAAGAAUUAGAGUUUGACUCUAAUUUAAUAUUUAAUUAAAAUUUGAUUUUAAUUAAAUAACUUUGUCCAAUAAUUAUGGAAUUAGAGUUGAACUCUAAUUCAGGAUUUAAUUAAAAUUUGAUUUUAAUUAAAUAGGCCCGCCAAUUAAGUUAAUUAAUUAAUAUGAUUAAUUAAUUAUUUAACAAUUUUUUAAAUGAGUUUUGUCGACUAUAAUUACUAGAUUCUUGUGACUUGCAUAUAAUAUUAGUUAUUAUAUAGGAAACAUUUAUGUGAUGAAUGUCUAUUUAUGGAUGAUUAUAGACUCGACAAUGUGGAUGUGUUGAAUGGUUGAUUUAAUUCUUUUUGUUUUAUAGGUCUGCGAGCUCAUAAUUGUUUUGGACCUGCUAAUUCGUUAGUAUUAUUAUUGUUAUGGGCCUGCGAGCUCUUUAUUAUUUUUGGACUUGUGAGUCCGUUGUUGUUAUUAUUAUUGGCCUGCGAGUCCAAUUUCAUUUAGGCUUGCGUGCCAACUGGUAUAGGGUAUAUGUUGCAGCUGAACUAAUUGAAGGUGCGAGAAAAGGAAAAAACUAUGGAGAUGGUGUAUUGAUAUCGAUACAAUGCUAUACUCCCUAGGAAUUGAGCAACUAAUCUUCCCUUUGGCUCGAGAAAACUAGAUAGAAUAAGUGCAUAAUCAUCCAUCCAUAUAUAUAUAUAUAUAUAUAUAUAUAGAUAUAUAUAUUUGAUGAGACCAUUGCAUGGUAAAUCCCUCGUUAAAAUAUUAAGUCGUUAUUAUUUACCUUUCGUCAUUAUAGUGAAAAACGAGAAUCCUAAAUCGAUAUCAACUUGUUGAAUACAUUCAAGGCUGGUCUAUUAGGGAUAUGUUUGACACUAUAAAAUAUUUGAUAUUUUUGAAUGAUGGGUUUGACUUAACAAAAAUUUAUCUUUUGUUAAGUAUACUCAAGGAGAUAAGUUUUAGAGAAAUGUUAAGCUAACACAUAAGAUGUAUGAAUACAAGGAGUUGUCGGCUUAAUGAUCUGAGAGUUGUAUGAAGAUACAAUUGAUAAUAGUAUCUACCCAAAUAUUUUAUUAAGGUUUGUUGAGUACACUCAAGACCUUGAUGUAACAGAGGGGAUCCCAACCCACUGGGAAUCAAAUGUGGAUUCCAAUCAUUUAUGUAUGAGGGCCAUGAAUUCAUUUUAAACAAUGGGAGAACGUUUAGUUGAAGACAUAUUAAAUUUGUGCAAUACAUUACAAUACAUAUUAAUUCUUUAUUUUUUGUCAUUUACGAUUUUUUAAUCAUGAGUAAUCAUAUGAAUUUGAGAGGCAUAUUGGAUGCCAACAAACUGACCGGAUCAAAUUUUCUCGAUUGGCACCGCAAUUUAAGAAUCGUUUUCAAGCAUGAGAAAAUUGGGUAUGUCAUUGAGCAGUCCCUUCUAGGGUACCUACUAAAAACUCCACUAAGGAAGAGGACACACAAUGAUGACGAUAACAAUGCAGGAUGCGUGAUGGUUGCGGCUAUGUCACCUGAGUUGCAAAAGCAACAUGAGAAUAUGGAUGCUUACACUAUAAUUUUUCAUCUCAAGGAGUUGUAUGAUGAACAAUCACAUGUGGAGAGAUAUGAGACCUCCAAGCAAUUGUACUAGUGCAAAAUGGCAGAGGGAUCUUCAGUCAGUGCUCAUUUGCUGAAGAUGAUUGGUUUCAUUGAGAAAUUGGCUCAAUUGGGUUAUAUCAUGGAUCACAAACUAAGUAUUGACUUGUUCUACAAACUCUGCCGGAGAGUUACUCAUAGUUCAUCAUGAAUUUCAAUAUGAAUAAGAUUGAAUACACACUCCAUGAGUUGCUUAAUAUGCUUAAAACUAUGGAACCCAAUGUCAAGGCUAGCACUGGGCAUGUCUUAGCCAUUUAAUCUUCCAAGGACACCAAGAGGAAGACCAAAGGAAGUUUUAAGAAAAUAUCCAAGAAGACUAAGGGCAAUAACAAAGUAGUCAAAGUAAGCAAGGAAAAUAGCAAAUCUGAUGACCCGUGCUAUCAUUAUGGAGUGAAAGGUCAUUGGAAGAGAAACUGCAAGGCUUACCUCGCAAGUUUGAAGGAAAAAAAUCUUCUAAAACUUCUACUUCAGGUAUUUUUGUUAUCGCGGUUAAUAUGUCUACUUCAUUAGCUUUUUGGGUAUAAGAUAUCGGAUGUGGAUCUCAUAUUUGUAUAAAUAUGCAGGGACUAAAAAGAAGUAGACCACUGCAGAAAAAAAAAGUUGACCUGCACGUGGAAAAUGGAGCAAGAGUUGCUGUAUUAGUUGUAGGGACAUACUUCUUACCAUUGCCUUUGGACUUAGUAUUAGAAUUAGAAAAUUGCUAUUUUGUUCCCGCCAUUACUAAAAUCAUUAUUUCUAUUUCGUGUUUGGACAUGAAUGAUUUUUCAAUUAAUGUUAAGAACAAUUGUUAUUCUUUUAUAAAGAGAGAUCUUUUAUGGUUGUGGUGUGUUGCAAAAUGGAAUUUAUAUUCUUGAUACUUAGUCAUCUAUUAUGAGUAUAGAAAAUAAAAGGCAUAAAAGUAAUAAUUUAAAUAAUACCUAUAUUUGGCAUUGCAGACUGGGUCAUAUCAACGACAAACGUAUUUUCAAGUUACAUAAAGAUGGAUACUUGGUGUCAACUGAUUUUGAAUCAUUUGACAAAUGCGAGUCGUUCCUAUUAGGUAAAAUGACCAAAUUUCCUUUUACUGGAAAAGGCGGGACUAAUACAUACGGAGGUAUGUGGACCCAUGUCAAUCACUGCUAGAGGUGGUUUCUCUUACUUCAUCACAUUUACUGAUGAUCAUUCUAGACAUUGUUAUGUAUAUAUGAUGAAAUUCAAGCAUAAAGCACUUGAAAAGUUCAAAAAAUUCAAACUUGAAGUAGAGAAACGGACAUAUAAAAAUAUUCUCACGUUGAGAUCAGAUCGAGGUAGAGAAUACUUAAAGGGAGAAUUUUUAGAUUAUCUAAAAGAGAAUGAGAUUCUCUCGCAGUGGACUCCACCAUAUACACCGCAAUAUAAUGGUAUAUCUGAACGGAGGAAACACACAAUAUUAGACAUGGUGCGAUCAAUGAUGAGCCAUGCAAACAUCCCAAAAUCGUUUUGGGGUCAUGCACUAAUUGCUGCGUGCUACAAACUGAAUCGUGUCCCAUCUAAAUCGAUCAACAAAACUCCAUAGGGUUAUGGAGAGGAAAAAGACCCAACUUAUUUCACAUGAAAGUUUGGGUCUAUGACGCUUAUGUGAAGAGAAAUGAAUCGGAUAAACUUGAGGCUAAAUCUGAUAAAUGCAUAUGUGUGGGAUAUCCAAAAGAGACAAUUGGAUAUCAGUUUUAUAAUCUCGUUGAGAAGAAGGUGUUCAUUUCAAGACAUGUCAUAUUCCUAAAGAAAGAGUUAAUUCUAAGAGAGGGUAGUGGAAGCAAGAUAGAACUUGAAAAAGUUCAAAAAUCCACAGAUACUGUUGACCAAUUAGAUGAACCUGAAUAUGAUCCUACAGUUGCUGAUGGACAGACUUUUGAUCAAGAUUUAGAGACUCCUGAGGACACUCCAGCUCAGUAUAAAUCAAGUAAGAUCAUUCAACCUCCUAGAAGGUACGAAUUUACAAUUACUAAUCAAUUAUUAUUAGUUGAUGACGAUGAACCUACAAAUUAAGCAGACGUGAAGUCAAGUGUUGACUCAAAGAGAUGGCAAGAGACCAUGAAAUCCGAAAUGAACUCGAUGUAUGAGAAAAAGGUUUGGACCUUGGUUGAUCUUCUUGGUGGGAUAAAACCCAUAGGUUGUAAAUGGGUUUACAAGAAAAAUGUCGGUGUGGAUGGAAACGCCCAUACAUACAAAGUAAGACUAGUAGCAAAAGGUUACACACAAAGAUAAGGUGUUGACUUUGAUGAAACCUUUUCACCUGUAACCAUGCAGAAUUCCAUUCAAAUUUUACUUGCAAUAGCUGUAUACCAUGAUUAUGAGAUAUGGCAAAUGGAUGUCAAAACUACUUUCCUUAAUGGAAACUUGCAGGAGGAGGUAUUUAUAACACAGCCAGAAGGUUUUGAAUCCAAAGAAGCCAAUAAGGUAUGUAAGCUUAAUCGAUCCAUUUAUAGAUUAAAGCAAGCCUCUAGGAGUUGGAAUCUUCAUUUUGUUGAGACAAUCAAAAAGUUUGAUUUUAUCAAAAAUGAAGAUGAACCGUGUGUUUACAAGUAGACAAGUGGGAGCGCGGUCGUAUUCCUAAUAUUAUAUGUCAAUGACAUCCCCAUGCUUAAAUCGGUAAAAUUAUGGUUGUCAAAGAAUUUCUCCAUGAAAGAUAUGGGAGAAGUAACGUAUAUUUUGGGAAUCAAGAUCUAUAGAGAUAGAUCUAAAAGAUUGCUUGGCUUAUCCCAAUCUUCGUACGUAGACAAAAUCUUGAGAAGAUUUAACAUGGAAGAGUCCAAGAGAGGUUUUUGUCCUAUGUCACAUGGGAUUUACCUCUCAAAAGAUAUGUUUCCUAAAACACAUGAUGAAAGGAAUCGCAUGGAUAAAAUUCUUUAUGCUUCAGCGAUAGGAUCUAUCAUGAAUGUGAUGCUAUAUACGAUACCAGAUGUUUCAUAUGCUCUAAGUGUUAUGAGCAUGUUUCAAGCAAACCCUAGUGAGAAACACUGGAUAGGGGUUAAGAAUAUUUUUAAGUACUUGAGAAUGACUAAAGAUGUGUUCUUGAUAUAUGGAGGAGAUGAACUAAAGGUUCAUGGGUAUACUGAUGCUAGCUUUCAAUCUGACAAGGAUGAUAGCAAGUCUCAAUCUGGAUAUAUAUUUACUCUCAACAACGGAGCGGUUAGUUGGAAAAGUUCCAAACAGGAGACAACCGCUGAUUCAACAACGGAAGCCAAGUACAUUGCUGCUUCUAAAGCAGCAAAGGAAGCUAUCUGGAUCAAGAAAUUCAUUAAUGAACUGGGAGUUGUUCCUAGUAUUGUUGAUCUUAUACUUUUAUAUUGUGAUAACAAUGGAGCCAUCCCACAAGCGAAGGAACCAAGGUCUCAUCAAUGAUCCAAACAUGUGUUAAGGCGAUAUCAUCUCAUCAGGGAGAUUAUACAAAGAAAUGACGUAAAGAUAAAACGAGUUCCCACAGAUGAUAAUAUUGCAGAUCCAUUGACAAAGCCAUUGUCACAACAGAAACAUGAUCGUCAUGUGGACGCUUAUGGUAUUAACUACAUGAGUGAUUGGAUCAAGUGCAAGUGGGAGUUUGUAAAUGUUACGCCCUAAAUUCAAUCGAUUUAAGUUGUAAACACUUUUAAUAUGUUUAAUUCAUUUAUUUUUGGCAAGAUCUAUUAUUUAUUUAAAUUAAUAUUCUGAUGAAUAAAUAAUAGAGUUCGAAGAUUCAAGUUUCAGUAAUUUGUUAAUCAAAAUGAGUUGUGAUUGUGAGAUGUAAACUACAUAUAAUAGGAUCUUAAAUAAUCUAUGGUCGUAAAUAAUGACGAGAUACGGAUAUCGUUAUUAGGAAUAGAUUAUCACGUGUGAUAUUUCUUACUUGUGAUGUAAGUAGCUGAUCUCAAAAGCUAAAGUAUGGUGACACUUAAAUGAACGCGUGGAUGUUUUCGUAUAGAACAAAACAUUGGAGACCCGCUGGGAGAUUCCACAAGGAUAACUAUCUGAGUGUCAGUGGUUAAUCUCUAACGUUCAUUGGUGGAAUAGGUCCUUUAACUUGAGGUCAUUAUAGUGCCUUAUAUGAGGGCAAUCAUACUUUGACAAUGUUGGAUGUGAUAUUUCUUACUUGUGAUAUAAGUAGCUGAUCUCAAAAGUUAAAGUAUGGUGACACUUAAAUGAAUGUGUGCAUGUUUUCGUAUAGAACAAAAAACAUUGGAGAUCCGCUGGGAGAUUCCAUAAGGAUAACUAUCUGAGUAUUAGUGGUUAAUCUCUAAAGUUCAGUGGUGAAAUUGGUCUUUUGACUUGAGGUCAUUAUAGUGCCUUAUAUGAGGGCAAUCAUACUUUGGCAAUGUUGGAUGUUGCUCUGCCAAGGGUUGCUAAUACGACAUCACUCGGGUAUGUCAAGAAUCAUAUGGAGGUUGUGAAUGACCAAUAGAUGAUUCGUCACUCUUAAAUAGUAAGAUAUUAUGAUUCACAAUUCAUUCAAUUAAGUCAAUAACGAAAUUCUUGACCAAUGUGUACUCAAAAGUUGAAAAUGAGUUUUUGACUUAUAUUGACUUAACAGUGGAAUGAAAGAUAUGAUCAAUAAUCGGGAUCGACACACUUUCAUAUCUCGUAAUUGAUCGGAUCAUAUUGACGAAUGGAUUAUAAUUUCACGAUAAAUGAACAAGCUUGGUUUUGUCAUACCACGUGACAUUUUCCAUCACAUGCAUUGUCCUGAUACAUUACUAGAUGUCAAUUUGGCACAGCGAGUGUAAACUGGUAAUAAAUUAAAAGGGUGUUUUAAUUUAUCAAUUUUGAUUAGAUCAAAAUAAUAUUUCACAUCAUUAAGCAUCAUGAUCAAGAACCUAAUAGGUGGCACACAAAAAGAGAAUUGGAAGAUUGUAAUUUGCCAAUUAAUUAAUUUAACAAUCGUUCGAUAAAUUAAUUAAUUGAGUUGGUUAUUUAUAGGCAUGAAUUAAUUAAUUAAUUCACGAACUGGAUUUAAUUAAAUAUUGGACUGAGCCGGACCAAGCCUAUUUGGGCUUAUAUGAAUACAUGACUAGGGUUUUCAAUUUGUAGAGAUUUUCAUAAUUCUUGCUAGCACAAAAGAAGAAAAUUCUGGUGGCUACAAUCUGUUCUGUGCGGGGAAUUCUAUUGGAGGCUGGACAAUUGGAUAAGUAUGGGUGGCAGAUUAAGGCUGCUGAAACAAGGAAAAAGUAAAGGAGUUUGCAGAUCUCAAAAAGGUAUAACUUUUAUCACAAUUCUUAUCUAAAUAUAAAGAUGAUUCCUGAUAGGAAUUGAAAUUUGUUUUUAUUCCGCUGUAUAUGAUAAGUAAAUUCCCAACAAAAUUAGCGAUAUAGCUUAUGUUGUUUUGUCAUCGACUUACCUAAGCAGUUGACAUAGUAAUACAUCAAUAAUCUAUCUAGAAUAGUUCACCUUUCUCAACUGAUAUCGAGGCCACAUGAAGGACUAGCGUAGCAUAUCUCCAUGUUGAUCCUCGAGCAACUCCAAUAUAGUAAUAAAACUAUCAAAGCAACUGUCUCAAGUACAUUUACUUGCCAUUUGCCUCAACUCAGGAUCGAGAUGGUACUCCAUCCUAAAAAAAUUCAAAUGUUAGAACCUUCUACAAGAAAUAAUGGAAUAAAACAUAAUUUCAGAAAUUUAAGCAAACUGAAUUUUAACUACUGUAUGCAAGAAAUAGAUUCAUUUUACAUCGACGCUAAUAAAAAAGAAAUGAUUUAAUAAAUUAAAGGAAAAACAGAAAUAAGAAUUACAGAUAAAAAUAAAAAAAAUUUAAAUGAAUUAAAUAUACAAAAAAUUAUAAUUAAAGAAAUAAAUAAAAAAUAAAAAUAAAAACUAAAGAUCUAAUAUUAAAAAGCAUUUUGAAUGGGAAAAAAAUUAAAUUAUGACAAAUAGAAAACAAUUCAGAAUAUUUUUUAAAAAGAAGAAAAUAAUAAUAAAUAAAAUAAAAUAAAAUUUAAAGGCCAACAUAGAAAAGGAAAAAUAAAUUAAAGAAAAUUAUAAAAUAUAAAAAUUAAAGCAAGAUUAAAGCAAGAGUAUUAAAAAAAUCAAUAUGAAAAAAAAAUUAUAUAAAGAAGAAAAAAAUUAAGAAAUUUUAAAAUUAUUACAAAAAAUAAAAACAAAAAAAUUAAACGAAAGGAAAUUAUAAAAUUAAAUAGAGAAUAUAAACAUUAUUUAAUUAAAAUUGAAAAAUUAAACUUUAUCAUAAAGAAAAGAAUGAAAAAGUAUUUAAUUGAAAAAAUAAUAUUUAUAAUAUGAAGCAAACAACUAAGAAAUUUUAAAACUAUUAUAAAAAAUGUAAUAAUAAAACAAAAAAAAUAGACAAAAAGAAACUAUAAAAAUUAAAUAAAGAAUAUGAAUAUUAUUUAAAAUUGAAAAAAAUUAAAUUAUGAUAAAGAGAAAAAUUCUAAUAAACAGUAAAAAAUAAAGAAAAAAACGGUCCAAAAAAAUUGGCUUUGCCCAAUUGAAUAUUAAACAAUCGGGUUCGACGAUUGUUAACAGCCGCUUUCUCCAUUUUUAACUGAAAAUGAGGCGAUCCCUGCCCCAAAAAAUCACUUAAAUCUAGUCUACACUCAAAGCAUCUAUCUAAAUACUAAACAAUAAACUAAAUAGAUGUUAAAUUUAAUCUUUACUAUAUAUGAAAAAUCAAUUUCAUAAUCACAAAACUACCAUUGUUGAAGUUAACUUCGCUCAGUGACUGGAUUGUGUGGUAGUCGAGGUUGGGUUGAUUAUGAGGGUGGUGUGGUCGACUGGAUCCCAAUUGAGUUUUUUCUUUUCCCUCUCCACUGUUGUGUGGUAGUCUACAUCGUUAAUCUUUAUUUUUAUUUUCCAUAUUUUAAAAUCAAUUUAUUAUUUAUUUUUAUUUUACUUUGAUAGCAAGACAAAACAUUGUAAGAAUCACCAACUUUAAAAUGUAUAUGUUAGAUGAUAAUAAAAUGUCAUAAAUAACUUUUCAAAAUUCAAAUCAAAUGUGUUUUCUAGUUUUUUAUUUUGAAAAAUAAAUUUUUAAAAUGAUAAACCAAAUAUGUUUUUAAAAAAUUUUAAAAUAGACCCUCAAAACAGAAAACAGAAAACAGAAAAAUGAACUCAAAACUCAAAACCGAAUACAAACCACCCUCAUGGAUGCAAAUUAUUCCUACGUUUUUUUGCUAUUUCCCUUUUCUUCUUUGUUUGGCCAAGCUAAAAAUUAAAAAAAAAAUUAAAUAAAAAUAAACAGAUGGUAAAAGUUAUCUUAAGCAAUAAUAUUACAAAAGUUAUUUUAUCCUUGAGUAAAAAGAUCGAAAACCUAUCUUAGUUUAACCGUUCCAUCAAAAUCAUAAAAUCCACCACUUAUCGGCCUAUAUGCACGAUCAACUCGAUGCAGCUGGGAGGUUUACCCCCAUACAAUCCAUCAGACUGACUUUUUUUUCUUUCACUCCAUCAAUUCACGAAAUGCAUUGAAGAUGCUUAAGUCAGUUCCAGUUCCUGACCCAGAGCCACUAGGAUCUAUUGGUAAGUCUCAUCCCGUGCUUGGACUUGGGCAGCUGUGGGAGGAUAGCUAGAGAAGUGGGGGAUUUUUUCACUUCAAAAAGUGGUUUCAAUAAAAACAGGGAAUACCCCCUUACCCCGCUUGGCACAGACCUCGGGAAUCAUCCUUUCUCCUAACGUUAGAUAUCGUCUCAUAUGGCUGAUGAGAUCCAUUAAUUUAUUUUAACUUUAAAAUCAACUCAUUUAAUAGAGAGUAAGAAGAAGAAAGUAAACUAUAUAGAAGAUACGAUUAAAUUAUGAAGUGCGUAAGCAUCAAUAUUUUUGUUCAUUUCUAGAACUGAAAAAUAAAAUAAAAUAUGGGAAUUCAACUCCUAGGCAAUAAUUAAAGAGAGGUUGUAUUACCACCACAAUAAAUGUUUCGUACAGCACAUUUUUCUUAUUUAUUAAAUAAUCAUGAGUAAAAUAACAUAAAUAUCAUAUAUUAUUAGCUUAUAUAUUUAUUCAUUCCAUCACCAUCAUCCAUACACCUUGCAUUUUCGUUAUAAUAUACUAACGAUUAAUAGAUAUUAUUUUGCAUACAAUCUGACGUAGUGUAUAUAGAUUAACUGUAAAUCUCAUUAGAAAUCUACAAAUUGGCUAGCUAAAACUUUGGUCAAACUUAAUUCAUUUUACUACUAGUCAAUUGAUAUGGACAGUUUCCUCAGCAAAAUUAUUUGAAUAUGAGUUUGCGGUCAACUUGUUCAAUUCAAACUCAUUCAAUAAGUCGUUAAUUUAUCAAAAAAUUGAAAUCCGUAGUGAACACUGAAAUGACAAAGGAAAAAUUGAUGAAAAAGAAGCUGAACCUUUCCAGCUAAAAUUCUACUUUCCAAAGAGUUCAAGUUGAUUCAAUAACUCUUUAUAAAAUUGAGUAUUUUCUGCCAUAUAUAUGUUCCUCAACAUAUCAAAAUUCAAACUAUAUGAACAUAAAUUUAUUUAUGCAACUAAAUUAAUUAUUUUUAUGCCUAAUUAUAAUUCCACCUCAAGAUGGAUAUGAAGCUAACAAGGGCGCGGGUAUGCACGAAGAAUUCCUCCAUGCUCUUGCAUGAAAUUUAAGAAUUUCUCUGGCUCUCUCCUUUGUCUUUGAUCCUCGAUCAAAAACUUCCAGAACUUCCAGUACCAGGCACAAUUUUGCCACUGCUCCAAUCUGCAACAUUUCUUGUAAAACUCCAGGAGUUGCUGAGAACUUCGAUAUCGAAUGUAGAAUUCUUAUUCCGCUCUCAUUUGCUGUAGAUGAAACCCUAAGAAUCUUCUUCGAAACAAUGGCUAAUCCUGCACUGUGAUUCAACAGUUCCGCCCUUCCCUCAGCGCAUUUGCAUAGCAAAUUCAGCGCCAUAAGCAUCAAUUCGGAAGCCCUUUUGUCAGAAGAAUCGAGUAAAAGGUCAAUCAACAAGGGCACUGCUCCAGCUUCCACUGCUUUAAUCCUGUUUUUUUCCCAUGGACAUACCUUGAUAAGAACUUUCAGUGUGGCUUUUGAGACCUUCCGAGAGAUUUGAUCGUUCAAGAUAUCUACUAAUUCGUGGAAGAAUUCGGGUCUGAGACUGAUCGAUUGAUUUGGAUCAGCCACUUCGAACACGGAUUUCAGAAACAUGACAGCAUAGACACGAGAAUCAUAGCUCCCGGAUUGCAUGACGCUCGUUAAGGACUGGAUUAACUCGAUAUUAUUCUGCAAGAGGGAUUUUAGCCCGGAUCCCGAUAGAUGGAGAUUAUAGAGAAUGCUCAAGGCUUCAUCACUUGCUCUUCUCAACUCAAUCACAUCUUCUGAUACUUCUGCUGAAGAUGACUCUACGGUUUUCUUCACGAUUAACGAGGCUAAGAACUCAGCCGUGCCUGCUGUUUCCAUGCAUCUUUUAUUCGUUUCGUUGUGAGAAGCAAUGGAUCUGAGUCUCUGUAAGCACUUCAGUUGCUUGUUUGGAGAGUUGGCAUCAUUGAAAAGCUUCAAAAGUUGGGAUUUACUGAUUGGAGCUUUCGGGGUUGGGAGCCUGUCGAUGCCUUCUGGAGCAUGGAGGGUGCACCAGGAUUGGAUAAACCGCCGGAGAAUAAUGUUUGGGAUCAACUCUGAAUCCAUAACCACUUGCUUUGUUCCCGGGCAAGUAUUAUUAUUCUGAGAAAACAGCCAUUUUUCGAUGCUCUCCCGAUCAUAUGUUAUACCGGUAGAGAGCGUAACAGGAUCCUUCAUAAUCUCUAGACUGAUGGGGCAGAGAAAGUAGGAUGGAAUUUCAAUUUCAUCCAUAGAAGAAGAAGUAAUUACAAAGAUUUGAUAAACCUAAGAUCUGAUCCAAGAAAAAGGUGAUUAUACAAUUUUAAGCAAGAAAAUUAAACUGUAGAGAAGUACAAAAAUUUUGUAAGCUAUAGAUGAAAAUCGAAGAAAGUGAAGUUCUUGUGGAGUUGAGUGGAUUGGUUUAAGGAGGAUAUGGUUUUAUAUGUUUCUAUAAAGAGAGGUAAAGAUUCAAAAUGUCAAAGUCAAAACACGGAAAAUUUUGUGUGUUCAGUUUGUGUGAAGGAAAGAGUAUUAUUGUUUUUUUUUUUUAUUACAACAAAUAAAAUUUGGACUUGGACUUUUCUAACAUGCAAUUUGCAAAUGACAACUUAACAAAUAAUUUUCUUAUUUAAAAUUAAAACACGUGAUUAAGUCAUGUUUAAUUACCAUGAAGGAGUAAAACAGAAGAAUCUGAGUUUGGAGAAGUUCAAUUUUGGUUUAAUUAGUUCACGAAAGUAACUUCGACCCGUUAUUAUUAUAAUUAUUUUUAAUUAGUUCACGAAAGUAACUUUGACGUAGAUUUAUUUGGAAUGAAUUGAUCUUGUAGUAUUUUUAUCUUAACUAAAAGAAAAAUUGCUAAUCUAUGAGGUGAGUUGUCGAAAAUAAAGUAUAGAGAAAUAAAUUUAUUUCCUCUUUAAAAGUUUCAAGAUAAGAUAAUUCAAUGUCGAGUAUUGUGUUUGCAAGUCUUUUUACAAACAUAAUUUUAACAAGAAAUCAUAUAUUUAAGGGAAAAAUGUAUUAUUUCUUGUCUUUCAAAAAUAUGUAUGGUACUUCUAAUUUUAUGACUGAAACAUAUCUCAAAAUCUAUUUCCUUUUGAAAAUAUAAAAUAUAAGUAAAUAAAUCCAUUUCUCUCUUUAAUCAUCGAAAACUUUUAUACAAUGCGAAUUAUUACCAAAAAGAAAUAAAAAAUCCUCACAUUUUUGAAUUUUUCACUAUGUAGUUAUAUUCUGAGACUCCGAAUUAAAUAGAACAACACAAAUUCUUAGAUAUGGAUGGAUAAAGCAAACUGUCACACUAAAUUUAUUGUUAAUAAAUACGAUAACAAUAUUUCAUAAAAUAAUUUUUUCAACUCCAUUUUCGUACAAUAAUUCAAUACAAAACUAAAGUUGUUCUUAAUUUUUUUAGUUCGCACAUUCCAUCACCGACACCGACUGAUCAUAAAUGCAGGAUGGACCUACCAGGAGGUUUGCAACACAUGUAUGUGUAUUAAUCCAUAGCGGGCUGCCGAUAUUGACCAAAGCUGGUUGGCAGUGGCUCGGACUACACGGAGUUUUUAUUUAAUCUUGGCUCUAUUUGUUUCUCUUUGUUUAAGUCAACCCAAAAAAGUUAAAUUUUAUUGGAUUUUAAUUUCAUAAAAUAAUUUAUAGUCACAAAUAUUAUAUAUGUUUAUGGAACAAUAAAUUUCGAGACGAGUUUACUCCUACAAUGAUAGGAUGAACAAAGCUAUAGACGUAAAAGUCAAAGAUGAGGAAAAGAUUAUUGUCACAAUUAAUUAAUUAUUGAAAAUUCUGAGAAUAAGUAAUUACAGAAAUUUGAGAACGAAAGGUUGAGCUUUAAAGCAAAAUGGACCAAGUUUAAUAUUCGUUGACUAUUUUUAGUCAACCCCCCACAUUCCAAAUUGCGAGACUAUCAUCUUUUAUUGUUUAAAGAGAACUUUUUAAUUGCUUUAUGUGACCUUUGGGGCACUGACUUACCAUUUGAAUAGUUCUAAUUCCAAGGUUUGGAUUCAUACUGGGGGAAGCUCUUUUUGUUGUGAGAUAUUGUAAUACCCCAAACUUCACGUUAGAUAUUUGGCUAAUAUGAUUCAUGUAUUUCAUGCUAAUUACAUUGUUAUUUGCAUCAAUUUUCUAGUUGCUUUAUCUUAAAACGGUAUAUUCGAUGAUUAAGUCUUUAAAAUCUUUACAUGAUGAUAAUCUUCGACUCCUCGACCUAGGUGGUGAACUUUAUAUUGAGCUAUGAUAGAAAAUUAAGUUAACUAAAUGUUGGAGAUUGGCUUGGUAAGUAAUGAAAAAUCGAAAGGGUCGGAAAUUAGUAUCGACAAAGGUUCAAACUUUCCACUCGGCUGAUCGAGGUCACUUUAAACCAUAGAUAGGUAAUUGCCAUAUUUGGGACAUGAUGCAUGAAGUGACAUGAUCACGACGUAAUAAUAUAUGUCUCAUAUGACGUUAUAAAUUUUGAGGUGCGAAUUGUUGAAAUCGUUUGAUAAUCAUUGUAAAUCGGGUAAGAAAUUAAAUGAACAGUUGAGGAAUUAGCUCUAUAAUAUAUUUGGGAUCUUAGGACAAGUGAAAUGGAUUAUAAACAUGUCAAAAUAAGCCAAGGAUACUUGAUUUGUACCUGCAAAGAUAGAUAUAAAAUCUGAUUAUACUACAAGUGACCACCUCAUGCUUGAACACCUCGUGCUUACGAUGUUUAUCAUUUUAACACUCAAUUUCUUCAACCUUAAGAUAUCAAUCUCGUCUCUACUCCCUAAGAACUUAAUAUAGGAUGAAUAUAUAUCUUAAAGGUCACAAAUGGAUCCAAAUAUAAUGGUUGAAAGUCAAGUAUUUCUGCAAAGAUGACACAUCAUGCUUGGACAGCUCAUGUUUAAGGACACUUUUCCUUUGUUCACAUUUUUCUUCACCCUUAAGCAAUAUGCGCGACCUCAACCACUUAAAGAUCACUCAUUUACCUCACAGAUAAUAUAUUAACUCCCUUAGCUCGUGUCUAAGUGAUUCCAAGUGAAAAGAGGGUGAAAAAGUCAAAGAGAAAUAGAAACAAGAAGCUGGAAUUUCUGGACAACUUUGUUACUUCACGAUUUUGAGGUUUGUAUCCUUUGUUUCUUAAAGGAUUUAUAAUUUAUUGAACAUCUAAACUUGCUUGUGAUUAGCUUGCAGUGUUGUUAACGAUUUUAUGAUCCCAAAAUAGGGGUAAUUAAUUACAAGAAUUUAAAAGAAAGUAAUCUGGAUAGAGAUGAGGAUUUGCUAGAUUUGAAUGGUUUAAACUUUGAUUUUGGAUAAUACUUAAGAUAUAACUUGUAUCUAUGUAAAUGAAUGUUGUUGUAUGAGAGUUAGAAGAAUAGAAAUGGUCUUCUAAUAGCCUAGAAUCUGAUUGGUGACAUGCUAGUAAAAUGGAAACCGAAAAUAGUCAUAGGAAAACAAAGCUACCUGAUUUUUUGUAGUGGAAAAUGUACUGUUUUUGAAGCUCAAAACCCUUCAUUUGUUACAACCUUAUGAUCUAAUUAUCUUCAUAUAUAUGUUAUAGGUGGGUGGUAAGAAUUUGGGAGUCUUUGGAUAUAGUUAAGGAGGUGAAAAAGGAUUAGAAAAAUAAUUGGACGGUAAUGAAAAUCUGAAAACAGGUUCUGCCCAUUUGUGUUUUUAAUGUGAUUUCAACAUUUACACAUCCACUAAUUAUCUCUUGCCCUAGAAAAUAGAUUCUAAUGAGUACUAGGUUGUCGACAACAAUUGGAUGACAUUGACGUUCAUAACUGGACUUGAGAAAUAGUGAGACUUAUGGGAUUAGUUUGUAAUGCCAUCGGUAACUUGAAAUAAUGAUUUCAUCUAAAUUGUUUUGGCGUGAAUGGAUGCAUUUCGGGAUUGUGUGUGUUAAAGUUAUUAAAUGGAGGAUUGUCUUUAAUAUUAGAUGAUAAUACAGGUGAUUUUUCGACGUUGAGCGAAAAGGAAAUUGAUAUACACUCCGUAGGAGUUUGCACACACAAAGGCGGAAGGUAAGUAAAAAUUCAUUUCCAACUACGAUACAAGAACCUAGUAUUUGUAAUGUGGUAAUGUUAAAAUAUUUACAUAACUUUGAUAAGAAGCUUAUAGCACAUCAUAUGAUGAUUAUAAUCGUUGAGUAUGAGGUUGUGAAACUUAUUGACAUCGAUUUUUAUUAAAUAUAUCAUUCAUGAGCAUUUUCAUAUGCAUGCACGACAUGUGAUCAUGGUUGAAAUUCCUGCAUGUGAAAUAUGAUUUUAAAGUGAGUUUUCUUUAUAAAUGUUUUACUGACCACUAUUAGGGCACCGAUGCAUGUGAGACAUACUUAUGUAAUAUGUUUGACAUCGCGAGUGAUACUUCUUGAGUGAUUGCAAAGGUAGAUAGGGGAUGGACCUUUGGUGAUCAUGAGAGGGUGAACCACUCAAUUGUGCCCUUAUGAUAUUAUAAUUAUUAGUGCCGCCAGAUGGGAGACUUCUUGGGUGAUCAUAGGGAUAGUUAGGGAAUGGACCUCUAGUGAUCACGAGAGGAUGGUCUACUCGCAGGUGUCGAUUUCAUAUUGACCAUUUGAUUAUUGAUAUUGAUAUUAUGCAGAGCUCUAUCCGAUGUAUAGUAGGUGGGUCAAGGGCCCUAUGAAAUGAAAUAAUUUCGAGUCGACUUUGAUGAAUAUUUGAAUAUGAUGCUUCUUUAUCGUGAUGUUUAAAGUAAAUAGCAUAGUUGUAUAUAUCAUUAUUAUUCAUAUUCAUGACAUGCGUGAAUUUUACUUACUAAGCAUUGGCUUAUAUAGUUCUUGCAUUGUAGGUGAGUCUGGAACUAUAUAGAGAGCACGGCUAGUUGUGGAGCUCUUACGGGAUUUCAGAGUUCGAUGUACAUGGAUGAUGACCUGUAGGGUUAUUUUGUGGGCUGCUAUUUUGAGCUUAUGGCCUAUUGCGUUGUAUGUUGAGGAUCUUGUGUUGUAUAUUUUUUGACAUGGCAUGCAGACAUGUUUAUAACCUCAGAAUAUAUAUGUUUGAUUAUGACAAUAUGAUUUUAGUUUAGAGAUAUAGCUUAUGUUGUUUUGUCUGGUGAAAAAAUGUGUGAAAUUCUAUGUCUAGGUGACAUAGAUUAAAUUUGAAGCAUAUAACUACAGAAAAUGAUCAAAACUGAUAUUAGGAUAAUCUUUUAAAAUAUUGUAAUGGUUAAUGCAUUAGAUUAACUUAAUAUUCUAUCACAUAACAGUCAUCAUUUAAUUAUAAAUUAUGAGGGUAUGUAGUCAAUGUUUUAAUGAACUAACAUGCAGUAAUUUUAGCUAAAGAUUACUUGAAUUGUGAAAAGCAAAAUGUUUAUAUUUAAUAUCUUAUUUUAGUUUAUGAAUUAAUAAAAAAAAGAAAUUUACUGAUAAGUUUACAUUUAUUAAUAGUUAGAUUAGGUAUUAUUAUACAUCUAGUUCGCGUGGAGUCCACAUAUGAGAUAACUAGGAAUUAGACGCCAUGUUGGCUAUUGUCCUCUACAAUAUAUGUGGAGGCCUAUCUUAAUUCCUACUCGCAUGCUUGGUUGGUGUGAUUGUAUGAUUCUAAAUAUCCAUUCAAAAUCUUAGACGAUCAAAAGAAGAUCCAGAAGAAUAAUCAUCAAAUAGGUAAUUCUUUUUUAAAGAAACAAUAUCAUAAUUAUGAUAACCGCUCAACAAGUGACUAUACGACAUGUACUAUUGGCCUAAUUUAACCUAAAUUCAUCUAUAAAUACAUACGCUUGGUUCAAAGAAAAGAUACACAACAUUGGACUCUAGCCAAAGUUCUGUUCAUUUGUCUCUUUCACAUAAAUUUUAUUCUCUAAUAUUUUUUGACAAUAGACUUGAUCGUUUGAAUGUAAAUGUACAAGAUAUGAUUCAAAAAAGUGACGUUGAAUUUUAAAGUGCAAAGAAGGUAUAAGUUGGAAGCAACAACUACAAAUUGUCCUGAAAUAAAAGUUGAAUAGCGUUAACAUUUUUACUCAUAGAAGAUAGCGGAGUGCAUUUCUUAGUAAGCAUUUUUUUAUAAUUUUUUUUUUUUUAUAAAUAAUGUUAGUGGGAGAUCAUAAAUUUAUGGGGAAUACCAUGGUGAAUUUAUGAAUAUUAUUUCAAAAUAACUUUAAGGGGUACAAGGCACACCAGUUUACUACAUAAACCGAAUCAGGAUCCCAUUCUUCAUAUAUUUCAAUAUAAAUAGUGAGUUAACGUAUGUUGCACGUUAAUUGAUUAAUGUUUAAAAUAAACGUAUGUAAAUUUUAGAAAAAUUCUUUUAUAAAUUUGAAAGAUAUUCAUAAAUUCGUUGAAAUUGACUUAUUAUUCAUCAAUUUUCUCUGUAUAUUUUUUAUUUUUCAUAUCAACAUUUGAGAAUUUGCAUAUAUUUGUACCAGGCAUUUCCCUGUAGAAAAGUUUGUGGGAAAAUUUUUUCUGCGAAAUAUACUUCUCUAUAUAUAUAUUAGCUCAAACUAAAAUAUGAUUUAACACACUCAAACAUUGCCCCUAAUUCAUAUUAUGAGUAUAAUAAUUAAAUAUCACCAAGAUAUGCAACAUAACAAUAUCUACACUAUUGCAUUAAAAAUGAUUUUUCAUGUUGACAGGAAUUAUGUAGAAUCAUAAAUUAUGGCUUAAAAUGUUAAAUGCAAUUUCAGGUAUCAACCUUCUUCCAAAGACAUGAUUUUGUAAUAUUGCAAAAAUGUAAUUAGAACAUUAGAAAAUAAUGUAGACAUGGACAUAACUAUAAAGGGAGAAAACUUCUUCAAACUUUUCAAAGUUCAAUUAAAAAGAAUUUUAAAUCGAACAAAAAAUUAUUUAUAAUAUGAAGAAAAAAGAAAUUUAAAAUAUUUUUUUUCGAAAAAUAUAAUAAAAACAAAACAAACUAAGCAAAAGAAAAUUACAAAAAUUAAAUAAAGAAUAUAUAAAUAUUAUUUAAUUAAAAUUGAAAAAAUUAAGUUUUAUCAUGAAGAGAAAAUAAUUAAAAAAAUUUUAAAUCGAAUAAAAUUAUUUAUAACAUGAACAAAACAAAUUUAAAAUAAAAACAAAUGUGGAAAUAAGAAAGAAGAAAAAUAAAAUCUAGGAGAACCCAAACCUCCAUCCUGGAUGGAGGUCUAAACCUCUCCAUCCAGAUGAUGGAAGUUUUUUCCUAUCCUUAAAAAAUAAAAAAAUAAAAAAAAAUUCUUAAACUUGAUGAAGCAAGCAAAAAUAGAAAAAAAAAAGACUAUUAUAAAGUUUUUUAAUUAAAUUGAAAAAAUUAAAAAUUAAAAAUUAAAAUGAAUAUUAUUUUUUAAUUAAAAUUGAAAGAAUUACAUCUUAUAAUAAAACGAAAAUAAUUAAAAGAAUUUUAAAUUGAAAGAAAUAUUUAUAGUAUGAAGAAAAAAGAAAUUUUAAAACAAUUUCCAAAAAAUAUAUAAUAAAAACAAAAUAAAUUAAACAAAAGAAAGUUACGAAAAUUAAAUAGACAAUAUAUAAAAAUUAUUGAACUAAAAUUGAAAAAUUGAUUUUUAUCUUGGAGAGAAAAGAAUUAAAAAGAAUUUUAAAUCAAAAAAAUUAUUUAUAACUUGAACAAAAUAAAUUAAAAAAGAAAAACGAAAAAUAAAAUUCAGGAGAACCCCAAACCUCCAUUCAUGAUGGAGGUUUUUCUCAAAACCUCCAUCUUGGAUGGAGGUCUAAAUAGGAACAGAUGGACUAAUCCAAAUGCUAUCUUCUCCAAGACAUAAACAUUAUAUACUGUUUGUGAUAUUGAAAAAUUUAGACAUAUAUGGACACGAAAUUUUGAAGCAUCAAAUCAAAAAUAAAAUAAACUAUUUGAUUGAAAAGAAGUCUCCAAACUUCAAAACAUUAAUUAUAUGAUAAAAAACCUAAAUAAACAAAAGCUAGCAUCACGGAGCUCCUGCUCCUGCUGGAUGGAGCUUUGGUCAACUGCACUUAUUUUGAGUCACAUUCAUCAUUUUAAAAUCUAGACUUCUCUGCUAAUUCAAAUCAAACUAAAGUAUUAAAUUCUCCAAAAUUCUAUCAAUUCACAUAAAAAAAAAAGAAAAAGAAAAAGGAAAAGGAAAACCACAAAACGAAAAGAUAAAUAAAAAGAAACUUACAUUAAUCAGUAGUCUGCAACUCGAUUUCGAUUUGAUUUCAAGGAAGAAGAAGAAGGAAACUCAUGUAUAAAAAAGCUUGCAAUGUUAGUUUCAAUUAAAAAGAAAAAUGUAGUAGAUUAUACUUAAAAGAAACAAAAUAAAUUAAACAAAAGAAAGUUACGAAAAUUAAAUAGACAAUAUAUAAAAAUUAUUGAACUAAAAUUGAAAAAUUGAUUUUUAUCUUGGAGAGAAAAGAAUUAAAAAGAAUUUUAAAUCAAAAAAAUUAUUUAUAACUUGAACAAAAUAAAUUAAAAAAGAAAAACGAAAAAUAAAAUUCAGGAGAACCCCAAACCUCCAUUCAUGAUGGAGGUUUUUCUCAAAACCUCCAUCUUGGAUGGAGGUCUAAAUAGGAACAGAUGGACUAAUCCAAAUGCUAUCUUUUCCAAGACAUAAACAUUAUAUACUGUUUGUGAUAUUGAACAAUUUAGACAUUUAUGGACAUGAAAUUUUGAAGCAUCAAAUCAAAAAUAAAAUAAACUAUUUGAUUGAAAAGAAGUCUCCAAACUUCAAAACAUUAAUUAUAUGAUAAAAAACCUAAAUAAACAAAAGCUAGCAUCACGGAGCUCCUGCUCCUGCUGGAUGGAGCUUUGGUCAACUGCACUUAUUUUGAGUCACAUUCAUCAUUUUAAAAUCUAGACUUCUCUGCUAAUUCAAAUCAAACAAAAGUAUUAAAUUCUCCAAAAUUCCAUCAAUUCACAAAAAAAAAAAAAAAAACGGAAAACCACAAAACGAAAAGAUAAAUAAAAAGAAACUUACAUUAAUCAGUAGUCUGCAACUCGAUUUCGAUUUGAUUUCAAGGAAGAAGAAGAAGGAAACUCAUGUAUAAAAAAGCUUGCAAUGCUAGUUUCAAUUAAAAAGAAAAUGUAUUAGAUGUAUACAAUCUAUUUUAUUUUAGAUUAUACUUAAAAGAAUAGAACAAAAAUACCUAGAGUGCAAGUCGAUAUCCGAGCAAUUGAUGAACCCGCAAUAAUAGCAUGUGCAAUUGAGAAAUUAUAAUUUAGAAUUUUUUGAUUUCUGAAAAAAAAAAAAAAAAAGGAAAGAAGGUGAAGAAGAGCAGAGCAAUGGUCGAUUUUGUGAUAAAAUGGAGAAAUUAUACAUCUAGUUCGUCCAAUACAAUAAAAAAAUAAAUAAAAGUACAGACGAAAAUAAUUCAAAGAAUUUUAAAUUGAAGAAAAAAAAUAUUUAUAAUAUGAAGAAAAUUUUUUUAAAACAAUUUUAGUAAACUUAUAAUAAAAACAAAACAAAUUAAACAAAAAAAAAUUAAAUAAAGAAUAUAUAAAUAUUAUUUAAUUAAAAUUAAAAAAAUAAGUUUUAUCAUGAAGAGAAAGAAAUAAAAUGAAUUUUAAAUCGAGAAAAAUUAUUUAUAAUAUGAACAAAAUAAAUUAAAAAAGAAAAAAUAAAAGAGAAAAAAAAUAAAAACGAAAAAUAAAAUCCAAUAGAACCCUAAACCUCUAUCCAUGAUAAAGAUUUUUUUUCAAAACCUCCAUCUUGGAUGGAAGUCUAAAUUGGAACGGAUGAACUAAUCCAAAUGCCAUCUUCUCCAAGACAUAAAUUUUAUAUACUGUUUGUGCUAUUUAAUAAUUUAGACAUAUAUGGACAUGAAAAUUUGAAACAUCAAAUCAAAAUCAAAUAAACUCUUUGAUUGAGAAGAAAUCUCCAAACUUGAAAAUAUUGAUUAUCUUACAAAAAACCUAAAUAAACAAAAGCUAGCUGCACGGAGCUUCUACUCCUGCUGGAUGGAGCUUUGCUCAACUGUACUUAUUUUGAGUCAAAUUCAUCAUUUUAAAAUCUAUACUUUUCUGCCAAUUCAAAUCAACCUAAAGUAUUAAAUUCUCCAAAAUUCCACCAAUUCACAAAAAAAGAAAAUAAAAAAUAGAAAAAGAAAAUCACAAAACGAAUUUUUAAAUAAAAAGAAACUUACAUAAAUCAGCAGUCUGCAACUCGAUUUCAAUUUGAUUUUAAGGAAGAAGAAGAAGGAACCUCAUGUAUACAAAAGCUUGCAAUGCUAGUUUUAAUUAAAAAGAAAAAUGUAUUAUAUGUAUACAAUCUAUUUUAUUUUAGAUUAUACUUCAAAGAAUAGAACAAAAAUAUCUAGAAUGCAAAUCGAUAUCCGAGGAACUGAUGGACCCGUAAUAAUAGCACGUGCAAUUGAGCAAAUUAUAAUUCAAAUUUUUUUGAUUUUUGUAAAGAAGAUGAAGAAGACCUGAGCAAUGGAGAGAAAUGGUCGAUUGAGUGAAAAAAAAUAGAGAAAUGGUAUGGCUACAUCUAGUUUGCCCAACACAAUAAAAAAUAAAUAAAAGUAUAGGACGAUAUAUAUUGGAGAUACGUGUCCAGCCAAUGCUUUCGCUCUUUUAUAUAUGUAGGAUGUUGACAAAAUAACGGUAGUUAGGUCAUCUCCAACGCAAGACAUGAAGUUGGUACGACUUUCAUACAAUUUUGUAAAGUUACUUUCAAUCCAUUAUACCAAAUACUGCAUCAAAUGAAUAAUUUAUUUCCUUAUCUUUUAAUUAUCAAAAAUUAAUUUAUUUCAAGAAUUAUUUACUUAUAAAUUAUAUUCUACUGAAAUACCAGAUUAAAAGUUAAAUUUAAUUAACGAAAAUAUUAAAUUUAUUAAUAAAUAUAAAAGGCUUUACACUUAAUACGACAAUUGAAAAAUUAUGACACUUAACACACAAAAUAAAUUUUUUACAUAUAAUAAAAAAUUACAUUAUAAAUUUUAUUAAAAGUAAUGAUCAAAUUAAAAUAAAUAAAAUCAUCAAGGAUAAAAUUUGUUAGUACAAAAUGAAGAGGAAAAUGGGAAUUAUGAAAAACUCUAAAAGUCAUACUAAAUGAAUAGUGUUGCAGCUAAUUUAGUGCAACAUUGUUAAUUGUACCAACCUGAUGUAAAGAUUUAAGAAUAUUGCUAUUUAUACAUAAUGAUAUUAUAUAAUGAUUUACAUAUAGAUGAAGUGCCAAAAAGAGAUUGUGGAAGAUUUUUUUUUAUUUAUUUAAUUGAAAAAUUCUAAAUCAAUUAUAUCAACUACAUUAAACCAUCAUGUAAAUCAUUAUGUAUAUAUAACACAACUGUAAAUUUAAUAUUCGGUUUGAGUGAUAUUUGCACCAAUGCAAAGUGAUUUGAGAUAUAACUGUAGUAUUCUAGACAAGACAAGUGACUGGGCUUUGCUGCACCAAGUCUUUGAAAUUAUAGUAUAGAACAGAACUUAAACCCUUCAAAAAGAAUGAAAUAUCAUGUCUCAAUUUAUUGUUUACAGUUUAGUUUUGAAAUUUAUUUCAUUGUAUGUUAUGUAAUUGUGAUCUCGUAGACAUAUUUUAAAGAAGAAUUUAUAAUUUUAAGGGGAUUCAAAGUUCAAUUAUUUAAUGAAAAAAUAUUUCUAGUCUACGUUUGGGCUCUAUUUUUUCAAAUUAUAAUUAAGGAAUAGUAACUUUUUUAAGAAUGUGUGGUUAAAAAAAGGUCAAUUUUUAAGGUUUACAAGUAAUAUUAUUUUAUUGGAGAAUGUGUGGUUGAUAAGAAAAGAGAGAAAAAUAAAUUUUAAUUUAAUGGGGACCAAACAGAGGCUAAAAGUGUUCGUUACGAUCAAAAGUCUCAAUUUAGUUAUACUAUGAUGUUACAAAUCAGCUAAUACUUAUUCUUGAUUAUUUUUAAAAAACCAGAAGAUUUCUAUUUUAAAUUCAUGAAGUGUGAACAUGUACAGAUUGAAUCAUAUUCACACACCUAUUUUUAAAAAUAAAUAAAUAAAUAAAUAAAGUGCUUUUAAUGGUAUUUACUUUAUAUAUUUAUUAUGACGCAAUUUUUUCAGCUUAAUUAAUCCAUAAGGAUAAAUAGUGUUAGCUGUGUACAUGACAGCAUUAAUUAAAUUUAUCAAAAUGUCAUGACUUUUUGAGGAGAAGACGUGUUCGAGAUGAGCAUUCAGGCUCCAUUAUUAUUUAAAAAAUAAAAGUAAAAGAGAAGUAUAAUAUUAAAAAAAGAAUUUAAAAAGAUAAAGAAAAAACACAAUAAUCUUUCCAAGGUGGCUGCCCUCACACCACCACCACCAUCAUAAUCCCUCAUCAACCAUUAAUAUUGAUCGAUGAAAUUCACCAAGUACACGAUAUCAUAGAUAAAUAAUAUAAUAAUAAAUAAAAUAUCGUCCCGCAAACCUAUGUACUUAAUCUAGUUUUGAUUGAUAUGUGUUCAAUUUGAUUAAUAAGAAUUCUAAUUGAAUAGCCAAGUUUUGACGAUGAAUUUCUAUAAAUAGUUAACUAACUAAUCUAAUUGAUGAGCAAUUAUUAAAGCUUUUGUUAAACCGAUUUAAAUAUGAACAAAGAUUUCGAAUCCCCAUUUAUUAAUUUAUUUUAUUACAAAGCCCAUGACAAUAGUUAUUUAUUCUUGUUGAUUAAUGUUCCUAUUUUGUUUAUAAUCUCUUUCGAAUAUAAUCAAAUAUAUUCUCAAAUGUGACCUUCAUAUAUCUAUACGAAAGAUGCAAACAUGAAAGAAUAAAUUAAAAAUAUUCAAACAACUAUUGAAAUCAUGCAAGACAUAGUAUUAUAUUUCUAUAUUUUAUGUGACCUCACAAGAAUUGUUACUAUUUUGCUAUCUUUCCUAUUAUUUAUCUUGGAUAUAAUAAAAAUCACUCAUCAAUCCAAUUAGCGAUCAAUUAAUUGAAAGCAUCAUAUAUAACAAUUUUUCAAGGUAAAGAAAUACUUAACAUCAAAAUCUUGAAAUUAAAAAAAAAAACUUCAUAAUAAACGAUUUAUCUAUAUCUUAGCAACUAAAACUUUAGCCUAGCAUUACAAUGUUACAAGAAAUCAUAAAGGAAUAAUCAAACAUAAUCCAAAUUCAAAAUAUUUGAAGAAAGAAAAGAGAAGUCACGAAAUCUUGAAUUUCUUCAAUCUUCCUUGAUAUGUUACCUCUUGACUUACCACAAAAGAAUGAUAUUUUUUACCUCUCUUGAUUGCAAGAAUUUGUAUAGUGUAUGGUAUGAGAGAUGUCUUUAGUUAUUGGAUGAAGAUUUAUAUUUAAAAGCCAAAAUUAGGUCAAAAUCCGUGUUGAAAUUGGUUGAAUCAUCCAAGGAAAGUGUCUCGCCUGGCCAGACUACAGCCAUGCGAUUGCAAUAUAUAAAUAUGUGCAAUCGCAUCGUUAAGCACCUUUAUCAAAUAGAGCGUUGGGAUCACAUCACCUUGUUUCAUGCAAUCAUGCCCCUAUAAGUUUAUCAAAUUCUCAAUUUGAUCCCGAAUUCUUUAUUCAAUCUGAAUCCUUUUUUCAUGUAUGUUUAGUCCUUCAUCUUUUAAUUUUAUUCAAUUUGAUCUCUAUAAUCUGCAGACAUCAUUCUUUGGUUCGAAUUAACUUUUAUACAUUAGUUAUUUCCCAAACUUUGGAAUUCUUCCUUUUUCAUCCUUCUGUUUCGCGCGGGUUAAGUCGCUAACAAUUAAAAAGGAUCAGACGAUUGUGUAAGGGACGAAACCUCUUCAGACAAAGUCCCAAAAAGGGGUGUUCUUUUAUUGGCGAUGAACUUUACAAUUGGAAAUGGAAAACAACGUGCCUCCAAGGGGCGCAAGCACACGAGUUACUGAAAGAAAAUUGUUUAAGUCUAAAAAACUAAGGAAAUGAAAAUUACAUGUUCUCUGUUCGAGAGUUUUGGAUUCGGUCCUUUGCCUCUAUGUUCUUUCUCCCUUUUAUACUUCAUAGACGAUCUCUUUGUGAUUAACUGCUCUAAAAACUGCUUGAUCGUCCUAUAACUACCCACUUUCUUCGUAGUGGCCAUUUUAUUAUGAAAACUGCCUUUUAACUGCUGCCAUUACCUUUCAUCGUUCAACUGCUUUCGAUUGAAUUCCUUGAGUCGUGGAACGUGAUAGGGCUGCUUUAGCAACUGCCUUGAUAACUGCAUUUUUUGAUAACCACGACGCGUUAUGUCUGUUGAUACCUUGGGUGACUUGAAGGUUUGGGCGAGAAUAGAAUAACAGCUCUGGACGACCGUAUGACACUCUAUUCGUUCAGAUUCUGGGCGACUCUGGCGUUACAGCAUUCUUGGGCCCCCUUAUUUGGGCCUUCACCUUGAUUUGUUCGAUUGGACUUCGUUCUUUGAGCUAUCUGAUUUGGGGGUCCUCCAAUUGGGCUUUAAUCUUUGGGCCGUUCGAUUUGGGCUAAAUUUUUAUGUGUCAACAAUUACCCCCCUGUAUGGCAGAAUUAAUAAUAAUUAUUGAAUUUUGCAUAUUUACUUUGUGUUUCCAGCAACGUUCGAAAUUCCCAAGAAUUUCAAUCAUUGUUUCCUUCUAUAACUUGAAAAGGUGCGUCGUUUUGCAAACCCUUAUAAACCCCAAACACGCCAUUUCACUGCUACCAAAUCACGCCUCAUAUUUUUUGCAUCUCUUUCACGAUUCACUGUUCAUCUUUUGCUUCCUUAUUACGUAACCCUGAAAAGCUUCGUUUCUCUUCCAAUGGCUGCUUCACAAUCUCAAGCUAGCGACUCCUUUAGUUUUGAUGACUUUCAGAAACUUUUGAGUCGCCCAUACAUAACCCCAAGUUUUCUCGCGCCCGCCGACGUUGGACGUAAUGAGUUUUACUUGGGUCCUUUCUUCAACAAUGCGGAGGCAGUUGAACAGGCGACGGUGGGUCAGCUGUUUCCUUGCACUCAUGGCCCUCCUUUUCUAAACUCUCUGCUGCUGGGCCCACUUCGCGAAAGAGGUAUUCGCACUUGGCCUAAAUCUGAUGUAACUUUUCGUAGGUGGCAUGCUCGUCUUGUGGGUCAUGGUCCUACCAAGGCACUUUUUGAUAGCACUAGGAUUUCUAACUUGUUAGAAGUCUCUAUUCGCCCCCCUGCUUUUGAUUCAGCGCUCUUUUCGAUUGCUUUGAGUUUUUGGUCCCCUGAGUAUAACACCUUUAUUUUUCCUCUUGGCCCCAUGUUUAUUACGUUAAGGGAUGUUGGGGCCCUUGUGAAUCUACCACCUUUGGGCGAUACCAUUUUCCCAGGUAUCUUAGUUUCUGGUGGCGCCCCAAAGUUUGGUAAAAACUAUACCGACUCUUAUUCAAGUCUGCAGACCCUCCACAAUCAUUCGAGUGCUGAGCCUACCUAUACUGAGCGAGUGGCCUUCCUUUUAGUUUGGCUUUGUAAAUAUGUUUUGUGCGUGCCAAGUAUAAAGCCUUCUCUGAGUUAUUUACCCAUAGCGCACGAAUUGGCGCGUGGCAGGUCUUUGAAUUUAUGUUCUUUGUUUUUGGCUACCCUUUAUAAAGGCAUGGCCUCUCUUCAAGCUCAAUUGAAGAAUGGUGCAUCUCCCACAGGCAGUGGAGCUCUUUGGUUUACUCAACUGUGGUUGAGAUCCUAUUUUCCAUCGUUUGGUGCUCCAUCCAUUUCUUGUCCUUCUGCUAGCUGUUACGGGCUAGCUAUGGAGCCCCUAACUCCUGUAAAUAUGUCCAGAAGGGACAUUUUUUCUUUCUUCUAUUCUUUAGAUUCAAUCUCUUCCUUUUUUCCUUUCCCUCCUUUCUUGACUCCAAACUAUGUACAUCCCCCUUCCACUAUAGAUAGCGCGAGCACCUCCCUGCUCAUUUGGAUCCAGUUUUUAACCGGGAGGGAGCUUUUCCAUGAUAUCUUAACUGGGACCAAUGCCAAAGCGGGGGUAGAAAUUUAUGCUCCCCAAUUUUUUGCUCGUCAGCUUGGUUUUGGCCAAACUUGGCCUGUUAUUCUUUACUAUUCGAAGAACUUAAUUGACCGUUUUCAUACCAUUAAUAAGGCGGAAGCAGAGGCUAUAAACGCUCGCAACCUCCAUUUAUCAAGCCACUUUUCAUUAGCCCCUUUUAAUUCUUGUCAUGCCACUCACCCUCUUUUUGAACAACUCUGGCCAUCGGUGAAGCGCAAAUUAUUUGCGACUGAGGCCAAUCGUGCCUUUCAUUCAUUAGACCAACCGAGUAUUUCUUCUCCUCCUCCUGUUUUGGUCACUCCUUUGUCUAUUCGGAGCCCCUCUCCUUCUCGUCACACUAAACAAUCUGUUCGUCCAUCUUCUUCUCUCCCUGCCAGGCCUACUACGGCCAAGAGUGCUCCAAGCCGCAAACGGCCGGCCUCAGCAUCUCUCAUUCUGGAGGAUGAUGUUGAUGAUGAUGAUGAUGAUGAUGAUGAUGAUGCCCCUCUUAUCGUCAGGAGGAAGGUAAUUAAAUUGGUCUAUUUACGAGUAUGCUUUUCCACAUUUGAAACUUUUCUGUGUAUUGAUGAUCUUUUGGACUUUUCAGAAAAGCUCAGCCUCUCCUUCAAAGGCUUUGGCAUCGACAACUCCUGCUCCAUAAUCCUCUGCUGAGGCUACUUCAUCCAAACCGGUUGAUGAGGGGACCAUGCUUAAAGAUGCAUCUUCAAUCCCAGAGUCUUCAUCACAACCCAUGGAUGAGCCACCUUCUUCCUAGGGCGUCGACCCCCCAAACAUCGAAGCAGAAGGUAAUUCAGUUUUUUGAUGUCUUACCUUUGCUCGUGCUAUUGGUUUCUGAUUUGUUGCUCUUGAGCUUUGCAGAUACUCCUAUGAGUCCCCCCGUUGUGGCAACAUCUUCUUGCUCGGACAAGGGGAAGUCCUCACAAAUGGAUGAGCCGUUGGUGGCAAGCUUGGCUGAGGGCGGUGCCAUCUUCUACGAUUGUCGACGAGGUAGUUUUUCUUUUUGCUUCAUUUCUAUUUCCACCUUGUUCGUUGUAUUGAGGAUUUUUAAUAUUGGCAGUCUUCUUUGCAGGAUGCUGACAGGAUUGUACGUUCUAUCCAAGACUUGUUCGCUUCCUGGCGGCAAAUUCAGACGUUUCGCCCUGCUCCAUUCGAUCGUCCUGCUGCUUCUUCAGAGGAAGACUUGAAGUUCCUGAAGGAAUUGAUACUCGAGUACGUAUCCUUCAUGGAUAUGGAUAUUGGAAGGGCUAGUGCUGCCAGGCACAAGGAUGAACUUGAGCACUUAAGUGCGAAGUUGGAGCAAGCAUUGAUGCUUUCGUCGCUCAAUCUUUCUGCCGAUUUUAAAGCGACGUUGAAGGUUAUCCACUCUGAGGUCCUUUAUAUGCUGGCCAAGAAUACUGAACUAAAGGCCAAGCGUACUCAAUAUCUUCGAGCCGUAGCUGAGAAAGAGUCUUUGCGUAUGGAGAUUAACAAGGCUGAGGACGAGUUGAAAGAAAUCUCCUCUGAAGUCAUGAUUGAAGACUCUUUGAUGGUUAACUUGGCUGCUCAGAUGAGAGAACUUCAAGCUAAAAUGGACGACUGUAGGGCGAGGAUGGUUGCCAAAAAGUGCAACGCCUCCCAAGGAAUUGAGCGAACUAAGUCCUUGGUCGAGCAGUACAAGAAGUUGGAAGUUGAUGAUGAUGACGUCGCGACUGAAUUGAACAUCACUUCCUCUCGACAGAACGAGGAUUGGGAAAAACUUAGGGAACGAAUUCGUUCUUUAUGGGGUAGACUGUAAUUAAGACACACGAUGUCUUUUUUCUUUUGUAAUUCGAUUUUUUCCUUUGUAACUUUAUUCAUCAUUAAUGAACAUUAAUUUCUUGUGCAUUUAUUUGACGUUUAUUUUUUUAGUCAUCAAUUCUUUAAGUACUUAACUGCUUUGCACUAAAAAUCUUGUCCAUUCCCUUUUGAUAUUCCCACUACUGUUCCCAAAACUUAGGGCUAUUCAAUUCCGUUUAUUAGACAAAAAUGUGGCUGUUCAUAUUCUGUCUCUUCAUCUUCACCCCCCUAUAAAUGCUUUGCAUUUUUCAUCCUCUAUCUUCAUCUCUUCAUUUUCUUCUUCGAAAUCAAUUUGCUGCCAUUUCUUGGCAUUCUGACGAUCAACCUGAUUCAAAAAUAGAUUGUUUAAUCCGUCCGCCUUAUAUUUACUUUGAUGUCACCUUUGGUAUGGGAGGUAUAGGAAAUAUUUUCUGGCCAGCAGCGAAGUUCUUUCCUGCAAAAUUCUUCCCAUCGUCUCUUUGUUCUUCACAAGGAGGCAAUGAUGGGAGGCAAUUUUUGGGCUGCUUGUGGGCCACUUUGCUUGCUGAGAGUACUUCUCAGCUUGCCUGCUGAGAGUGUUUCUCAGCCUCUUUGCUCGCCAUCGCAGCGAUGCAUUUAGGAAGGUGGUGAGGCCAUUAGACCCUCUCACUCGGCAAUCCCACCAUUGCAGCGAUGUAUUUAGGAAGGCGGUGGGGUCAGUACACCCUCUUACUCGUCAAUCCCACCUUUGCAGCGAUGCAUUUAGGAAGGCGGUGUGAAGCUUACUCAGCGAUCAAUCGGGAGAUCAUCUUACUUUAGUUGUAUUUUGUAUCACGUCCAUUCAUUUGUAUCUUUUGUAUUCUUGUAAUGAACGUUUGAUAAUAAAGAACUUUAUUCGAACGUAUUCCGCUCUGUCUUUAUUAUCUUUUGAUCGUCCAGAAUGUUUGGUUAUGUUUUUAUCUGUUCACAUUCCCAUAAAGAAGGAACAUAUUUUUUCAAAUAUUUGCCGUUAAUGAAUCUUACGUGCUUGGUGCCAUCUAAAUCUUCCAAGUGUAACGCUCCAUUAGGCAACACACUGUUUAUUUUGUAUGGUCCUUCCCAAUUGAACGACCACUUUCCGUACUUUGGAUCCUUGGUAUCCAAAGGGAGUAUCGUCUUCCAAACUAGUUCGCCCAAGCUGAACGACUUGGCUAUGACUUUUUUAUUAUAAAACUUAGCCAUUCUUUGCUUUUGAACUUGCAACCUAUCUAAGACGUCCAACUUCAAUUCGUCUAAACUCAACAAAUUUUGAACUAGUGAUUCGACAUAUUCAUCAUCAUUCAACUUAUGUUGCAAGCACACUCGAAUAGAUUGCACGUUGAUUUCCAUAGGCAAAACGGCCUCCUGUCCAUAAACAAGUUGGAAAGGAGUAACUUUGGUACUUGACCGAGGUGAUGUUCUAUAAGCCCAUAAGGCCUUGUUCAAACAUUCGUACCAAUUUCUGGCGUUUUCAUCUAUCAUCUUUCUGAUGAUAUUUUUUAGAAUCUUAUCAGAAGAUUUCGCUUGUCUGUUGGAUUGAGCGUAGUACGGUGUGGAGUUUACUAAUUUAACCCCAAACUCGCUCAAAAAUUUGUUCACUUGAUCCCCAUUCAAAGAUGUUCCGUGAUCUACCAUUAAAGUUUGUGGAAUUCCAAACCUAUAAAUAAUGUGAUCACGGAUAAAUUCUAUAACAUUCUUCUAGAUGAUCUUUUUCAAAGGUACCGCCUCUACCCAUUUGGUGAAAUAGUCGGUUGCAACUAUAACAAAAGUAUGUUGCUUGGACGAUGGAGGGUAGAUCUUUCCUAUCAGAUCUAUCACCCAACCUUUGAACGGCCAAUGUUUAAUAAUAGGUGCCAUUUCUCGUGCUGGCGCCCUUUGUAUUGGACCAUGUUUUUGGCAUGCUAAACAACUUUUUGCAUACUGAACGCAUAGUUCUCCCAUCUUUGGCCAAAAAUAUCCAUUCCUAAUAAUUAACCAUCUUAUCCUAUGGCCAGCUUGAUGAGCUCCACAUAUCCCUUCGUGCACUUCAGCCAUGAUCGUUUUGGCUUCUUGCAAACUUAUACACUUUAGUAAUACACCAUCAGAGCGUUUCUUAAACAACUCUUCAUCUAUUAGUGUGUAAUUCAGCAAACAUAGCUUUGUUUUCCUGCUAACUCCUCCAUUAGGUUCUUUAAGGAACCCUUUAAUCUCUGUUCUCCAAUCCACUGCGUCUCCAUCUUGUAUACAGUGAAGUUCAAUUUUUCUCGCCCUUCUUUGAAUCACGGGCAAUAUGAUUCCAUAAUCACAAGUAGACUUCCAAUUCAAAACCUUUGAGUACCCUGAUGCCAUUUGGGCUAACUCAUUUGCCAUGUCGUUAUAUAUCCUAUUAACGCAUUGGAGUUCUACUUGAUCGAAUUCUUCUAGUAAUUCUUGGGCGAUCUCGUAUUGACUUAUAAUGGAAUCACUUUGGUAUUUAAAAUCACCGAUCAAUUGAUGGAUCACCAAUUGAGAAUCGCCUCUAACGAUCACAUUUCUUAUUCCCAUAUCUAUCAUUAGUUCUAGGCCUACAAUUAAGGCUUCAUAUUCGGCCUGAUUGUUGGUGCACAUUUUGUCUAAGGUGAAUGCCAACUUGUAGCAAAUCCCUAAAGGAUUAAUCAACGCUACUCCUACUCCUACACCUUUAGAGGUCUUUGACCCAUCGAAAUACAACACCGAAGGUUUUAAUUCGAACGAAUUGAUUUCUAGUUCGAUUUCUUCAGGCAUGUCAAGGCAUGGAUGAUCGGCUAGAAAGUUAGCCAAAGCCUGAUUUUUGACUGCCUUUUGAGGUAUAUAUUGUAUUUUGAAUUCUGAUAAAGCUAGUGUCCAAAGGCCUACCCUUUGAUAUAAAAUAGGGCGCGAAAACAUAUACUUAACUAAAUUUACCUUAGAAAUUAAAUAAACGGUUACGGGCCGUAAGUAAGCCCUUAGCUUUGUACAUGUGAAAUACAACGCAAGACAUAAUUUUUCAACAGCAGAGUAAUUGCAUUCACAUUUAGUUAACCAUCUACUUAAAUAGUAAAUUGCCCUUUCUUCACCAACUUGGUCUUCCUGCGCGACCAUUCCAGCUAUUGAUUCUUUUUCAGCCGACACGUACACUUUCAUCGGCCGUCCUUGGAUUGGUGACACCAACACUGGUGGACUUGAUAGAUAUAUCUUCAGGCUUUCAAAAGCGUUUUGAUGUUUUUAUUUCCAGACGAAUUCAUCCUGAUUUUUCAGCUUUAAUAGCGGCGAAAAGAUUUUAGUUCGCCCUGCACAGUUAGAAAUAAAGCGUCUUAGAAAAUUUACNNNNNNNNNNNNNNNNNNNNNNNNNNNNNNNNNNNNNNNNNNNNNNNNNNNNNNNNNNNNNNNNNNNNNNNNNNNNNNNNNNNNNNNNNNNNNNNNNNNNNNNNNNNNNNNNNNNNNNNNNNNNNNNNNNNNNNNNNNNNNNNNNNNNNNNNNNNNNNNNNNNNNNNNNNNNNNNNNNNNNNNNNNNNNNNNNNNNNNNNNNNNNNNNNNNNNNNNNNNNNNNNNNNNNNNNNNNNNNNNNNNNNNNNNNNNNNNNNNNNNNNNNNNNNNNNNNNNNNNNNNNNNNNNNNNNNNNNNNNNNNNNNNNNNNNNNNNNNNNNNNNNNNNNNNNNNNNNNNNNNNNNNNNNNNNNNNNNNNNNNNNNNNNNNNNNNNNNNNNNNNNNNNNNNNNNNNNNNNNNNNNNNNNNNNNNNNNNNNNNNNNNNNNNNNNNNNNNNNNNNNNNNNNNNNNNNNNNNNNNNNNNNNNNNNNNNNNNNNNNNNNNNNNNNNNNNNNNNNNNNNNNNNNNNNNNNNNNNNNNNNNNNNNNNNNNNNNNNNNNNNNNNNNNNNNNNNNNNNNNNNNNNNNNNNNNNNNNNNNNNNNNNNNNNNNNNNNNNNNNNNNNNNNNNNNNNNNNNNNNNNNNNNNNNNNNNNNNNNNNNNNNNNNNNNNNNNNNNNNNNNNNNNNNNNNNNNNNNNNNNNNNNNNNNNNNNNNNNNNNNNNNNNNNNNNNNNNNNNNNNNNNNNNNNNNNNNNNNNNNNNNNNNNNNNNNNNNNNNNNNNNNNNNNNNNNNNNNNNNNNNNNNNNNNNNNNNNNNNNNNNNNNNNNNNNNNNNNNNNNNNNNNNNNNNNNNNNNNNNNNNNNNNNNNNNNNNNNNNNNNNNNNNNNNNNNNNNNNNNNNNNNNNNNNNNNNNNNNNNNNNNNNNNNNNNNNNNNNNNNNNNNNNNNNNNNNNNNNNNNNNNNNNNNNNNNNNNNNNNNNNNNNNNNNNNNNNNNNNNNNNNNNNNNNNNNNNNNNNNNNNNNNNNNNNNNNNNNNNNNNNNNNNNNNNNNNNNNNNNNNNNNNNNNNNNNNNNNNNNNNNNNNNNNNNNNNNNNNNNNNNNNNNNNNNNNNNNNNNNNNNNNNNNNNNNNNNNNNNNNNNNNNNNNNNNNNNNNNNNNNNNNNNNNNNNNNNNNNNNNNNNNNNNNNNNNNNNNNNNNNNNNNNNNNNNNNNNNNNNNNNNNNNNNNNNNNNNNNNNNNNNNNNNNNNNNNNNNNNNNNNNNNNNNNNNNNNNNNNNNNNNNNNNNNNNNNNNNNNNNNNNNNNNNNNNNNNNNNNNNNNNNNNNNNNNNNNNNNNNNNNNNNNNNNNNNNNNNNNNNNNNNNNNNNNNNNNNNNNNNNNNNNNNNNNNNNNNNNNNNNNNNNNNNNNNNNNNNNNNNNNNNNNNNNNNNNNNNNNNNNNNNNNNNNNNNNNNNNNNNNNNNNNNNNNNNNNNNNNNNNNNNNNNNNNNNNNNNNNNNNNNNNNNNNNNNNNNNNNNNNNNNNNNNNNNNNNNNNNNNNNNNNNNNNNNNNNNNNNNNNNNNNNNNNNNNNNNNNNNNNNNNNNNNNNNNNNNNNNNNNNNNNNNNNNNNNNNNNNNNNNNNNNNNNNNNNNNNNNNNNNNNNNNNNNNNNNNNNNNNNNNNNNNNNNNNNNNNNNNNNNNNNNNNNNNNNNNNNNNNNNNNNNNNNNNNNNNNNNNNNNNNNNNNNNNNNNNNNNNNNNNNNNNNNNNNNNNNNNNNNNNNNNNNNNNNNNNNNNNNNNNNNNNNNNNNNNNNNNNNNNNNNNNNNNNNNNNNNNNNNNNNNNNNNNNNNNNNNNNNNNNNNNNNNNNNNNNNNNNNNNNNNNNNNNNNNNNNNNNNNNNNNNNNNNNNNNNNNNNNNNNNNNNNNNNNNNNNNNNNNNNNNNNNNNNNNNNNNNNNNNNNNNNNNNNNNNNNNNNNNNNNNNNNNNNNNNNNNNNNNNNNNNNNNNNNNNNNNNNNNNNNNNNNNNNNNNNNNNNNNNNNNNNNNNNNNNNNNNNNNNNNNNNNNNNNNNNNNNNNNNNNNNNNNNNNNNNNNNNNNNNNNNNNNNNNNNNNNNNNNNNNNNNNNNNNNNNNNNNNNNNNNNNNNNNNNNNNNNNNNNNNNNNNNNNNNNNNNNNNNNNNNNNNNNNNNNNNNNNNNNNNNNNNNNNNNNNNNNNNNNNNNNNNNNNNNNNNNNNNNNNNNNNNNNNNNNNNNNNNNNNNNNNNNNNNNNNNNNNNNNNNNNNNNNNNNNNNNNNNNNNNNNNNNNNNNNNNNNNNNNNNNNNNNNNNNNNNNNNNNNNNNNNNNNNNNNNNNNNNNNNNNNNNNNNNNNNNNNNNNNNNNNNNNNNNNNNNNNNNNNNNNNNNNNNNNNNNNNNNNNNNNNNNNNNNNNNNNNNNNNNNNNNNNNNNNNNNNNNNNNNNNNNNNNNNNNNNNNNNNNNNNNNNNNNNNNNNNNNNNNNNNNNNNNNNNNNNNNNNNNNNNNNNNNNNNNNNNNNNNNNNNNNNNNNNNNNNNNNNNNNNNNNNNNNNNNNNNNNNNNNNNNNNNNNNNNNNNNNNNNNNNNNNNNNNNNNNNNNNNNNNNNNNNNNNNNNNNNNNNNNNNNNNNNNNNNNNNNNNNNNNNNNNNNNNNNNNNNNNNNNNNNNNNNNNNNNNNNNNNNNNNNNNNNNNNNNNNNNNNNNNNNNNNNNNNNNNNNNNNNNNNNNNNNNNNNNNNNNNNNNNNNNNNNNNNNNNNNNNNNNNNNNNNNNNNNNNNNNNNNNNNNNNNNNNNNNNNNNNNNNNNNNNNNNNNNNNNNNNNNNNNNNNNNNNNNNNNNNNNNNNNNNNNNNNNNNNNNNNNNNNNNNNNNNNNNNNNNNNNNNNNNNNNNNNNNNNNNNNNNNNNNNNNNNNNNNNNNNNNNNNNNNNNNNNNNNNNNNNNNNNNNNNNNNNNNNNNNNNNNNNNNNNNNNNNNNNNNNNNNNNNNNNNNNNNNNNNNNNNNNNNNNNNNNNNNNNNNNNNNNNNNNNNNNNNNNNNNNNNNNNNNNNNNNNNNNUAACAGCUUUCAAACCGGAACAAAUCUCUACACUAAUAUGAAAAUUAUAUUGUAGAAGCAAAUAUGGAUUGUAAGGAACAACCUAUUAGUUAUCAAAUGUUGCAUUUCAGACUUUCACCUAUGAAUUAGGAAUUGAAGAAAUUUGACUAAUUGUUACGUACUAAUAUCGUAAAUUAAGAAAACUAAUGUUAAUAAGAAUAAUAAUGGUAUUUACCUUAUAUCCAUAAUUUCUUCUUCUAUAUAUUGGAUAUACAUCAUUUCCUUGCACUGUCUUCGAGGAAAAUGGUCUUGGAUAAUGGAAUCAACAUGUCCUGCUUACUAUACAUGGAAAUUUGUUGUUAUAUUCUCCAUAGGGUUCAUGUAGCAUGUGUUUGACAACUACUUUGUAAAGAGUAAAUUUUGUUUCUUUGUCUGGGAUUUUUGCCUACAUAUAUUUGUCAUAUUGGUCAGCAUUUGUGAUUUUGUAACCACUUUUCAAUAUAAUUAAUAUGUGAGCACGUGGAAGUCCUCUUUUUUGAAAUUCAAUCACAUAAAGAUAAGCCGCAACUUUGUUAAGAAUCUCUUUUUUCAAUAUUUGAUCUUUUAGGUCCAUUAGCUUUCCUCUAAAGACCUUUGUAGUGAGAUUGGGUCUAUCUUGAGGACGUUGACCUUCUUCGAGUUUGUCUUAAUGUCUUGGUGUCAACCCGCCUCCCCAUUUGGAAAUAGUAGAGGAUAUUGAAGUGAAUCGUAACAACUGAAGUAGUGUCGAAUAAUAUGUCGAUUUCUAGAAUGUGCAUGAACAAUAAUAUUCCUUUCGAAAGGUAUGAGAUCAUCAUUUCUUUCUAUCCAUAGGGCAGCCACUUGAUUGAUGGUCGGUGUAUUGUGUACACGUUGAUCGAUAUUAACAUUGCUUGCAAUAUGUAUCUGUAUAUUGUCAAUGCAUGAUUGGUCCUUUAUGGUAUGAAAAAAUUGAGCAUAAGGAUAGUGUUGUAGAAGUUGCAUCAAUUGUUGAACAAUGGUUUUUAUCAAGAUCGGCAUCUCUUAGUAUGUGAAUCAUGUUUUCCAAUUCGUGAUCAACAUUGUAAAAAUACAAUUGAAAAAAUAUAGGUCGUUUUUCUGGUAAAAAAGCUGGAAGAUCAUGGUAUAUUUGCCCGUGAGCUCUAAAUGUGUGAACUCCCUUGUUUGAUGUAGUGAGAUCUUUAUCAAAAUUUACAUCGAACGAAAUGAAGGAAAAUAUGCUGUUAUAACCUCUCAAAUUUUUUUGACAUAAAAUCCCUUCACUGGAUUGUGAAUUAAACAAAUGAUACAAUUCAUUUGGCACUUUGUUUUCAGCAAGUCGGAUCUAAUAAAUGUUGAAUGAAAAAUUUUUAACUGAUAAAUUAUACAAAUGUUUGAUAAUAGAAGGUAGAAAAUAUUUGACCUAACCAUUUUGACAACAAAAUGUUGGAGUUUCAUACUCAUUUUGUUGUGCCCCAAAAAGUGCAUGAACGUAUUUUCUUAAGCUCGUGUAUUGGAGAACACCUGUACAAUAUUAAAUGAACUUUGACAACUAAUAUUGGUAAAAAAAUAAUGUAGAGUCAAUCCAACGAUCCAAGAGUAAGACCUUGAAUUUGAUUCCGAUUUUGUUCUUGUUUGGUUUCAAUGGAAGAUGAGAUACAACACUUGUUGUCUGUGUCCUCUGUGUAUCUCUUCUUUCUGGAUUCAAUUGUAAGCUAAAUCUUUCUGAUCCUUUGUACUUUUGAGAGCCUUAAAUAUUUUGUUCUUUUACGUUGGUUAUCAUGUCUAAGGAAUUAUUUCCUGAGACUCAACAACACGAAAAUAAAUGAAUUUAAAGAGUUAUUGAUUAGAGUGUCUUAUAAAGUUAGAUUACAUUUUAUAUGCAUUUAAAUAAUGGAAAGAAUUGAAAUUAUUUAAUUAUAAAUUACUUGAACUUCUAGAAAAAUGAUUACAUAUUAGUAUAUAUGUAGAACCUGAUGAAUUUUUUAAAAUCAAUAUUUAAGUUGUUAAAAUCUCUACGAUUUUAGUGUUUGAAUAUGAAGUGUUUUAGUGUAAAUGUUAGUAAUAUUUGUGAAUGAAUAUACAGUAUAAUCAGAUGUAUAAAAGAACUUCGAGUGGUAAAUAAAAACAUUAAUAAUUAAUAAGUUGAAUAAAAAUAGAAAUGAAGAGGAAAAAUAUUUGUUACCAAACUAUCAGAAUAAUUUUAUUAUUACUAUUACUAUAUAAAUGAUAAACUAAGCAAGCAUAAGCACUAGCAAACCAUUUUUCCUUUUUACAAUUACCAAAAAAAUCGAAAAAGAAAAACCGAAGCCUGAUGAAUAUCUUUCUUCCUUUUUUUUUUUCCCUCCCUAUUUUUGUGCUGGAAAAGAAUACUAAACAAAAAUAGAGAACAAAUUUAAAAAUCGAAAAAUAGUCAACUAAUAGUUUAAAGUGAAAUUAAUCAAAUAAAAGAGAGCCUACUUGGACUUAGAGCGCAGAGAUUGAAGCCAUGAAAAACUUGGUAGAUCUAGGGUUGGCCAUUUGUGGAAGAGCAAAAGUAAAAAAAGUGAAUAUUUUCGGGCUUCAGAAUUUAACGAAUCACAAUUUUUGGGUUUAAUUUGUUUACAAGUUUUGUUUACUCCACAAUACCACCUGCAUAAUAUGUGUUCGUCUGUGUGGGAGAGAGAGACGGUGUGACGAGAAAUUAUAUGACAAACUGCAGACCAGAAGCUAAAUGGAAAUGAAUGUUAAUUGGGAUACACGUAAAUACUAAUUAUAAUUAUUUUAGUAUUAAUGACAAUGAAUACAUAAAUGAAGAUGAAUGUAAAUUCAUUUAUACUUAAUGAAUAAAAUUAAUGUCCAAUGAAGUGAUUCAAAAUUCUUGAAUGGAUCGUAAUUAAAGGGUGUGUAUGUGAACCAAUAUAUGGGUACAUGAACUGAAGUUUUUAUUUCUUCUAAUGUUUGUGGAUUUGCGUGAGAUAUUUGGUUAUGAAAAUGAAAAAUUAAUGCUGCUGUAUAUCAGAUUUGAAAUUGCACAUAUAUUCAAUGUAGGUAAAUGUAUUCAAUAUAUAAUUAUGACUAUGUGUGCAUGCAUGCAUUUACGUUAAUGUUUCAGUAUAUUUUCUGGAUAAGAAUUGGAUAAAUAAUUUAUUAUAGCUCUAAAAUAUAUAAAGUGUAUAUGAACUUGAAGACUUGAUGUGGAAUUUAAUAUAUCUAUAAAUUAAUUAAUUAAUUAAUUAAUUAAUGUUUAUUAUUAUACAUGUACAUAAAAAAAUAAUUGAAUUGUUGUACUUCUAUAGUAAUUGAAUAGCCUCAAGUUAUAAACCAUUUUGUCUAAAUAAUUUUUCCAAGAUCAAAUUUAUAUAUUGAAUGUAUAAUUCUGUGCAUGCAUUAGGUAAAUGUAUUCAAUUGAUAAUUAUCAUUGUAUGUAUGCAUGCAUGCAUUUCUGUAAAUUCUCAGACAUCAUUUUAUUCUGAUUUUUUUAUUUUAUUGAUUCAUGCCUAGAAGUUGUAAUAUAAAUCCAGAGUAUAGAAGUUUAGAGAAAGAGGAUUUACUUAUUUUAGAUAGCUUUUGGAAAUGUUGAGAGAGUGAGCUGGUGUUCCUCAGAAUUCUCAUUUUGGAUGGAUUUUAUGGGAAUUGCUUAUUUCGAUAAUAAGUGGAUCAAUUUUGGUUUCACAAGAAGACAACAAAAUUAAUGCACAAAAAUUUAUUCCUCAAGUUUAAGAUUAAGAUUAAUCAUUAAUAUGAGGUUUAAAUUAAUUCUCCAAACUACCAUGCAUUUAUUUUAUUUUGUUUUCAAAAAUUAUUCUAUUAAUCUAUGGUUUAAAGUCAUUCUUGAAGUUCAAGUAUACAUUAUUUUGUCUAAAUUAAUUUUCCAAGAUUAUGUGUAUAUAUAGCAUGCGUGUCUAGUUUCUUUUGUAAUAAUAAUUGUGAAGAAGAAUAUUAAUUAAAAUGCUUAUUCACUUUCAAGAUUAGUCAAUAAUGUGAGAUCUAAAAUAAAUUUCCAAAGUAUUGUUCAUUUAUUUUAUUUUUCCCCACAAUUUUAACGAUACAGAAAAUUUGUUUUAAAUAUAACAUAAACUUUCUCAUAUUAAAUUAUAACUUCAGUAAAUUAUAAAUGAUAAAAUAAUAGGUGUGCUUUGCGUCGAUGUUUCGAACAAAAAUAAUAAUAUGUGUCUCUUAAAUGAUAAAAUAACAGGUGUGUUUUGAGACGAUGUUUCGAACAAAAAUACUAACAUGUGUUUCUUUAAUCUAAAUCAAUAUUCAAUCUUCUAUUUUUAGUUUCUUGCUCGGAUUGUUCCUUCAAUUAUCUCCUUUGCAUCCACCUUGUAAACUUCUUCGACAAUCAAUUUCUUCCAUGUUCUUUCUUCUCUUUUCUUCACAUCCAUCUUCACCAAGAAUUUGAACUCUUUAUCUUCCGAGGACAUUAGCUUUUUGUAUUAUUUACACAGUUCUUUUUGUUGGUCUGAGAAGAAAAUAACAAUAUAUGUUUUUAUAAAGAUGAGUUAGUCACCUAAUUUUAGUUAGAAGCAAUAUAAUAUGUUGAAAACACAAAAUCUAAAUUAUAUGUUUACCUUUAAAGAGCUUCAGCAUAUUCAAUCACAGUACUUACUAUGAAAGAUUUGGCAGCAUCAAAGAUUGUGACGUAAACUUCUUGAUUACCAUCUAAAACUAUUAUCCUCAACAAAUACUUUCUAUUAAAAGCUAUGUCUUUAAUUUCACAUAUUGUACAUGUGACGAUUUUUUUAAUCUUCCUCUGGGAAACUCUUGCACCACACUUGUUUUGAACCUUUAAAAUCUUGCCUAUAAAAGCACAAUACAAUUUAGUCACACUAUUUGUAACCAUAUCAUCUAAUUUUACGAUACCAGCAUCCACCAUCCUCUUUGUAGGUCCCAAUAGUUUGUACAAUCCUUCACCACAUAGCAAUUUUUUAGUGCUGUAAAAAAAAAAAAAAAAAAAAAAAAGAAAGCAAAAUAAAUCAUCUUUCAGCUCUAUUAAAAUCUGUUUAAAUUUAGUAGUAAUGUAAAUAUAAUCGUCAUGACUAAAUAAACCAUGCUCGCCUAUUUUUAAUAGCAUUAGUUUCUUCAAGUUGCAGAUUGAUCUCAAUGAUACUAAUAUUUGAAGUGGAGAUGUUUAGUUCAUAUGUUUGAUAGACGUUAGUAAGAACGCGGCAUAGAUUGUUGAUUUUAGCAUACAACUCUUUUUAAUAUGAUAAUAAAAUAAUUAUAUAGUAUCACCUUCAUAGUAACUUGCUCUCACAUUCAAAGCUACAAUAAGUGGCAUUGAACAGCAUCUUCCAUAGACUUUCCUUCGUUGUUAGCCAAAUCUCCCCCACAAAUGUAAUUUCAUUGUAUUACACCUGUACUAAAAAAAAAAAAAAAAUUGUUGAGUAAAUAAUAUUAUAAAGUUUAUCUUCUUUUUAUUUGAUUAAAAAAAAUUGUUUGAUUUUAUGGAUGAUGUUUACCCAUUGUCUAGGAGAAUCACUUCUCGUUUCUUCGUUGUUCUUUCACUUGGCCUCUUAACGUUGAUGAUGAACGUAGGUUUUACUUUGACAGCAAAUCCUAUAAUAUCUGAGAACACAAAAGAAAAAAAAUUUCCAGAAAGAAUUCAUUAGCCAGCGGAAAAAAAAAAAAACCUUAGAUAUCAUGAAUUUCUACACCAAUGUUUUCACUAAUGUCAUGUGGAGUGUUCCUUUUUUAUUAUUAUUUUUAUUUUUAUUUUUUUUCCCUUCUUCAAUAAAUAGCUUAAUAAAAUAGGACCUGAUAUAAAAUAUGGGUAGAGUUUUUUGAAUAUUAGAAUUAAUACUUAGUAAGACUUUCCGAACAUUAUUGGAAACUAUGCAUUUGACUGAAAAAUAUAAUUACAAUGACGAUAUCUCUACUAGCAAAAUUUCGUAUGUCAUUGAAUUGAGGAUAAGAGUUUGAUAUCUUAUAGCAUAUGUGUUCUUCAAUCUCUUCUACUUCCGUUGUAGUUGUGAAAGACAAUUCGAUUUCAUCAUUCACAUUUUGGUAUUGACAGGUCUUACAUUUUUAUUUCGUAUAAUGUAAGAUUUCCCCUUUUCAAUUAUAGCAUCGAGUUUUUGAAUUGCAUCAUUGAAUAACAUGGCUUGAAUUUUAUAUCCCUAUAGAGAAAUCACUAUGUUACUUCUAAUAUACCCGAUUGAAUAAACUCAAACAUGAAUAUACCACAUAAUCAUUACUCCAUUACCAUCAAUACUAAAUUCAAAUAAUCCAGUGUAGCAUAAAUAUUCGGUGCAUAUCAAGAGCAAAUAUUUAUUCACUACAACCUAAGUCGUCAGAUUAGAACCUAAGUCAUCAAAUUAGUAAAAUAAAAGUUUUUUUCCUUUCUUUCCUUCCUUUGAUCUCCACACCAUCUCAGAUUCUUACUAUUAAUUUUACUGUACAAAUAUAAAAGUCAAAAACAUAAGAUCCUGUGAGAUAAAUUAAAGUAUUCUUGAUAAAGCAAAAGACUUUUAGAAGCACGUAAAGAUAUGAGGGAAAUGAAAUAUUUAUGCCAUGUCAGUAUUUGAAUCUCAAAGAUGAAUUCAGAAUUAUUAAAUAUAAGGGUCAUCAUAGUAGAUAUAUUACCUCCUUGUCAAUUAGGAUGAUAUUCAAAAGAUCAAAUUUUCCAGCAUUUUGGAAUAAAAUUUGACUAAAUCCUUUCGAACUACCGUCAGUUUAAUGUACCAUUCAUUUUCAUACGCCAAUAAAUCUCUUAUAGCCUAUGAUUCCAUGAAGGGGGAGAGCAAAAUAUUUGAUGAUUUGAUUGAAAUGUGACAACAACCAAUUUGUGAAAAUAAUUUAAAUAGUUGAGGGAUUAGUUCAUUUAUGUCUAAAACUCAUGAUAACAAUCAAAUUCAUUCAUGAACAUGAAAUCUAAUUAAUUCCAAUUGAUGCUGCUGAUGCGUGUCACAUAUAUACAAUGUAUGAUUAUCACUUUAUGGGUGAAUGCAUGCAUUUAGGUAAAUGUAUUCAACAUAUAAUUACCACUAUAUGUGUCCAUGCAUGCAUUUAUGUAAAUGCUUUAGUAAGAAUUGGAUAUACAAUGUAUAAUUAUCACUUUAUCUUUCAAUUUCUAAAUCUUUAAUUGAGUGUCAUAAGACUCGGCUUCUGAAAUCAUCAACCUAGCAACUUGAUUUUAUCCUUGACCACCUUUUCAAACAGCCUCAACACGUCCUCAUAAUUAUUAUACAUGCAUGUGCAUGUAAAUAAAUAACUGAAUCGUAAUAGGGCUUGUAAGUAGUAGUGCUAGAAUCGUCCGAAAAAUGAUUUUCCCUUCAUGUGAUAUUUAGUGUAUUAUAGAUUUUUAUCCCCAACAACUUGCAUAAUAGUUAUGUAGGAAAUCAUCAUUUUUGUUAAAUCAAUUAUAUGAUUUACUUUUCUUUCAGUUGAGAAGAAAACCGACAAAAUUUGUUUUAGGUGAAAAGAAAAAUCAAAUAGAAAAUAUUUUGCUUACGUAGAAGAAAUAAAUGAGGAUAAUUUCUCACCGUACUUGUUGGUCCCAAUCGAUCUUUCAACAAUUAAUUUUAGGCACAAAUUUCAUAAGAUUCACAAAUUUUCAACCACAUUUCAUCAAUUUUUAUCAGAAUCUACUAAAAUACACCAAACAAGGGCUUAGUUCGUUUGUAAUAUUAUUGUCCAAUGAGAAAAAGUUUUUCAACAAUUUGACGUGUAAAUCGACAUUGAAUACGUGUAAUACAACCGACAGCACAUUAUAAGUAUGUUAAUUGCCGAUAUAAAAAUCAUCAACCAAGUUUAAAUUGUAUGUUAUUUGAGCAGGUAAUAAGCAACAAAACAAGGCAUGGCAUUCGUAGAGGAUAGAAUUUAGUUAAUUGGAACAUCAAAUCACCUACAUUUUUCUUGCCCAAAAGGAAACAAUGUGCUUGUAAAUAAUUUAUAGACCUUUCACGAUUAACCAUUUAAGCUAUGCAGUGACUAUUUUAGCUUUAGACAUUCUCUUUCUUUCCGUUCUAUUCUUGCUUUCAGAAGUCUCUGCGAGAAAUACAAAAUUGCAGAUUUAUGGGGUAAAAAUCAAAAGAAUGUCUCUUAACUCACACUAGACGGCCUGCUGCAUCAUAUACUCGCUCCCUGAUGCACUGGUGCUUGUAUGGGACAAGUGCAAAUCCGAUCCCUACAAAAGAUAGCUUUCAGAAGCCCAAUGCUUAAACUCAUGUGAUGAACUCAGCAUCGGAGAUGCAAAGAGAUAGGACGAACAUCACUUUCACUUAUUAGUAAAUUACUGGGUUUAAAACAAGUUCACAACGAGUAAAGGUGAAGCUGAAUCCAUGAGUAGUAGUAGUACAAUAUAAGAAGUUUCAUACUUCUUGACAUUUUAUUUCAAGCUCCACAGGUACAUUUUUGUAGCACAGGACACGUAUCCGAAUUGAUAUCAUAUAUAAACCUCAAACGCCUAAAAUUCUUGGGCAGACUAGCUCUUUCACAACUCGUAAUGUCUCAAAUUCGUAUGUUUACGAGAAGUGAUAAAUAUCCUUGAAUGUAUCGGCUCUGGUUAUUCACCGUCUGUUUCUAUGGCAUGUAUCAAUCAAAUAAUUAUAAUAACUAUUGAGUCUUUUUCACAAAACAAGGGGUAGUUAAAGAUUGGAGAACUUUUCUAUCAUUAUCCAUAAAUAAGGAAAUCAAACCAAUUAUAUGCUCCUAUAAAACAGAAAAAAAGAGUAGGUAAUGUUCUCUUCUCUUUACACUAAUAACAGUACAGGACUCGUGAUUAUCUUCCUGAUCAUUCGGCAUCAAGAUGAUGGAAUUCAAUUAUAGCACCGGAGUUUACCAACCCCAGGAUAAAUUAAGUAAGUUGUUAGAAUUCCAACAAGAGAUAGGAGUUGCAUCAACUUCGGAAGAAAUUAUGUACAAUCGAGAUAACUAUGCAAUGUGUGCAUGCCACCACGAGUGAUGCUUAAUGAAAAGCUGCAGGAGUACAAUUUGAAUUUAGAUGGCCUAAAAAGAAACAGCUGCAGGGCUUCCAUCCAAACAAGCAAAUUUAGUCUUGAGGGUUUUAAGAUACAAGAAUUAUUUUGCAACAACCACUUAUUUAUGUUUAAAUAAAUAGUCUAUUUGACAAUUACUCUCUCUGUCCCAUGUUAUUCUUCUAGAUCACUAUUUCAAUUUGUCCUAAAAGUUAUUUUGGUCACUAACUUGAGACUCUAGAUUCUGAUUAUACACCUUGUCAUGUUAUAGUGGGACAAGGCUUAACUGAAGAUAAGAAAUAAACUACCCACUGCAAUAUUAAAUGGAAGUUCAACUUGGGACAGACUUGAAUCGUCAAAAUUGACUUCUCUUCAGAAUUUGACCACUUCUGCACUCAUAUACUUAGACCCACUCAUACAAAAGCUAAGGUUAAUAGGGGCAAAAGAUUUCAUGACAAUCAGAUUUCAUAACUUUUGACAGCACAAGAGGGCCAAUAAAUAAUUUAAUAAGCGUAAUUCUAAGACCACAUAUGUAUAGUGAUAAAAAAUUACUUAAAAGCUAAACCUGACUAGUCAGAAAUAUUGAGUAAAUUUGUAAUAGUUCAACCUACGAGUUUGUAUAGGUCUUUAACUCUUUUCUCUUGACAUAUUUGCCUUCAACCUUAAGUUUGCAGAACUUCUAGAAGCAUUGUGUCUUCAUCCUAUCAAACUUUUUAGCUCUGUAAUCGGCAAUCUGAAGUAAGUAAAUGAUUUUCAUCUAUUUGACCUUUGCGAUAAUAUAUGCGACUAUUUGUUAAAAGAGGUCAUUACCUAAUAUUGGAACCACCUAAGAGCAAAUUUGAUAGAUAAUAUUAAAUAGUAUAGCAUAACAUUUUUUUUUAAUUACUAUACUGAAUAGGCGAAUACCGUCUUUGCUUCCAAACAAUUCAUAAUUCCUUCACCCAUUUAUAUGGAGGAAUGAUCGAAUCAUAAAAUCAUGAUUUUAUAACCAUGGCCAAAAAGUGAUCUACUAUUGUAACUUGAGGGGAUGAUACUUACAACCCUAAUUCUUAGCUAGAUUCAGAAUGUAAAGUGGGACGAGCAGAGCUAGAUUUUUCACGUGCGAGUCACUCGUCGGCUCAUACAAGAGCCAAGAAACAAAACAUUAAAAAUUAUGCAAGCAUUAACAUUCCUCUCUAGAUUCCAAUUCUCUAUAGGAUGAAGGACGGGCCUUUUUUCACUUCUUCUUGCUCUUCAUUAUUAUCUAUGUAUUAAACUUUAAUGAUUUAUAAUUAUAGCAUUUAUUAAAUGUAUAUAACUAUUUGUGAUAUAACAUGAUUUCUUUUAUUGCAAAUAGAAAUCACCACAAACUCCAAAAGCUCAAUUAAUUAAAGAUCAAAUAUAUGAAUAUUUUUUUUUUGCUUUUUGUUCGGUUAACUACUAUUUAUACCUUGAACUACACAAAUCUUUUUCACUAGAUUUAAUUUGAUUGAUCUCUAUAUGGCGGCCUUAAAAUGAACAAGUUGAUUCAUACCAUGGCUUACUUCGCCAUGCUCUUGAGAUUUUUUUUUUUGUUUAUUUAUCACUUAAAAUCAUUGAAAAGCACAAAAAUUACAAAAAAUCAACCCUAUACAAGCUCAAAUAACAUGUGGUCCCACAUCCUGAUUGCGCCAAUCAACUGUGGUAGAAGCACCAUCCCCUGUCCCUGAAAAUAUGCAUCGUACAACUUAUUAUUCCUUUGAGUAUCGUAGCUCGUUGCUUCACCAUCGAUAAUCUUCAGUCUAGUCAUGAUGGCAAAACCCAAGUAUAGAGAAAUUAGUGACCUUGCCUUUGAGGUUGAAGUAGAGUGCAUUCGCCAUUGACUUACCUAAGUAGUUGACAUAGUAAUGCAUCAAUGAUCUAUCUAGAAUACUUCACCUUUCUCAACUGAUACAGGGGCCACAUGAAGGACUUGAGUAGUAUAUCUCCAUGCUAAUCAUCGAGCAACUCCAAUAUAGUAAUAAAACUGUCAAAACUACUAUUUCAAGUAUAUUUACCUGCCAUUUGUCUCAACUCAGCAUCGAGAUGGUAUUCCAUUCUAAAAAAAUUCAAAUGUUAGAACAUUUUGCAAGAAAUAAUGGAAUAAAGCAUAAUUUCAGAAAUUUAAACGAACUGAAUUUUAACUAUUGUAUGCUAGAAAUAGAUUCAUUUUACAUCGAUACUAAUAAAAAAAGAAAUGAUUUAAUAAAUUAAAGGGGAAAAGAAAUAAGAAUUACAGAUAAAAAUAAAAAAAUUUAAAUGAAUUAAAUAUACAAAAAAUUUAAAAUUAAAGAAAUAAAUAACAAAAAUAAUAAAAAUUAAAGAUCUAAUAUUAAAAAGUUGAAUGGAAAAAAAAUAAAUUAUGACAAAUAGAAAACAAUUAAGAAAUUUUUUUAAAAAAGAAGAAACUAAUAAUAAAUUAAAUUAAGUAAAAAUUAAAGACCAACAUAGAAAAGGAAAAAUAAAUUAAUGAAAAUUAUAAAAUAUAAAAAUUAAAGCAAGAGUAUUUAAAAAAUCAAAAUGAAAAAAAUUUAUAUAAAGAAGAAAAAAAUUAAGAAAUUUUAAAAUUAUUAUAAAAAAAUAAAAAGAAAAAAAUUAAACGAAAGGAAAUUAUAAAAUUAAAUUAAGAGUAUAAAUAUUAUUUAAUUAAAAUCGAAAAAUUAAACUUUAUCAUAAAGAAAAGAAUUAAAAAGUAUUUAACUGAAAAAGAUUUAUUUAUAAUAUGAAGCAAACAAUUAAGAAAUUUUAAAACUAUUACCUAAAAUGUAAUAAUAAAACAAAAAAAAAUUAGACAAAAGGAAAUUAUAAAAAUUAAAUAAAGAAUAUGAAUAUUAUUUAAAAUUGAAAAAAAUUAAAUUAUCAUAAAGAGAAAAAUACUAAUAAACAAUAAAAAAUCAGGAAAAAAAAAUAAAAAUCGGCCCAAAAAAAUUGGGUUUGCCCAAUUGAAUAUUAAACAAUCGGGUUCAACAAUUGUUAACAGUUGCUUUUUCCAUUUUUAGCCGAAAAUGAGGCAAUCACAGCCCCCAAAAAAUACUUAAAUCUAGUCUACACCCGAGCAUCUAUCUAAAUACUAAACAAUAAACUAAAUGGAUGUUAAAUUUAAUCUUUACUAUAUAUGAAAAAUCAAUUUCAUAAUCACUAAACUACCAUUGUUGAAGAUAACUUCGCUCAAUGACUGGGUUGUGGAAGUCGAAGUUGGGUUGACUAUGAGGGUGGUGUGUUCGACUGGAUCCCAAUUGAGUUUUUUCUUUUCUCUCUCCACUGUUUGCACAAGAUGAGGCGAGGGUAUUUUUUUUAUUUUUGAUCUUUCACCUCAUAAUUUAACUUUUUACUCUUUUUUUAAUGGUCAAAGGCUUUAUUAGAAAUAUGCCUAGGUCAACCGGCCAUUUCCAUGUAUUUCCUCGAUUAUAUUAUCACCACAAUAAAUGUUUGGUACACCACAAAAUUUCUUAUCUAUUUAAAUGAUUUUUGAGUAAAGUGACAUAAAUAUCAUAUAUUAUUAGCUUCUAUAUUUAUUCAUUCUUGUUAGGAGUAUGACUCAAAUAGGAAUCUUUUGAAGAGGCGAAUUCGACUUGGACUAAGAAAAUAUUAAAUUAGGGUUUAAGGAAACAAAAUCCUAUUGAAAUUGGGUCUCCUAAUAGUAAUGUGUUUUCUUGCCUUUUACGACUCUUCUAGGAUUGGCCUAUAAAUACGAGACUCCUCUGGUUAAUUUGUAGAGAGUAACAUAGAAGCAGUAUGAUAGUCUAUUUUGUAUUCUCCAUACUGUUGAAUUAAUAAAUAUUGUUCCUCUGUGUUUACCCCUUGUUUUGUUUCUUUACAAAUUCAAUCUUGUGUUCUCGUGAUGCGAUCUAGUAAACUUCAAUAUUGUCAUUAAAUCUCGUUAUUUAAAAUCCGAUUUGGAAUCAAUGUGUGUUAUUGGAGCUUUCGCGCCCAAUAGGUGGUAUCAGAGCGAGGUUGUUGAUUUUCUGUGGAUUGGUUAAGAUUCUUUCGAAAUGGCUAGGUUGAAGUAUGAUGUUCCGCUGUUAGAUUGCAAUACAAGGUUUUCAUUAUGGCAAGUAAAGAUGAGGGCUAUUUUAGCACAGUUGGAUUUGGAUUAUGCGUUGCUGGGUAUUGAGAGGAUGCCAGCUGGUUGGAUAGCGGAGGAGAAACAAUGGAAGGAUCAAAAGGCCGUUUCAUUGAUUCAUCUUCAUCUGUCCAACAAUAUUUUCCAGGAUGUCUUGAAGGAGAAAAUGGAGGCUGCUUUGUGGUUGACGUUGGAACAGUUGUGUAUGAUUAAGAGUCUUACAAGUAAACUAGCUCUCAAGCAGAAGCUGUAUUCACAUCGCAUGGCAGAAGGAGGGUCGUUGGAAGACUAUGUUGCCAUGCUCAAGGAAAUAGUUGCAGAUCUGGAGACAUUGGAGGUUAAGUACGAUGAAGAGGAUGUUGCCUUGAUCCAGUUGUGUUCGCUGCCUGGAUCUUAUGCGUCAUUUCGGGAUACUAUCAUAUAUAGUUGAGAUACUUUAACUAUAGAAGAUGUUUAUGAUGCUUAACACUCAAAGUAGAAAAUGAAGCAUUUGGUUGGAGCUAUAUCAAGGGAUGGGGAAGCUCUUGUAUCUUAAAGUGGUCAAUGAAGAGGCAGAUCAAGAGUUAGAUUUAGCAAUGUGACCUAUUACUACUACAAAAGGAAGGGACAUAGUCGGAAGGAUUGCGAUAUGUUGCAAGCUAAAGGUGAUUUAGCUGUAAAUUGUGGGGUGCAACCUUUGAAUUCAGACGAAACCAAUGUAGUUGAGAAUUGUUCAGGUAGCGAAGAGGUGAUGUUGACCGUGGUAUCUGAUGUGGAGUCUAGGCCUGAUGAGGAGUGGAUUUUUAAUUCAGCAUGUUCGCACCAUAUGUGUUCCGAUAGGAAUUUAUUUAAGAGAUAUAAGGUUGUUCAGCACGGUGGGGUUGUAAUGGAAAACAACCAAUCUUGUUGUAUUGCUUGGAUCAGUCGAGUCAGAUUGAGGCUGCAGGAUAGAACAUUUAGAACAAUUAAUCAACUUCGACAUGUUCCUGACCUGAAAAGUAAUCUCAUUUUGUUAAGUACCUUGGAUGCAAAAGGGUAUAAAUUCUCUGGAAGAGGUGGAGUCUUGAAGGUCUAAAAGGGAGUUCGAGUUGUACUAGAGGGACGGAAAAGAUCCCAAUUGUACAUUUUGUAGGGGAGUGCAGAACUAGUUAAGAGGAGACAUUUGGACAAGUUUAGUACCGUGGUGAAAGUUCAGUUUUGGUACAGUACUUCUUAUGUUAGGCUCUGAGUCGAUUCAGAACACUGCUAGGGAGAACGUUGGUGAUUUCGCUUUGCAUCGAUUUCAGCGAAUAUACUGUGUUCAGUUGCUGGAAUAGGACUCAUCAAGCGUAGGUACUGUGGUGUCAGUAAUAUCUGGGAUGCUUUUAGAGAAGUUAAAGGCGAUAGUUCCAGCAAGGGCCCUUCUAAUAAAGUAUCUGGUUUGGUUUUUCCUACAGGGUAUGGUUCGGCCCUUUGUGAUCAGCAUUAAUUCCUUGGUAGAAUUGAAACCCUAGGGAUUGGGUUCUGGUGUCGGCUGUGGACGCCGGGUAGAGGAUGAGUGUUUAGCUUAUAUGGAGUGGUUACUGUGUUGAGGAGAUUCGGCCAGUUAGUUUCGAUGCAGAUGAAUUUGAAAUCUAGAAGUUUCGUUUGUAGCACCGAAAUUAAAGUCGAGGUGGAGAUUGUUAGGAGUAUGACUCAAAUAGUAGUCUUUUGAAGAGGCGUAUUCGACUUGGACUAGGAGAAUAUUAACCUAGAGUUUAAGAAAACUAAGUUGAAUAAGAAAACAAAAUCCUAUUGAAAUUCGGUCUCCUAAUUGUAAUAUAUUUUCUUGCCUUUUAGGACUCUUCUAGGGUUGGCCUAUAAAUACGAGGCUCUUCUGGUCAGUUUGUAGAGAGUAACAUAGAAGCAGUAUUGCUAGUCUAUCUUGUAUUCUCUAUACUGUUGAAUUAAUAAAUAUCGUUCCUCUACGUUUACCCUUUGCGUUCUUUCUUUACAAAUUCAAUCUUGUGUUUUCGUAGUGUGAUCUAGAAUACUUCAAUACUGUCAUUAAAUCUCGUUCUUUAUAAUCCGAUUUGGAAUCAACGUGUGUUAUUGGAGCUUCCGCGCUCAACAAUUCUCAAGUUUGCUCUGAUACAACGAAAGGAACGACCGAUGUUGAUAAAUGAAUUGAAGGAGAAAAGUAUACAUUUGUUCCAUAGAAAUAAAAGGCAGGCACAUUUUUGUAUACAAGAAAUUACAUAACUAAUUUACAUGAAAAUAGUUAACUGAACAAACUCCGUUAGUGAUAUCUAUUUUUUUGUUCGGAUUUGAUUCACAUAUUUCAACAAGAAGUAACCUUUUUUUAUUAAAUGAGCAAGUAGUAACUUAGAAUAAAAUUUGGUGGGCAAUUAUUAAUUAACUCUAAAACAUACAUAAUUCUAAAAUACGUAAAGAAACAAUCGAUAAUUCUAAAAUACGUAAGGGAACAAUCGAUAGAGAAGAUGAACUUGCAUGGUGAAAAACCUAAAAGAAAAACCGGAAUUGGUAUUGGCUUUUGUGAAUUCAGAGGGCUUUUCUCUUCUUAAAUUGUGAGAGAGAGGAGAGAGAAUAUAAGAAAUGAAAGCUAAAAGCGAGUCAACUUUUUGGAAAGCUUAGAAUGCAUUUGAUUUGUUAUUUUCAGUUUUUAAUUUUGUAAUACACUGAAAACAUGUUUGAUUUGGUAUAUCUAAAAAUACAAUUUUGAAAAUAAGGACAAAAUUAUAACAUAAAAUUCAAAACACAUUUUCCAUGUCUUGUGUGUUUUCAGUGAAAAUUAAAAAAUACAAAAUAUAAAAUUCUAACAAAUAAUACUUUAUAUUUUAAAAAAUUUAAAAAAAAUAAUUUCUAAAAUUUAAAAUUAAAAGUUGAAAAAUAAAAUUAAAAAAAUAAAUUUUUUAAGCACAUAAUGAUGAUUUAUAUAAAAAUUCAAAAAAAAAUUAAAAAAAUUAUAUUCUUAGUCUACAUCAUUAAUCUUUAUUUUUAUUUUCUAUAUGUUAAAAUCAAUUUAUUAUUUAUUUUUAUUUUACUUUUAUAGCGAGACAAAAUAUUGUAAGAUUCACCAACUUUAAAAUGUAUAUGUUACAUGAUAAUAAAAUGUCAUAAAUAAUUUUUCAAAAUUCAAAUUGUUGGGUUUUUUGAUACCCAAUAAUCCAGGCGAUGAUUUAAAAUAGUUGUCAGAUUAUUUAUCGACACAAUGGACUUGGCUCGACUCGGAGAUAAACUACACUUUUGGAUGGUUCGGGUUUGGGUUGGAUGAUUAUUUGGUUAGUUGGACCAUUUAGUGAUUAAUAUGGAGUUGAAUAUUGGCCCAUAGUUUAGGUUAAUUGGUAACCCGCUUAGUGAACCCUAGACCCAAUUAGAGUGACCUAAACUAACCUAUAUAUAUGUAUUUAUCUCCCAGUCGUUUUUGGUGGUGGUGUGUGUUGUAGCAAUGGAGAUGAGAGUUGAGAGAAGAGAGGCAACCAUGAGAGAGGGAAGCCAUGUGAGGUUGUAAGUAAGAUUCAACUAUUGUUCUUCUUCCUCUCCAUACCUUUAUGGAUUGCUAACACCACCACCCUUCUCCUUUGUGGGGUUAGAGAGAAAGAGAACAGUCCAAAGUAAAGGUGAAAGUCUCGGGUCGAGUCAAGGUAAACCGGUAUUCGUUUGAUUAUUUUCUGAGCCCGAAAUCAAGAUUUAUCGAGGGAUUUCCACUACAAAUGGUAUCAGAACUUGUGUUAUUGAUAAAUCUGUGAUUUUUAGGGCUAAAAACGGGCUGGAAGUGGUCAGAAACGGGUUUGAAAAUCAGAGGCAGAAACUAUUCGAUUUUUUCAAUUUUCUACCGAAUCUGUUUUGGCGUAUUCUGAUGAAACCAAAAACAGUUUGGAGAAACGGACACCACCAUUGGACUGUGCAGGUGGAGACAAUUCAGAAAGGUUGGGGCGGCACGCGGCGCGUGAGGGUGCGUCUGGAGGAUUCCAGCGAAGUGGUCUUCAGACAGAAUCUUCCCCAUGACGAGAUGGACCCUGCAGUGUUUUCAGAUUUCAAUUUGGAGUAAUACAGUGAAAGUUGAACGAUUUUGCCCUUGGACGUUCGGGUGCCGAGUGCUGUUUUCGUGUUGCUGUGAUUGCUGUUGACUUUAGGAUGAAGAGUGAUAGUCCUGAAGUGGUGAAUUCGCGUCUCUCGAUAUUUACGGACCUUCAGACGUGGUCCGCUCGGUAUCGUAUUCUUUACUUUAUAUUAUAACAGUUAAAAUAAAUGUGUAGAGUAAUUUAUUUUUUGCAUCAAAGGUCAUCGUGUGGGUUACAUUAGGUUUGGGGUUACCAUGAAGGGGUAACCAUUGCCUAUUGCUAGACCUAGGAAUUAUUUGUUAAUUAUUUGCCUUAAAUUCUUUGUGAAUUUGCUGUCAAUUUUUCUACAUUAUUAGAAUUGUAUGUGGCCUUGGGAAAGUUUACUGGAUUAUUCUAUGUGAAUUAUGUUCAUACUUUACUUGUGGUCAUUAUUUGACAUUGGGGGUAAAUGAGGUCUAAGGUAAGUGGGAAAAAUAACAUAUAUUUUAACUAUGGUAAAAUUUGGACAUAGUUGAAAGAGAUUGUCCUAGGAUGAUAAUAAAAGGAAAGAUGAGGAUAGAGACAAGGCGAAUCUGGCUUUACAAGCAUAGUGGGUUAAGUUUUGUGACGUAAUCUAUUUGCUCUGUGAGUGGUGUAAGAGUGUGGUAGUGAGAAGAAAGUUGGGCAGCCGUUUCUCUCCUUCAUCUUUGUGAGCCUGUGUGAUUUGUGAGAUUAUAUAAGGCAGUCAUGUUAGGGUUACCUUCUUUAUCCUUGUGAGCCUUUUUUUGUGAGUGUAGUGAAGUAACCGACUCUUUCUUCGAUUCUCUUUGAGAGUGUCACCUUCACUAUUUUCUUUGUGAAUUUUUGGGAGCAUUGGUGAGUGGAUUAACCUUUGUGGUCACCGAAAGGUGUUGAUUUGUCAUAGUGAGUUUGAGAUGCAUUAGCAGUGAGUUGGAUGUCUUUUGGUAAAGUGGAGUAUAGAUGCCUAGGGGUACAUGGUGAUUUGUACUGAGGGAUGUAGAGUGUGACAUUUGGAUCACGAGUGGAGAUGUCAUCAAAUGUGUAGAGUCAUUUAUCUGUGAAAGAGACCCUGUACAAGUGGAGUGUGAGAGAGGCACUUCUAUCACUUCUGUAAAGUGGAGUCCCAUUAUCCACGUAGGUUGAGAGAAGUGAUGUGGUGAUAGAGGAUUAUCCCGAGAGUUUAGGAUCUAUUAUGACUUACCAGUUAGACAUGAGUUAAGUGAGCAUUGUGGGCGAUGAGAGGAGAUAUGUGUUCUCGAGAUGGGAGUAACACGGAAUGUGAUAGGAUAAGUGUGGUGAGAUUUUUCAUGGGGUCAUUUAUGUAUUUGUUGCAUAUGUGCAUGACCUUGUGUUGAUUAACUAAGUGUUAAUCUGUGGUUCUGUGUGAACGUGGUUUUGAAAAGAUCUGUGUGUGUGUGUUAUCCUAUAUAUCUUCAUCGCAUGAUUAUUUGUUCAUUGUGAAUACUUGUUUCUACUUGGGUAUUAUUGACCUUAGCCCUGGUGAGUAUAUGGAGCAAGUAUCGUAUGUGUUUCAGGUUGGAAACACAAGGUAAGGUCUGUUAUUCCAAUUUUAUUGGAUUACCUUGAUUGUGCAAGUAUAAAUUGUGUGUUUUGGUUGCUUGCAGAUUAUUGGGCAUCAAGGUGGAGAUUGUUAGGUUUUUUGAUACCCAAUAAUCCGGGCGAUAAUUUAAAACAGUUGUCAGAUUAUUUAUCGACACCAUGGACUUGGCUCGACUCGGAGAUGAACUACACUUUUUGAUGGUUCGGGUUUGGGUUGGAUGAUUAUUUGGUUAGUUGGACCAUUUAGUGAUUAAUAUGGAGUUGAAUAUUGGUCCAUAGUUUAGGUUAAUUGGUAACCCGCUUAGUGAACCCUAGACCCAAUUAGAGUGACCUAAACUAACCUAUAUAUAUGUAUUUAUCUCCCAGCCAUUUUUGGUGGUGGUGUGUGUAUUGUAGCAAUGGAGAGGAGAGUUGAGAAAAGAGAGGCAACCGAGAGAAAGGGAAGCCAUGUGAGGUUGUGAGUAAGAUUCAACCAUUGUUCUUCUUCCUCUCCAUACCUUUGUGAAUUGCUAACACCACCACCCUUCUCCUUUGUGGGGUUAGAGAGAAAGAGAGCAGUCCAAAGUGAAGGUGAAAGUCUCGGGUCGAGCCAAGGUAAACCGGUGUUCGUUUGAUUGUUUUCUGAGCAUGGAAUCAAGAUUUAUCGAGGGAUUUCCGCUACACAAAUCAAAUGUGUUUCUUGUUUUUUUUAUUUUGAAAAAUAAUUUUUCAAAAUGACAAACCCAAUGCGUUUUUAGUAAUUUUAAAAUAGACCCUCAAAAUAUAUAACAGAAAAAUGAACUUAAAACUGAAAGACAAACCACUCUCAUGGAUGCAAAUUAUUCCUACGUUAUAUAAUUUUUUGUUAUUUCCCUUUUCUUCUUUGUUUGGCUAAGCUAAAAUUUUUUAAAAAAUUAAAAAAAAAUAAACAGAGGGUAAGCAUUAUUUUAAGCAAUAAUAUUAUAAAAGUUAUUUUAUCCUUGAGUAAAAAGAUCGAAGGUCUAUUCUUAGUUUAACCGUUACAUCAAAAUCAUAAAAUCCACCACUUAUCGGCCUAUGCUCGAUCAACUCGAAGCAGCUGGGAGGUCUACCCCCAUACAAUCCAUUAGACUGACAUUUUUUUCUUUCACUUUAUUUUGCUUACCCACACUAGAUUUAUAGAAUUAAUUAUAGGGUUACAAUAUGUAAACAGUGUCAUUCCUCAUACAUAAAGAGAUAUUUACAGAAUAUGAAUAUAAUAUUAUUCAACUAGCUCUUCAAAUGAGACUCAAUAAAUAAUUGUAGUUCUAUUUAGUUGAUAAUAGGGUUAACAUAUAUACAAAUGACAUUGUUAUUAAAGACGCUAUAUUAUUGUCCAAAACUUCGUCCUUGCUCCUUUAUUUCCAUGUAAAUGCAGUCAUUUUUGUCAUUGGUUUUUAACAUAAAACAUCUUAUUUAAAGAUUUCCAUAUGAGCUAAAUUAAUAGACGAUAUUUAAAAGCAUGUCCAUUGUAGGUCGACAUCACACAAAAAAAUGGACAAUGUCUAGGCAAUGAUAUAGAUGCAGAGACUUUAUUAAACAUUCUCGCUCAGCAAUUCAAUUGAUUAUGUUUCUCAUUUUCUUUUUUUAUAUAUCAGAUUUUCUUUCCCUUUCACUCUAUUUUAUUAUUUGUAUUUUAAUGUUGAUAAAGGACAUUAUAUAUGCUAAAAUAUUGAAAUAUAAAUGAAACUCAUUGGAGAACAAUUAUAAACUUGACAUCUAUUCUUAGACAUCAAUAACAAUUUUCAUAUCUACUAAAAAUCCAUAUAUUCAAAAGUCACAUGGGUCGCUAUUCACGAAAUGCAUUGAAGAUGCUAGAGUCAAUUCCAGUUGUCUCAAAUAGCUGAUGAGAUCCAUUAACUUAUUUUAACUUUAAAAUCAACUCAAUUGGUAGAGAAUAAAAAGGAGAAAGUAAAUUGUAUAGAAGAUACGAUUAAAUAAUGAAAUACCUAAGCAUUAAUAUUUUUGUUCAUUUCUAGAACUGAAAAAUAAAAUAAAAUAUGGGAAAUCACUCCUAGGCAAUAAUUAAAGAGAGGUUGUAUUACCACCACAAGAAAUGGUUGGUAUGCCACAUUUUUCUUAUUUAUUUAAAUAAUCACGAAAUAACAUAGAUCUCAUAUAUUAUUAGCUUAUAUAUUUAUUCAUUCCAUCACCAUCAUCCAUACACGUUGCAUUUUCAUUAUAAUAUACUAACGAUUAAUAGAUAUUAUUUUACAAACAAUCUAACUUAAUGUUUUUAGAUUAACUGUAAAUCUCAUUAGAAAUCUACAAAUUGGCUAGCUAAAACUUUGGUCAAACUUAAUUCAUUUUACUACUAGUCAAUUGAUAUGGAAAGUUUCCUCAGCAAAAUUAUUUGAAUAUGAGUUGGCGUUCAACUUGUUCAAUUCAAUCUCAUUCAAUAAGUCGUUCAUUUAUCAAACAAUUGAAAUCCGUAGUGAACACUGAAAUCCAAUCAAUCCUUAAAUGACAAAUGAAAUAUUGAUGAAAAAGAAGCUGAACCUUUCCAGAUAAAAUUCUACUUUCCAAAGAGUUCAAGUUGAUUCAAUAACUCUUUAUAAAAUUGAUUAUUUUCCGCCAUAUAUAUGUUCCUUAACAGAUUAAAAUUCAAACUAUAUGAACAUAAAUUUAUUUAAGCAACUAAAUUAAUUAUUUUUAUGCCAUAAUUAUAAUUUCAGCUCAAGAUGGAUAUGAAGCUAACAAGGGCGCGCGUAUGCACGAAGAAUUCCUCCAUGCUCUUGCAUGCAAUUUAAGAAUUUCUCUGGCUCUCUCCUUUGUCUUUGAUCCUCGAUCAAAAACUUCCAGUACCAGGCACAAUUUUGCCACUGCACCAAUCUGCAACAUUUCUUGUAAAACUCCAGGAGUUGCUGAGAACUUCGAUAUCGAAUGUAGAAUUCUUAUUCCGCUCUCAUUUGCUGUAGAUGAAACCCUAAGAAUCUUCUUCGAAACAAUGGCUAAUCCUGCGCUGUGAUUCAACAGUUCUGCUCUUCCCUCGGCGCAUUUGCAUAGCAAAUUCAGCUCCAUAAGCAUCAAUUCGGAAGCCCUUUUGUCAGAAGAAUCGAGUAAAAGGUCAAUCAACAAGGGCACUGCUCCAGCUUCCACUGCUUUAAUCCUGUUUUUUUCCCAUGGACAUACCUUGAUAAGAACUUUCAGUGUGGCUUUUGAGACCUUCCGAGAGAUUUGAUCGUUCAAGAUAUCUACUAAUUCGUGGAAGAAUUCGGAUCUGAGACUGAUCGGUUGAUUUGGAUCAGCCACUUCGAACAUGGAUUUCAGAAACAUGACAGCAUAGACACGAGAAUCAUAGCUCCCGGAUUGCAUGACGCUCGUUAAGGACAGGAUUAACUCGAUAUUAUUCUGCAAGAGGGAUUUGAGCCCGGAUCCCGAUAGCUGGAGAUUAUAGAGAAUGAUAGCUGGAGAUUAUAGAGAAUGCUCAAGGCUUCAUCACUUGCUCUUCUCAACUCAAUCACAUCUUCUGAUACUUCUGCUGAAGAUGCCUCUACGGUUUUCUUCACGAUUAACGAAGCUAAGAACUCAGCCGUGCCUGCUGUUUCCAUGCAUCUUUUAUUCGUUUCGUUGUGAGAAGCAAUGGAUCUGAGUCUUGCUUGUUCGGAGAGUUGGCAUCAUUGAAAAGCUUCAAAAGUUGGGACUUACUGAUUGGAGCUUUCGGGGUUGGGAGCCUCUCGAUGCCUUCUGGAGCAUGGAGGGUGCACCAGGAUUGGAUAAACUGCCGGAGAAUAAUGUUUGGGAUCAAUUCUGAAUCCAUAACCACUUGCUUCGUUACCGGGCAAGUAUUAUUAUUCUGAGAAAACAGCCAUUUUUCGAUGCUCUCCCGAUCAUAUGUUAUACCGGUAGAGAGCGUAACAGGAUCCUUCAUAAUCUCUAGACUGAUGGGGCAGAGAAAGUAGGAUGGAAUUUCAAUUUCAUCCAUAGAAGAAGAAGUAAUUAAAAAGAUCAAGAUUUGAUAAACCUAAGAUCUGAUCCAAAAGAAUAGGUGAUUAUACAAUUUUAAGCAAGAAAAUUAAGCUGAAGAGAAGUACAAAAAUUUUGUAAGCUAUAGAUGAAAAUCAAAGAAAGUGAGGUUCUUGAGUUGUGUGGAUUGGUUUGAAGAUUUAUGAGUUUGGAGGAUAUGGUUUUAUAUGUGUCUAUAAAGAGAGGUAAAGAUUCAAAAUGUCAAAGUCAAAACUUGGAAAAUUUUGUCUGUUCAGUUUGUGUGAAGGAAAGAGUAUUAUUGUGCUUUUUUUUCUUUUUUUUUUAAAUUAUAACAAAAACAUUUUGAACUUGGAGUUUUCUAACAUGCAAUUUGAAAAUGACAACUUUACCAAUAAUUUUCUCAUUUAAAAUUGAAACACGUGAUUAAGUCGUAUUUAACCAUGAAGGAGUAAAACUGAAGAUUCUGAGUUUGGAAAAGUUCAAUUUUGGUUUAAUUAUUUCACGAAAGUAACUUCGACCAGUUAUUAUUAUAAAAUUUCAUUCAAUUCAGUUGAACAGGUGUAGAUUUAUUUGAAUGAAUUGAAUUUGUAGUAUUUUUAUUUUAAUUGAAAGAAAAAUUGCUAGUCUAUGAGGUAAAUUGCAGUAAAUAAAGUAUAGAGAAACAAAUUUAUUUCUUCUCUAAAAGUUUCAAGAUAAGAUAAUUCAAAGUCCAGUAUCGUGUUUUUAAGUCUUUUUGCAAAUAACUUUAACAAGAAAUUAUAUAUUUAAUAGAAAAAUGAAUGUUUUCUUGUCUUCCAAAAAUAUGUAUGGUACUUCUAAUUUUAUGACUGAAACAUAUCUCAAAAUCUUUUCCCUUUUGAAAAUAUAAAAUAUAAGUAAAUAAAUCCAUUCCUCUCUUUUUUUCAUUCCCCCCCCCCCCCAAAAUGUACUAGUUUUAUUGGUAAACCCUCACUUGUGGUGGAGGAAGACCGUGGUUACAAUAUAUUACUAAAAGCGAAAAGAGGGCAAAUCCAUUCCUCUCUUUAAUCAUCGUAAACUUUUAUACAAUGUGAAUUAUUAUUAAAAAAAAAAAAAAAAAGUACUCACAUUUUUGAAUUUUUCAUUACGUAGUUAUGUUCUUAGGCUCUGAAUUAAAUAGAACAACAUAAAUUCUUAGAUAUGGAUAGAUAAAGCAAACUAUCACCCUAAUUUUUUUGUUAAUAAAUAUGAUAACAAUUUUCAUAAAAUAAUUUUUUCAACUCCAUUCUCGUACAAUAAUUCAAUACAAAACUAAGAUCCUCCUCUAAACAACCACACAACACACACCGCAUAUACUGUAUCAAGCCAAAGCGAAGAAGCUUUGUCUAUGUAUAGAGGCCACCUUGAAUUGCCAACCAAAGAAUAAAUACAUGAUGGAGAAUACAUUUAGGGAACCAUACAAAACUAAAGUCGUUCGUGAUUUUUUUAGUUCGCGCAUUCCAUCACCGACACCAACGGAUCAUAAAUGCAGGAUGGACCUACCAGUAGGUUUGCAACACAUGUAUGUGUAUUAAUCCAUAGUUGGCUGCCCAUAUUGACCAAAGCAGGUUAGCAAUGGCUCGGACUACACGGAGUUUUUAUUUAAUCUUGGUUCUAUUUGUUUCUCUUUGUUUAAGUCAACCCAAAAAAGUUAAAUUUUAUUGGGUUUUGAUUUUCUAAAAUAAUUUAUAGUCACAAAUAUUAUAUAUAUUUAGGGAACAAUAAAUUUCGAGACGAGUUUACUCAUACAGUGAUAGGAUGAACAAAGUUGUAGAUGUAAAAGUCUAAGAUGACAAAAAGAUUAUUUUCACAAUUAAUUAAUUAUUGAAUAUUUUGAGACUAAGUAAUUACAGAAAUUUGAGAACGAAAGGUUGAGAUUUAAAGCAAAAUGGACCAAGUUUAAUAUUUGUUGACUGUUUUUAGUCAACCCCCACAUGCCAAAUUGCAAGACUAUCAUCUUUUAUUGCCUAAAGGGAACUUUUUAAUUGCUUUAUGUGACCUUUGGGGCACUGACUUACCAUUUGAAUAGUUCUAAUUCCAAGGUUUGGAUUCACACUGCACUGGGGAAGCUCUUUUUGUUGGGAGAUACUCCACGAAAAAUUGAACAAAAAGUCGUCGUCGAAUUGACCUACUUUUUGCGCGUAUGAAUUGAAGUCUUUUGAGAAUUGUAAAUAUGGGCUGAAAAAUGAAUGCUUUCUCAACAGAAGGACAAAAUGCAAAAAUCCUCUUUUUUUCUUUAACAUAACUUAACUGAAGUUUUUUUCCGAGUAUUAAGUUGAGCCAAAGUCGACACAUAUGGAAAAACCAUAAAAGAAAACUCUUUUUGUGGCAUAUACAAAUCCAUGCAACUCAAUUUAACAAGCAUAACAAAUUGAAUGUCUGCAAAAUUGACAUGGAAUUGGUCAAUUUAUAGGUAGAGAGGCAUCGAUAACAAAUUUUUACUCCAAUAGUUACAAAUAGUUCUUAAUAUUGGAUCUUUUUGAAUAACACAACGAACAUGAUUUUAACUUUUUUAUACUCUCGAGUACUAUCCAAUUGACGUCACUAAAUAUGUCAUAAGUGUACAAGACACGAUAUGUUCAUUGUUACGUUUUAUAAUUUUCUUUUAGAAGCAAUAAUAUUUUAUAAUCCUAUACCUCUUUUACACUUUUAUUCUCCCAUUAAACACGUAAAUUAAUGGUUUUUGUGGUGGUUUUCACGUUAAAAGACAAAUAUUUCUUCAAACUCAAAUAAAGAAAAAUGAAAAGGAAAACAAGGAAAUAAAGGAAAAAUAAUUAACCAAAAUAGAACCACCCCCACCCUGCAACUCACCCUAAACCCACAAUAGCCACCAUUUAUAAUUAUUCGUUUGAAAUGUGGUUGAUGUACCCAAAAUUAUAUCCUUAUGAACUAAAUAUGAAAUUUUCGAUGUUAGUUUUAGUUAAUUUGCUUAAGGUAAACUAUAAGAAUAUAAAUUGAUAUAUUAUAUGCAGAACUAGUUGACAUAGUUUAAAUUUGAAGCAUAUAACUACAGAAAAUGACCAAAACUGAUAUUAGGAUAAUCUUUUAAAAUAUUGUAAUGGUUAACGCAUUAGACUAACUUAAAAUAUUUUCGUCGUUUAAUUAUAAAUUAUGAUGGUAUGUAGUUAAUGUUUCAAUGAAAUAACAUGCAGUAAUUUUAGCUAAAGAUUACUUGAUGUGAAAAGCAAAAUAAUUAUAUUUAAUAUCUUAUUUUAGUUUAUGAAUUAAUAAUAAAAAGAAAUUUAUUGAUAAGUUUGCAUUUAUUAAUAGUUAAAUAGGUAUUAUUAUACAUCUAGUUCUUGUGAAGUCCACAUAUGAGGUAACUAGGAAGUAGACGCCAUGUAGGCUAUUGUCCUCUACCAUGUGGAGGUCUAUCUUGAUCCUACUCGUUUCGCUUGGUCCGUUUGAUUGUAUGAUUCUAAAUAUCUAUUCAAAAUCCUACACGAUCAAAAGAAGAUUCGGAAAAAUAAUCGUCGAAUAGGUAAUUCUUUUUUAAAGAAACAAUAUCACAAUUAUGACUACUCGACAAAUGACUGUACAACAUGUACUAUUGACCUAAUUUAACCUAAACUCAUCUAUAAAUACAUUCGCUUUGUUCAACGAAAAGAUACACAACAUCGAACUCUAGCCAAAGUUCCGUACAUUUGUCUCUUUCAUAGAAAUUUUUUUCCUCUAAUAUUUUUUGACAAUUGACUUGCUUGUCUGAAUGUAAAUGGUAACCAAAUGUUCGAGUAGGUAGGCAACACGCUCUUAGAGUGAGGCAACAAGGGGAUAUUAAAAACUUUUCAAUCGUUUAAUAUGUAUAUUCAAAGAAUUGUGAAUGCACAAAGUUUAUUUGAUGUUUUAUACUCACUCCAAUGUAAAAUGCUAUGGAGAGUUAUAUAUAUAGUUUUAAUAUGUAUAUUCAAAGAAUUGUGAAUGCACAAAGUUUAUUUGAUGUUUUAUACUCACUCCAAUGUAAAAUGCUAUGGAGAGUUUUGACAAGUGACUCUUUAUGGGCUGCAUUCAUAAGGCAGAAAUAUUUGACUGUAAAUUUUAACAUUAACUCUUACUCACCUGGACUUGGUUCAUCCCCAUGUUGGCAUAAUUUAAGUAAACAUUUUCCUUUCAUUCAUGACCACAGCAGGUGGAUGAUCGGCCAAGGAAAAAUCUCAUUUUGGUAUGCAAACUGGACAGGUUUUGGCUCUUUAUAUGACCAAGGCUGGAUUGCUAAUGAACCAAGGUUACAGUUGAAAGAUGUUUGUGCAAAGGAUGCUUGGAAUACUGAUCUUAUUCAUAAGCUGGGAGGUGACAAUUUGAUGGCUUACAUUCAUACUUUAGCUAUCUGCUUGAAGCAAGUGCCAGACAAGCUAAUUUGGUGUCCGACUCCAACAGGAGAGUUCUCUACUAAUAAGGCUUGGAAUCUUUUACGUGAUACCAAGGACAAACUUCAUCUCUUCAAAUUGAUUUGGAAUAAAUUGCUCCCGGUAAAAAUCUCAAUCUUCUUCUGGUGUGUUUGGUUUGGUAUAUUACCAGCGGAUAGUGUUAUUAGAAGUCGUGGUGUCCCAUUAGUAUCAAAACGUUACUGUUGUUCUCAUACAAAAGUGGAGGACGUUGAGCACCUAUUUCAUACUAGCGAAGCAGCGACUCAUGUUUGGACUCAUUUUGCCAACAUCUUUGGAGCUCGAAGUGUUUUUGCUAGUUCAUGGCGUGCCAUACUUAUUAAUUGGUUGUACCAAUUUGAUGGUUCUUCGCAAUUUCAUCAACUUGCUCUUUUGACCCCUGCGCUAAUUGCUUAGGAGCUUUGGUUUGCACACAAUGAGGCUAGAUUUAAUGAGGGUUUGGUCAAUGGACAUAAAAUUUGCUCCAAAGUGAAACACUGGUUGGUUGAAUUAAAUUCAUUACUGCAACCAUCACGUGCUACUCCCUCUCAUCUUCAUGCUACUCUCCAUUGUCUUGGUAUGGCUCCAACGCCUUUGACAACUAAGGCUCCUCUCCUUGUUCGUUGGUAUCGUCUCCCUUGUGAUAUUCUUAAACUUAACAUUGAUGGUGCUAGCUGUGGCAAUCGUAUUAGAGCUGGUUGUGGUGGGAUGCUUAGGGAUUGGAAAGGAAAAUUUGUUUUUGGCUUUUCCCACUCUCUUGGGGUAGCCACUAACCCAUGGCGGAAACAAUGGCUUUGAAAUUGGGUUUGUAUUAUUGCUAUCUUUUGGGGGUUUCAAAGGUAUGGGUUGAAACUGAUACCCAAAUGGUUUGUCAUUGGUUUAAUGGGAUGGGAAAUAUUCCUUGGUCUCUUCAGCAAGUUUGGGAUGACAUCGUUGAUCUGGCAGACCUCAUCGAUUUAAAUGUCACCCAUGUCUAUGGAGAGGCAAAUUCAGUUGCUGACUCUUUGGCUAAGUUGGGUACAGAUGGACGCUCUUAAUUUUCUUACUAUAUUAGAGACUUCCCCAAGCUACAAAAGGUUGUUUCGUAUUAGACUAUAGUGGUUGUCUUUCCUUUCGUAUUCAUUGAUUGUAUUGUCUUGAGUUUUAUCAUUAUUGCUAUUUGUAACCACGGUCUGCCUCCGCCAUAAGUGCAGGCUUAUUAAUAAAAGUUACAUUUGUUUAAAAAAAAAUUAACUAAUUAUUAAAGAAUAAGGAAAAAUAUAGAAUUUCUUCGCAAGAACAUUUUAGGUAUGUCAACGUCAUUUUAGAAGAGAUAUGAUUCAAAAAAGUGAUGAGAGGAUGAAUAUAAUAUUGAAAAGUAGAAAUGUGGUAGGUUAGUGUAAUUUACUAAGUGCGCGGGAUAUUUUUAAUUUUGCCUCUAUACUUUUUUCCAACUAUUUUUAUUCUUUUAAGUUGUACAUGGAAUAUUUUGUCAUUUACACUGAUUUAAUGGUAUUUCACACGAGACGUUACUAGAAACUAUUUGAGCCAGGAAAUGAAAAUUCGAGGAAUUUAAUGCCACACACAAAAAAAUAAAUAAAUAAAUAAAUAAAGGAAAAAUGACGUUGAAUUUUAAAGUACAAAGAAGGUAUAAGUUGGAAGCAACAACUACAAAUUAUCCAGAAAUAAAAGUUGAAUAACGUAUACAUUUUUACUCAUAGGAGAUAAUGGAGUGCAUUUCUUAGAAAGCAUAAUUUAUUUUUACAUAUUUCAUAAAAUUCAUAAUUCUUGCAUUGACCUAAAUUGAUAAUUUAGCGUGGUUCAUAAUUUGAAUCUAUCUUUUUUUUUCUUUUUUUUUUUUUUUGAAUGUUGGUGGGAGAACAUAAAUUUAUGGGGAAUACCAUGGUGAAUUUAUGAAUAUUAUUUCACAAUAACUUUAAGGGGUACAAGGCACACCAGCUAAUUUACUACAUAAACCGUAUCAGGAUCCCUUCUACAUUCUUCAUAUAUUUCAAUAUAAUAUGGACCAAAUUACGGUAGUUAGGUCAUCUCCAAUCCAUGACAUCAAUUGGUACAACUUUCAUACCAUUUUGUAAAGUUACUUUCAAUCCAUUAUAUCAAAUGCUACACCAAAUGAAUAAUGUUUCAUUUAUUUCCUUAUCUUUUAAUUGUCAAAAAUUAAUUUAUUUCAAGAAUUAUUUAAUAUAAAUUACAGUCUACUGAAAUACUAGAUUAAAAGUUACAUUUAAUAACUAAAAUAUUAAGUUUAUUAAUAAAUAUAAAAGGCUUCACACUUAAUCCGUCAAUUAAAAAAUUAUGACACUUAACACACAAAAUAAAAUUUUUACAUAUAAUAAAAAAACUACAUUAUAAUAAUAAUAAUCAAAUUAAAAUAAAUAAAAUUAAUGUUAAAUCAUUAAGGAUAAAAUUUGUUGUAGUACAAAAUGAAGAGGAAAAUGCGAAUUAUGAAAAACUCUAAAAUUCAUACUAAAUGAAUAGUGUUGCAGCAAAUUUAGUGCAACGUUGUUAAUUGUACCAAUUUGAUGUAAAGAUUUAAGAAUAUUGCUAUUUGUACGUAAUGAUAUUAUACAAUGAUUUACAUAUAGAUGAAGUGUCAAAAAGAGAUUGUGGAAGAUUCCCUUUUUUUUUUUUUUUAAAUUGAAGAAAUUUUGAACCAAUUAUAUCAACUACAUCAUAUAAUGUAAACCAUUUACAUAAAUUAUUAUGUACACAUAUAGCACAACCGAAAAUUUAAUAUUAGGUUUGAGUGAUUUUUGCGAGCUGUAACUGUAGUAUUCUAGACAAGACAAGUGACGAGGCUUUGCUGCACCAAGUCUUUGAAAGUGUUCAAUUAUUUAAUGGAUAAAUAUUUCCAGUUUACUUCGUAACUAAAUCAGCUAAUAAUUAUUUUUAUAAAAAAACCAGAAGAUUUCUAUUUUAAAUUCAUGAAGUGUGAACAUGUAAAGAUUGAAUCAUAUUCACACGCCUAUUUUUUUUUUAAAAAAGGUGCUUUUAUUUGUAUUUACUUUAUAUUUUUAGUACGAUGCAAUUCUUUUAGCUUAAUUAAUCCGUAAGCAUCAAUUAAAUUUAUCAAAAAUGUCAAAACUUUUUAAGGAGAAGACGUCUUCGAGAUGAGGAUUCAGGCUCCGUUAUUAUUUAAAAACUAAAAGUAAUAGAGAAGUCUAAUAUUAAAAAAAGAAUUUAAAAAGAUAAGGAAAAAACACAAUAAUCUUUCCAACGUGGCUGCCCUCACACCACCACCACCAUAAUCCCUCAUCGACCAUUAAUAUUGAUCGAAGAAAUUCACAAGUGCACGAUAUCGUAGAUAAAUAAUAUAAUAAGAAGUAAAAUAUCGUCUUGCAAAGAUAUGUACUUAAUCUAGUUUUGAUUAAUAUGUAUUCAAUUUGAUUAAUAUGAAUUCUAAUUGAAUAGCCAAGUUUUGAUGAUGAAUUUCUAUAACUAAUUAACUAACUAAUCUAAUUGAUGAGCAAUUAUUAAAGCUUUGUUAAACCGGUUUAUAUACGAUCAAAGAUUUUGAAUCCCCAUUUAUUAUUUCAUUUUAUUACAAAGAUCAUGACAAUAGUUAUUUAUUCUUGUUGAUUAAUGUUCCUAUUUCUUUCAUAAUUAAUCUCUUUCGAGUAGACUCAAAUAUAUUCUCAAAUUUGACCCUCAUAUAUCUAUAUGAAAGAUGCGAAUAUGAAAGAAUAUAUUAAAAAUAUUAGAACAACUAUCAAAAUCAUGCAAGGAUAGAAUUAUAUCUCUAUAUUUUAUCGGACCUCACAAGAUUUGUUAUUUGUUGCUAUCUUUCCUAUUAUUUCUCUUGGAUAUAAUAAAAACCACUCAUCAAUCCAAUUAAUGAUCAAUUAAUUGAAAAGCAUUGAAUAUAACAAUUUUUCAAGCUAAACAAAUACUUAACAUCAAAAUAUUGAAAUUAAAUUAAAAUUUCAUAAUAAACUAUUUAUUUAUAUCUUAGCAACUAAAAGUUUAGCCUAACAUUACAGUAUUACAAGAAAUCAUAAAGGAAUAAUCAAACAUCACCCGAAUUCGAAAUAUAUGAAGAAAGAAAAGAGAAGUCACGAAAUUUUGAAUUUCUUCAAUCUUGAUAUGUUGCCUCUUGACUUACCACAAAAGAAUGAUAUUUUUACCUCUCUUGAUUGCAAGAAUUUGUAUAGUGUAUGGUAUGAGAGGUGUCUUUAGUUAAUGGAUGAAGAUUUGUAUUUAAAAGCCAAAAUUAGGUCAAAAUCCGUGUUGAAAUUCGUUGAAUCAUCCAAGGAAAGAGUCUCGCCUAGCUAGACUACAGCCAUGUGAUCGCAAUACAUAAAUAUGUGCAAUCGCAUCGUUAAGCACUUCUAUCAUCUGCUUUUGCCAAAUAGAGCAUUGGGAUCAUAUCACCUUGUUUCAUGCAAUCGCGCCCCUAUAAGUUUAUUAACUUCUCAAUUUGAUCCCGAACUCUUUAUUCAAUCUUAAUCCUUUUUUAAUGUAAGUUUAGUCCUUCAUCUUUUAAUUUUAUUCAAUUUGAUCUCUAUAAUCUGUAGACGCCAUUCUUUGGUUCGAAAUAACUUUUAUACAUUAGUUAGUUCCCAAACUUUAUAAUUCUUCCUUUUUCAUCCUUCUUUGAUCGAUUUUCGCUUUUUUUUUUUUUUUAUCUGAAAUUGGAUGGUAUGACAACCACCUAUAAUGACCAACAAAAACAAGACACAUCACAAUUUGCCUGGACCGUAGACCCAAGUGAGCACUUUAUGUACAUGCCUGACCAUCGAAUCCCAUGAGCGCUCUACGUCCAUGCCCGACCGUUGACCCCAUAAGCGCUUUACGUCCAUGCUCAACCGCCGAUUCCUUUGAGCACUCUGCAUGCAUGCCCGACCAUCGACCUCCAUGAGUGCUUUACGUCUAUGCUAGGCUGUUGACUCCUAUGGGAUCAUCUAACACUAUGCAGCUGAUCAAACACUUAGCCAUAAAAUCGUCAGUAGAUUGGAUGAAGAUCACUUGACGAUGGUCACAGACGCAACCAAUUGUUAGAUAGUUGGAGGAUCCCCACUCAAAACGUGGGGUAGUAGAAGAGGCUAUGUGGGACAUGUAGCACCGUAACCGCCCAACAUUCCCAUGGUUUCAAUCAUCUAUAAAUACACCUAAUGGGAAACAUGUAUGGAAAGAGAAAAACUUUUGCUAUCUGAAUUCCAUUUUUGCUUUCCGUGAUACCGUAUAUUGAUUCUCACACCAAAGAUAAAAUGGGGGAGAAAGUCUCGCCCUCACUUUUCUAGUAACAUUGGUUCAUCGGGGUAGUAGAAACACCUUGUGCCGCCAGAAGGGCACAAAGGUAUUAUUUCACAACUACUUCAUUAUAUUUUUUUCAUCAAAUACAUUCCAAAUUUGAGUUUAUCUUGUAACAAUCGAUACUUAACUAAAUUAAAUAGUAAUCUCAUCAAAUUGACUCCCAAAUAUUCACUUUUAAUGGCUUGAAUAAGUGUAAAAAUGACACCUAUCAAACAUUACCAUCAAACAAAUGUUUAAAACCCAGCCAAGCCCAAGAACCUUUGAGGUCUAGCAAGCCUAAUUGACCGGAUUAGUUUUGCACCGAUAAAAAUUCUGAUAAACCGAUGGAUUAUUUAAAUUCAAUUCACAUUAAACUGGUCGAGGCUAAUAUAAGAUAGUAAAUCUCUGAUUUUAAAAAUUAGCGUUUAGCAAAAUUCAAACCCUUGAUCAUUGCUGAAGGAUAGAGCCAAUAUACCAAUAUAAAUCACCAUUUUAAGUAAAAUAACUAUUUGAUUUGCCCCAAAUUUGUGAAAUAGAAGAGUUCUAUUAAGAUUCUUGCUCGAAAAAAGAGAAAGUUGCCAUAUUUAUUACAAAUCUUUCUCCUGUUAAUGCCUUCACAUGUUGACAAGAAAUAGGAUUUAGUUGCUAGUUUGUUGAUUUCAUAUGUAAUUAAGAAAAGGAAAGCAAUUACCGAUAAAAAUAAAAUAAAAAAUAAAAGAAAAGAAAAGGAGAGUGAUUUUUCUAUAAAUACCGCCUCAAGGCUUCAAUUGUGACAUGUGCUUAGCCCUAAGAUGACGAGAAUUACAUGCACCAAAAUUAAGAGUUUAGAGGGAGAAAAUUGGUGGAGAGAGUGAGAAAAAGUAAGAAGAAAUUGCAUCGUACCGUGAGCAUUCCAGUUAAUUGACCGGAGAGGUUGUGAGAGAGAAAAAAACAUGUAUUCUUUUCAUGUGGUCGACGGUGAUUUGCCAAACCAUAUUAAUUGCUUUUCUCUCUUUAUGGCUUAUUUUGUUUUUUAUUUUCGCGAUGUUUGAUAGAACUAGUCGAAAGUAAACGUGCGUUGCACGUUGUUCUGAAUUGCUUUAUAAGUAUCGAAACAAUAAUAUUUGAAGAUGCCUUAAUUUGAGAGAUAGUUGUAAAAAAAUGAAGAUGUGAAAUGAAUUUUUUAUUUAAUGAGAAUUUCUUUGGGCACUAUAUUUUUUAUAUGAUUAGGGAUAUCCGACUUAACCAAAACCUUUGUAGUUGCCAUAGAAAUUCUUCUCAAAAGUGCAAUGGAUAACUAUCCAUGUGAGAAUACUUGUUGUCGAAGAUAUACUCCGACGUGAGGUAUUGUCUGUCCUUGGGCAUUGUUGAUUGUCAUUGCAAAAUAGAGACGUACAUUAAACUAUUUCCGUAUAAAUUUGAAUGGAUAUCUUUCAUCAUUUGCAGGACUUAAUUGUAUAUGCGGAAUGAAUACGUGUUUGCUAGAGUAUUGUCUAGUAGUUAUCUUUGCAUGUAUAAUAUGAAUACUGAAUUGACGACAAACCAUCUUACUCCCAUUGCAGAGACCAUUUGAAGGAUUUGGGUUUCUCAAAAGCAUUAUUGGACAAUUUAUUCUCAACACUAAUCGAUGAGGUGGAACUAUGUUUGGAAGUAAUAUGAUGAGAAACUCUAGUUGAUAGUAAUUAUUUGUGUCAUCUACUGCUACAUCAUAACUAAGGAACUCUUUAGUUUCACUUAGGGAAAGAUCAAUAACUUUUUCAUUUAUGAGAUCAACGUUUUCAUUUGUAGUGGAUAGAAUUGCUCUUUGUGUUAUAUAUUCCGAUGAUUCUACAUUAUUGGUAGUUCUAAGAAGACAUAGUUGAUUAAAUUGAGCUCUGUGGAGUUGUUGUUAGAAGAAAGUACUAUGUCUUUUGGAAGUGAGAUGAAGUCUUCUCCUGCAGUUUGUUCUAUUCCAUUGCCGACUUUGAUCAAGUAUUUCGUGAAUUGAUGAUCAUUUUGUGCUCUCAUAUUAUGUGUCAAAUGUAGUUUAUGCAUUUUUUCCCAAAGAUACGAUCAUACCAUACUUUCGUUAACUAUUUGUUGUCCUGUUGCUCAUGGGACAACUGGAAGAGCCUGGUGAAAAUAUCUCCCAAAUACCAUUGCUUUAUUCCCAAAUGGUUCAAAAUUGUUCAUGAUAUCUUGAAAAGUCUGUCAACUGCCUCAAUUGUUGCUCUCUUGCCAUUGGAGCUUCAUCCCAUAUAAUGAGUGCUGCUUGUCGAAUAAGUUUGGCUCGACCGCUUUGCUUUGAUUUAUGACAUAUCGAUGAUUCAUUUGUUUGCAACAGAAUGUUGAAUCUCGAAUGAGCUAUUCACCCUCCAGGCAUUAUUGAAGCAGCCACUCUAGAAGUUGCAAUUGCAAGUGCUAUACCCAGCAAUCUUAUUUCAGCAAGUAACGCACGAUAUAUAAUUGUUUUACUAGUUCCUUCUAGUCCAUCAACAAAGAAAACCCCACAUUUUUUUAUUGUUUACUUUAUCAAAUAUGAGAUCAUAGGCUUGUCUUUGAUCAUGAUUUAGAUAAUGUGAUGCUUGUGUUUGGUAUUUCAAUUGAUAUUUCAUCUAAUAUGUCCUUUGUACUGAGAGAAUGUGUAUCCGUGGAGACAUUUCUUAGUUGAAGCAAGUCAUAUGCAUUGAUGUUUUCCCCUAUGGACUGAAGGAAUUAUUGAAUAUCAUGAAGUGUAUACUGAAGUUGUAAUUGUAAAAAAUAUUGAUCUUGUUUUCUGAAAUCUUCAAGCAUAUAUUCAAAGUAAAGAUCCCAUAAAUUUCUAAAAUUAUUAGGUUCACAAUAAAUCAACAAUGUAGUAAAGAAUCUUCUAAAUGCUCGAGGCAUGUGAAAGGCGACUGCUUCAUCUAAGCAUUCAAUGAUACUUCGAUCGGACUCAAGAAGACCUCUUUUUUGGUUUGUUUCUUUAAAAGUCCAAAAUUGACUCCCAUUAACAUUCAUGAGGUCCUCAAAAGACUUAGGUCCCCUUACACGAUUUAGUAAUAAACAAAGAUAAUAUCAUUUCUCUUCAGUUGGAUUUGCUUCUGCAAUGCAUGAUAUCACUUUUUCCUUUUUCCUCUUUGUCCAUACAUGGGCCUGCCUAUUCCAUACGUAGUGUUUUGAAAAUUCUCGAUAUAAGAUCUCAUUGCAUCUUCGUUGUUGUUACACAUUUUGAAAUAUUCAGUCAACAUUGUCCUUGAUAUAUGAUCGAAUUGGAUAACCCUAUUCAGAUCUUGGGUUUCCCAAUAUGAUACCGUUUGUUGAUUAGGGAGGUGAAGUUGUAAGUUGAUGAUAGCAGGUGACAUUUCAUUCAAUUGGAAUUCAUAAAUUCUCCAUAAAGAUUCUUGUGCAGAUACCCAAUGUGAAUCUUGGAAUUCUCGUAUUUCAUUUAUUAUCCUAUUUUCAUCAUCAUGAGAUAUAUAGAUAGCUGCUCUGUCAUGCCCUUUUUAGAUAUAUAAGUAUUUAACAACUUUCAAACCGGAACAAAUCUCUACAUUAAUAUGGCAAUUAUAUCAUAGAAGCAUAUGGGUACAUGAACUGAAGUUUUUAUUUUUUCUAAUUAUGUGGAUUUACGUGAGAUAUUUGGUUAUGAAAAUGAAAAAAUAAUGCUGCUGUAUAUCACAUUUGUAAUUGCACAUAUAUUCAAUGUAGGUAAAUGUAUUCAAUAUAUGAUUAUGAUUAUGUGUGCAUGCAUGCAUUUGUGUUAAUGUUUCAGUAUAUUUUCUGGAUAAGAAAUGGAUUACAUGAACUUAAAUAAUUUAUUAUAGCUCUGAAAUAUAUAAAGUGUAUAUGAACUUGAAGACUUGAUGUGAAAUUUAAUAUAUCUAUAAAUUAAUUAAUUAAUUAAUGUUUAUUAUUAUACAUAUAAUUGAAUUGUUGUACUUCUAUAGUAAUUGAAUAGCCUCAAGUUAUACACCAUUUUGUCUAAAUAAUUUUUCCAAGAUCAAAUCUAUUUAUUGAAUGUAUAAUUCUGUGCAUGCAUUUAGGUAAAUGUAGUCAUCAUAUAAUUAUCAUUGUACGUGUGCAUGCAUGCAUUUCCGUAAAUUCUCAGGCAUCAUUUUACUCUGGUUUUUUUAUUUUAUUGAUUCAUGCCCAGAAGUUGUAAUAUAAAUCCAGAGUAUAGAAGUUUAGAGAAAGAGGAUUUACUUAUUCUAAAUAGCUUUUCGAAAUGUUGAGAGAGUGAGCUGGUUUUCCUCAGAAUUCUCAUUUUGGAUGGAUUUUAUGGGAAUUGCUUAUUUCAAUAAUAAGUGGAUCAAUUUUGGUUUCACAAGAAGACAACACCAUUAAUGUACAAAAAUUUAUUCCUCAAGUUUAAGAUUAAGAUUAAUCAUUAAUGUGAGGUCUAAAUUAAUUCUCCAAACUACCGUGCAUUUAUUUUAUUUUGUUUUCGAGAAUUAUUCUAUUAAUCUAUGGUUUAAAGUCAUUCUUGAAGUUCAUGAUUACAUUAUUUUGUCUAAGUUAAUUUUCCAAGAUUAUGUGUAUAUAUAUAGCAUGCGUGUCCAGUUUCUUUUGUAAUAAUAAUUGUGAAGAUGAAUAUUAAUUAAAAUGCUUAUCACUUUCAAGAUUAGUCUCUAAUGUGAGAUCUAAAAUAAAUCUCCAAAGUCUCGUUCAUUUAUUUUACUUUUUCCCCACAAUUUUAACGGUACAGCAAUUUUUUUUUUUUUUAAAUAUAACAUAAACUUUCUCAUAUUAAAUUAUAAACAAUAAAAUAAUAGGUGUGUUUUGUGUCGAUGAUUCGAACAAAAAUAAUAAUAUGUGUCUCUUAAAUGAUAAGAUAACAGGUAUGAUUUGAGACGAUGUUUCGAACAAAAAAUACUAAUAUGUGUUUCUCUAAUCUAAAUUAAUAUUCAAUCUUCUAUUUUUAGUUUCUUGCUCGGAUGGCUUCCUUCAUUUAUCUUCUUUGCAUCCACCUUGUAAACUUCUUCGACAAUCAAUUUCUUCCAUGUUCUUUCUUCUCUUUUCUUCACAUCCAUCUUCACCAAGAAUUUGAACUCUAUCUUCCGACGAAAUUAGUUUUUUGUAAUAUUUACACAAUUCCUUUUUGUUGAUCUGAGAAGAAAAUACCAAUAUAUGUUUUUACAAAGAUGGGUUAGUCGCCUAAUUUUAGUUAGAAGCAAUAUAAUAUGUUGAAAACACAAAAUCUAAAUUAUAUUUUUACCUUUAAAAGAGCCUCAGCAUAUUCAAUCACAGUACUAACUAUGAAAGAUUCGGCGGCAUCAAAGAUUGUGAUGUAAACUUCUUGAUUACCAUCUGAAACUAUUAUCGUCAACAAAUACUUUCUAGUAAAUGCUAUGUCCUUAAUUUCACAUAUUGUACAUGUGACAGUUUUUUUAUCUUCCUAUGGGUAAACCAUUGCACCACACCCAUUACAUGUUUCAUACCAUGGAUUGUUCUUGUUUCGAACCUUUAGAAUCUUGCCUAUAAAAGCACAAUACAAUUUAGUCACACUAUUUGUAAUAAUAUCAUCUAAUUUUACGAUACCAACAUCCAUCAUCCUCUUUGUAGAUCCCAAUAGUUUGUACAAUCCUCCACCACAUAGCAGUUUUUUAGUGUUGUGUAAAAAAAAGGACAAAAUAAAUAAUCUUUCAGCUAUAUGACAGACUUAGUAGUAAUGUAAAUAUAAUCAUCAUGACUAAAUAAACCAUGCUCACCUAUAUUUAAUAGCAUUAGUUUCUUCAAGUUGUGGAUUGAUCUCAAUGAUACUAAUAUUUGAAGUGGAGAUGUUUAGUUCAUCUGUUUGAUAUAUGUUAGUUAGAACACAGCAUAUAAAAUAAUUACAAAGUAUCACCUUCACAGUAACUUGCUUUAGAUUGUUGAUUUUAGCAUAUGACUCUUUUUAAUAUGAUAAUAAAAUAAUUACAAAGUAUCACCUUCACAGUAACUUGCUUUAGAUUGUUGAUUUUAGCAUACGGCUCUUUUUAAUAUUUACAAAGUAUCACCUUCACAGUAACUUGCUUUAGAUUGUUGAUUUUAGCAUACGGCUCUUUUUAAUAUGAUAAUAAAAUAAUUACAAAGUAUCACCUUCACAGUAACUUGCUUUCACAUUCAAAGCUGUAAUAAAUAACAUUUCAUAAACAUUUUCUUCCAUAAACUUUCCUUGGUUGUCAGCCAAAUCUCCCCACAAAUAUAAUUUCAUUGUAUUACACCAGUACUAAGAACAAAACUGUUGAGUAAAUAAUAUUACAAAGUUUAUCUUCUUUUUAUUUGAUUAAAAAAAUUGUUUGAUUUUAUGGAUGAUGUUUACCCACUGUCUAGGAGAAUCACUUCCCAUUUCUUCAUUGUUCUUUCACUUGGCCUCUUAACGUUGAUGAUGAAUGCAGGUUUUACUUUGACUACCAAUCCUAUAAUAUCUGGAAACAAAAAGGAAAAAAAAUUCAGAAAGAAUAUAAUUACAAUCAUGAUAUCUCUGCUAGCAAAAUUUGGUACUUCAUUGAAUUGAAGAAAAAAAGUUUGAUAUCUUAUAGCAUAUGCGUUGUUGAAUCUCUUCUACUUUCGUUGUAGUUGUGAAAGACAAUUCGAUUUCAUCAUUCACAUUUCGGUACUUCCCAUUGACAGGUCUUACGUUUCCAUUUCAUCUAAUGUAAGACUUCCCCUUUUCAAUUAUAGCAUUGAGUUUUUGAACUGCAUCAUUGAAUAACAUGGCUUGAAUUUUUUAUCACUAUAGAGAAAUCACUAGUUACUUCUAAUAUACAUGAUUGAAUAAACUCAAACAUGAAUAUACCGCAUAAUCAUUACUCCAUUACCAUCAAAACUAACUUCAAAUAAUCUAGCGUAGCAUAAAUAUUCGGUACAUAUCAAGAGCAAAUAUUUAUUCACUACAAUCUAAGAUGUCAGAUUGGUACCAGAACCAAAGUCAUCAAAUUAGUAAAAUAAAAGUUUUUUUUUCCCUUUUUUUCCUUCCUCUGAUCUCCGCAUCAUCUGAAAUUCUCACUAUCAAUUUUACUAUACAAAUAUAAAAGUAAAAAACAUAAGAUCCUAUAAGAUAAAUUAAAGUAUUCAUGAUAAAGCUAAAGAACAUAAUAUCCUAUAAGAUAAAUUAAAGUAUUCAUGAUAAAGCUAAAGAACAUAAUAUCCUAGAAGAUAAAUUAAAGUAUUCAUGAUAAAGCUAAAGACUUUUAGAAACACGUAAAGAUAUGCAGGAAAUGAAAUAUUUAUGCCAUGUCAGUAUUUGAAUCUCGAAGAUGAAUUCAGAAUUAUUAAAUAUAAGGGUCAUCGUAGUAGAUAUAUCACCUCCUUGUCAAUUAGGAUGAUCUUCAAAAGAUCAAAUUUUCCAAUAUUGUUGGAAUAAGAUUCGACUAAACCCUUUCAAACUACCGUCACUUUAAUGGACCAUUCAUUUUCAUACACCAAUAAAUGUCUUAUAGCCUUUGAUUCCAUGAUGGGGGAGAGCAAAAUAUUUGAUGAUUUGAUUGAAAUAUAGCAACAACCAAUUUGUGAAAAUAAUUUUAAUAGUUGAGAGAUUAGUUUAUUUAUGUCUAAUACUCAUGAUAACAAUCAAAUUCAUUCAUGAAUAUGAAAUCUAAUUAAUUUCAAAUGAUGCUGCUAUGACUGGCACAUAUUAUACAAUGUAUGAUUAUCACUUUAUGUGUGCAUGCAUGCAUUUAGGUAAAUGUAUUCAACAUAUAAUUACCACUAUAUGUGUCCAUGCACGCAUUUACGUAGACGCUCUAGUAAGAAUUGGAUAUACAAUGUAUAAUUAUCACUUUAUCUUUCAAUUUCUAAAUCUUUAACUGAGUGUCAUAGGACUCCUUGGCUUCUGAAAUCAUCAACCUAGCAACCUUGAAUUUAUCCUUGACCUCCUUUUCAAAUAGCCUCAACACGUCAUCAUAAUUAUUAUACAUGCAUGUAAAUAAAUAAUUGAAUCGUAAUAGGGCAUGUAAGUAGUAGUGCUAGAAUUGUCUAAAAAAUAAUUCUCCCUUCAUGUGAUAUUUAGUAUAUUAUAGAUUUUUGUCCCCAACAACUUGCAUAAUAGUUAUGUAGGGAAUCAUCAAUUUUGCUAAAUCAAUUAUAUGAUUUACUUUUGUUUCAGUUGAGAAGAAAACCGGGAAAUUUUUCUUUCAGGUGAAAAGAAAAAUCAAAUAGAAAAUAUUUCGUUUACGUAGAAGAAAUAAAUGGGGAUAAUUUCUUACCGUACUUGUUGGUCCCAAUUGAUCUUUCAACAAUUAAUUUUAACCACAAAUUUCAUAAGAUCCACAAUUUUUUCAACCACAUUUCAUCAAUUUUUAUCAACAUCUACUAAAAUACACCAAACAAGGGCUUAGUUCGUUCGUAAUAUUAUUGUCCAAUGAGAAAAAGUUCUUCAACAAUUUGACGUGUAAAUCGACAUUGAAUACAUGUAAUACAACCGACAGCACAUUAUAAGUAUGUUACAUUGUCGAUAUAAAAAUCAUCAACCAAGUUAAAAUUGUAUGUUAUUUCGGUAAUAAGUACCAAAACAAGGCAAGGUGUUCGCAGAGCAUAGAAUUUAGUUAAAUGGAACAUCAAAUCACCUACAUUUUUCUUGCCCAAAAGGAAACAAUGCGCUUGUAAAUAAUUUACAGACCUUUCACAAUUAACCAUAUAAGCUAUGCGUUGACUAUUUUAGCUUUACACAUUCUCUUUCUUUCCGGUCUAUUCUUGCUUUCAAAAGUAAAACGUAAUAUCUGCGAGAAAUACAAAAUUGCAGAUUUAUAGGGUAAAAAUCAAAAGAAUGUCUCUUAACUCCCACUAGACGGCCUACUGCAGCAUAUACUCGCUCGCUGAUGCACUGCAACUUGUAUAGGACAAGUUCAAAUCCGAUCCCUACAGAAGAUAGCUUUUAGAAGCCCAAUGCUUAAACUCACGCGAUGAACUCACCAUUGAAGAUGCAAAGAGAUAAGAAGAACAUCACUUUCGCUUAUUACUCAAGGUAAGUUACUGGGUUUAAAACAAAUUCACAACGAGUGAAGAUGAAGCUGAAUCCAUGAGUAGUAGUAGUAGUACAAUAUGAGAAGUUUCAUACUUCUUGACAUUUUAUUUCAAGCUCCACUGGUACAUUUUUUAGCACGGGACACGUAUCCGAAUUGAUAUCAUAUAAAAUCCUCAAAAGCUUAAAAUUAUUGGGCAGAUUAGCUCUUUCACAACUCAUAAUGUCUCAAAUUUGUAUGUUUACGAGAAUUGAUAAAUACCCUUUGAUGUAUCAGUGUUGGUUAUUCACCGUCUGUUUCUAUGGCAUGUAACAAUCAAAUAAUUAUAAUAACUAUUGAGUCUUUUUCACAAAACAAGGGAUAGUUAAAGAUUGGAGAACUUUUCUAUCAUUGUCCAUAAAUUAAGGAUAUCAAACCAAUUAUAUGCUCCUAUAAAACAAAACAAAACCAAAAAAAAAAAAAAGAGAGUAAGUAAUGUUCUCUUCUCUUUACACUAAUAGCAGUACAGGACUCGUGAUUGUCUUCCUGAUCAUUCGGCAUCAAGAUGAUGGAAUUCAAUUAUAGCACCGGAGUUUACCAACCCCAGGAUAAAUUAAAUAAGUUGUUAGAAUUCCAACAAGAGAUAGGAGUUGCAUCAACUUUGGAAGAAAUUAUGUACAAUCGAGAUAACUAUGCAACGUGUGCAUGCCACCACGAGUGAUGCUUAAUGAAAAGCUGCAGGAGUACAAUUUGAAUUUAGAUGGCCUACAAAGAAACAGCUGCAGGGCUUCCAUCCAAACAAGCAAAUUUAGUCUUGAGGGUUUUAAGAUACAAGCAUUAUUUUGCAACCACCUAUUUAUGUUUAAAUAAAUAGUGUAUUUGACAAUUACUCUCCCUGUCCCAUGCUAUUCUUCUAGAUCACUAUUUCAAUUUUUCCUAAAAGUUAUUUUGGUUACUAAAUUGAGAUUCUAGAUUCUGAUUAUACACCUUGUCAUGUUAUAGUGGGAUAAGGCUUAACUGAAGAUAAGAAAUAAACUACCCACUGCAAUAUUAAAUGGAAGUUCAACUUGGGGCAGACUUGAAUCGUCAAAAUUGACUUCUCUUCAGAAUUUGACCACUUCUACGCUCAUAUACUUAGACCCACUCAUACACAAGCUAAGGUUAAUAGGGGUAAAAGAUUUCAUGCAAUCAGAUUUCAUAACUUUUGACAGCACAAGAGGGCCAAUAAAUAAUUUAAUAAGCAUAAUUCUAAGACCACAUAUGUAUAGUGAUAAAAAAUUACUUAAAAGCUAUUUAUUAUACUUAAAAGCUAAACCUGACUAGUCAGAAAUAUUGAGUAAAUUUGUAAUAGUUCAACCUACGAGUUUGUAUAGGUCAUUUAACUCUUUUCUCUUGACAUAUUUGCCCUCAACCUUAAGUUUGAAGAACUUCUAGAAGCAUGGUGUCUUCAUCCUAUCAAACUUUUUAGCUCCGUAAUCGGCAAUCUGAAGCAAGUAAAUGAUUUUCAUCUAUUUGACCUUUGCAAUAAUAUAUGCGACUAUUUGUUAAAAGAGGUCAUUACCUAAUUUUGGAACCGCCGAAGAGCAAAUUUGAUAGAUAAUAUUAAAUAGUAUAGCAUACCAAUUUAUUUUUUUAUUUUUUAUUUUUAUUUUCAAUAUUAAUAAUUACUCUACUGAAUAGGCGAAUACGGUCAUUGCUUCCAAACAAUUCAUAAUUCUUCACCCAUUUAUAUGGAGGAAAGAUCGAAUCAUAAAAUCAUGAUUUUAUAACCAUGGCCAAAAAGUGAUCUACUAUUGUAACUUGAGGGGAUGAUACUUACAACCCUAAUUCUUAGCUAGAUUUAGGAUGUAAAGUGGGACGAGCAAAGCUAGAUUUUUCACGUGUGAGUCACUCGUCGGCUCUAACAAGAGCCGGGAAACAAAACAUUAAAACUGUGCAAGCAUUAACAUUCCUAGCUAGAUUCCAGUUCUCUAUAGGAUGAAGGAUGGGCCCUUUUUCGCUUCUUCAUGCUUUUCAUAAUUAUCUAUGUAUUGAACUUUAAUGAUUUAUAAUUAUAGCAUUUAUUAAAUGUAUAUAACUAUUUGUGAUAUAACAUGAUUUCUUUUAUUGCAAAUAGAAAUCACCACAAACUCCAAAAGCUCAAUUAAUUAAAGAUCUAGUACAUGAAUAUUUUUUUUGCUUUUUGUUAGAUUAACUACUAUUUAUACCUUGAACUGCACAAAUCUUUUUCACUAGAUUUAAUUUGACUGAUCUCUAUAUGGCAGCCUUAAAAUGAACAAGUUGAUUCAUACCACGGCUUAUUUCGCCAUGCUCUUGAGAUUUUUUUUUUUAUUUAUCACUUAAAAUCAUUGAAAAGCACAAAAAUUACAAAAAAUCUACCCUAUACAAGCUCAAAUAACAUGUGGUCGCACUUCUUGAUUGCGCCAAUCAACUGUGGUAGAAGCACCAUCCCCUAUCCCUGAAAAUAUGCAUCGUACAACUUAUUAUUCCUUUGAGUAUCGUAGCUCGUUAUUUCACCAUCAAUAAUCUUCAGUCCAGUCAUGAUGGCAAAACCCAAGUAUAGAGAAAUUAAUGACCUUGCCUUCGAGGUCGAAGUAGAGUGCAUCGCCAUUGACUUACCUAAGCAGUUGACAUAGUAAUGCAUCAAUGAUAUGUCUAGAAUACUUCACCUUUCUCAACUGAUACAGGGGCCACAUGAAGGACUUGCGCAGUAUAUCUCCAUGCUGGGUUAUCGAGCAACUCCAAUAUAGUAAUAAAACUGUCAAAAAUACUGUUUCAAGUACAUUUACCUGCCAUUUGUCUCAACUUAGCAUCGAGAUGGUACUCCAUCCUAAAAAAAUUCAAAUGUUAGAACAUUUUGAUAGAAAUAAUGGAAUAAAGCAUAAUUUUAGAAAUUUAAACGAACUGAAUUUUAACUAUUGUAAUCAAGAAAUAGAUUCAUUUUACAUCGAUACUAAUAAAAAAAGAAAUGAUUUAAUAAAUUAAAGGGGAAAAAAUAAGAAUUACAGAUAAAAAUAAAAAAAUUAAGUGAAUUAAAUAUACAAAAAAUUUAAAAUUAAAGAAAUAAAUAACAAAAAUAAUAAAAAUUAAAGAUCUAAUAUUAAAAAGUUGAAUGGAAAAAAAAAUUAAAUUAUGACAAAUAGAAAACAAUUAAGAAAUUUUUUUAAAAAAGAAGAAAAUAAUAAUAAAUUACAUUAAAUAAAAAUUAAAGACCAACAUAGAAAAGGAAAAAUAAAUUAAACAAAUUUUUAAAAUAUAAAAAUUAAAGCAUGAGUAUUAAAAAAAUCAAAAUGAAAAAAAAAUUAUAUAAAGAAGAAAAAAAUUAAGAAAUUUAAAAAUUAUUACAAAAAAAUUAAAUGAAAGGAAAUUAUAAAAUUAUAUAAAGGAUAUAAAUAUUAUUUAUUUAAAAUCGAAAAAUUAAACUUUAUCAUAAAGAAAAGAAUUAAAAAAUAUUCAAUUGAAAAAUAUUUAUUUAUAAUAUGAAGCAAACAAUUAAGAAAUUUUAAAACUAUUACCAAAAAUGUAAUAAUAAAACAAAAAAAAUAGACAAAAAGAAAUUAUAAAAAUUAAAUAAAGAAUAUGAAUAUUAUUUAAAAUUAAAUUAUCAUAAAGACAAAAAUACUAAUAAACAAUAAAAAAUCAAGAAAAAAAUAAAAAUUGGCCCAAAAAAAUUGGGUUUGCCCAAUUGAAUAUUAAACAAUCGGGUUCGACGAUUGUUAACAGUCGCUUUUUCCAUUUUUAGCCAAAAAUGAGGGGAUCACUGCCCCCCAAAAAAUCACUUAAAUCUAGUCUACACUCAAGCAUCUAUCUAAAUACUAAACAAUAAACUAAAUAGAUGUUAAAUUUAAUCUUUACUAUAUAUGAAAAAUCAAUUUCAUAAUCACAAAACUACCAUUGUUGAAGAUAACUUUGCUCAAUGACUGGGUUGUGUGGUAGCCGAAGCUGGGUUGACUGUGAGGAUGGUGUGUUCAACUGGAUCCCAAUUUAGUUUUUUCUUUUCCCUCCCUACUGUUUGCACAAGAUGAAGUGAGGGUAUUUUUUUGUUUUUGAUCUUUCACCUCAUAAUUUAACUUUUUACUCUUUUUUUAAUGGUCAAAGGCUUUAUUAGAAAUAUGCCUAGGUCAACCAGACAUUUCCAUGUAUUUCCUCGAUUAUAGUAUCACCACAAUAAAUGUUUGGUACACCACAAAAUUUCUUAUCUAUUUAAAUAAUUUUUGAGUAAAGUGACAUAAAUAUCAUAUAUUAUUAGCUUAUAUAUUCAUUCAUUCUGGUUAGGAGUAUGACUCAAAUAGGAGUCUUUUGAAAAGGCAUAUUCGAUUUGGACUAGGAGAAUAUUAACUUAGGGCUUAAUGAAACAAAAUCCUGUUGAAAUUGGGUCUCCUAAUAGUAAUGUAUUUUCUUGUCUUUUACGACUUUUCUAGGAUUGGCCUAUAAAUACGAGGCUCCUUUGGUCAAUUUCUAGAGAGUAACAUAGAAGCAGUAUGCUAUUCUAUCUUGUAUUCUCCAUACUAUUAAAUUAAUAAACAUCGUUCCUCUGUGUUUACCCCUUGUUUUCUUUUUUUACAAAUUCAAUCUUAUGUUUUCGUGGUACGAUCUAGUAUACUUCAAUAUUGUCAUUAAAUCUCGUUCUUUAAAAUUCGAUUUGGAAUCAAUGUGUGUUAUUGGAGCUUUCGCGCCCAAUAGGUGGCAUCAAAGCGAGGUUGUUGAUUUUCUGUGGAUUGGUUGAGAUUCUUUCAAGAUGGCUGGGUUGAAGUAUGAUGUUCCGUAGAUAGAUCGCAAUACAAGGUUCUCGUUGUGGCAAGUAAAGAUGAGGACUAUUUUGACAUAGUUGGAUUUGGAUGAUGCGUUGCUGGGUAUUGAGAGGAUGCCGGCUGGUUGGACAACGGAGGAGAAACAAUGAAAGGAUCGAAAGGCUAUUUCAUUGAUUCAUCUUCAUCUGUCCAACAAUAUUCUGCAUGAUGUCUUGAAGGAGAAAACAGCGGCUGCUUUGUGGUUGAAAUUGGAACAGUUGUGUAUGAUUAAGAGUCUUAUAAGUAAACUAGCUCUCAAUCAAAAGCUGCAUUCACAUCGCAUGGCAGAAGAAGGGUCGUUGGAAGACCAUGUUGCCAUGUUCAAGGAAAUAGUUGCAGAUCUGGAGACGUUGGAGGUUAAGUACGAUGAAGAGGAUCUUGCCUUGAUCCUGUUGUGUUCGCUGCCUGGAUCUUACGCGUCAUUUCGGGAUAUUAUCAUAUAUAGUCGAGAUACUUUAACUAUAGAAGAUGUCUAUGAUGCUUGGCACUCAAAGGAGAAAAUGAAGUAUUUGGUUGAAACUACAUCAAGGGAUGGGGAAGCUAUUGUAUCUUAAGGUGGUCGACAAAGAUGCAGAUCGAGAGUUAGAUUUAACAAUGUGACCUACUACUACUGCAAAAGGAAGGGACAUAGUCGGAAGGAUUGCGAUAUGUUGCAGGCUAAAGGUGAUUUAACUGUAAAUCGUGGGGUGCAACCUUUGAAUUCAGAUGAAACCAAUGUAGUUGAGAAUUGAUCAGGUAAUGAAGAGGUGAUGUUGAUCGUGGUAUCUGAUGUGGAGUCUAGGCCUAACGAGGAAUGGAUUCUUGAUUCAGCAUGUUCGCACCAUAUGUGUUCCGAUAGGAAUUUAUUUCAAAAACAUGAAAAACAUGAGGUUGUUCAGCAAUGUGGGGUUGUAAUGGGAAACAACCAAUUUUGUCGUAUUGCUUGGAUCAGUGAAGUCAGAUUGAAGCUGCAGGUUGGAACAUUUAGAACAAUUGAUCAAGUUCCACAUGUUCCUGACCUGAAAAGGAAUCUCAUUUCGUUAAGUACCUUGGAUGCAAAAGGGUAUAAAUUCUCUGGAAGAGGUGGAGUCUUGAAGGUCCGAAAGGGAAUCCGAGUUGUACUAGAGGGAUGAAAAAAAAUCCCAAUUGUACAUUUUGUAGGGGAGUACAGAACCAGUUAAGAGGAGACAUUUGGACAAGUUUAGUACCGUGGUGAAAGUUCAGUUUUGGUACAGUACUUCUUGUGUUAGGCCCUGAGUCGAUUCAGAAUAUUGCUAGGGAGAGCGUUGGUGAUUCCGCUUUGCCACCAAUUUCAGCAAAUAUACUGUGUUCAGUUACUGGGGUAGGACUCAUCAAGCAUAGGUAUUGUGGUGUUAGUAAUGUCUGGGAUGCUUCUAGAGACGUUGAAGGCGACAGUUCCAGCAAGGGCCCUUUUAAUCAAGUAUCUGGUUUGGUUCUUGCUACAGGGCAUGGUUCGGCCCUUUGUGAUCAGCAUUAAUUCCUUGGUGGAAUUGGAAACCCUAGGGAUUGGGUUCGAGUGUCGAUUGUGGACGCCAGGCAGAGGAUGAGUGUUUAGUUUAUAUGGAGUGGUUACUGUGUUGAGGAGAUUCGGCCAGUUAAUUUCGAUGCAGAUGAAUUUGAAAUCUAGAAGUUUCGUUCGUAGCACCGAAAUUUAAGUCAAGAUGGAGAUUGUUAGGAGUAUGACUCAAAUAGUAGUCUUUUGAAGAGGCGUAUUUGACUUGGACUAGGAAAAUAUUAACCUAGGGUUUAAGGAAACUAAGUUGAAUAAGGAAACAAAAUCCUAUUGAAAUUGGGUCUCCUAAUUAUAAUAUAUUUUCUUGUCUUUUAGGACUCUUCUAAAGUUGGCCUAUAAAUACGAGGCUCCUCUGGUUAGUUUGUAGAGAGUAACAUAGAAGCAGUAUUGUUAGUCCGUCUUGUAUUCUCCAUACUGUUGAAUUAAUAAACAUUGUUCCUCUACGUUUAACUUUUGUGUUCUUUCUUUAUAAAUUCAAUCUUGUGUUUUCGUGGUGUGAUAUAGUAUACUUAAAUAUUGUCAUUAAAUCUCAUUCUUUAUAAUUCGAUUUGGAAUCAACGUGUGUUAUUGGAGCUUCCGCGUCCAACAAUUCUCAGGUUUGCUUUGAUGCAACAACAGGAACAAGUGAUGUUGAUAAAUGAAUUGAAGGAGAAAAGGAUACAUUUGUUCCAUAGAAAUAAAAGGAGUACAGGCACAUUUUUAUAUACAAGAAAUUACAUAACUAAUUUACAUGAAAAUAUUUAACUGAACAAACUCCGUUAGUGAUAUCUAUUUUUUUGUUCGGAUUUGAUUCACAUAUUUCAAUAAGAAGUAACCUUUUUUUAUUAAAUGAGCAAGUAGUAACUUAGAAUAAAAUUUGGUGGGCAAUUAUUAAUUAACUCUAAAACAUACAUAAUUCUAAAAUACGUAAAGAAACAAUCGAUAAUUCUAAAAUACGUAAGGGAACAAUCGAUAGAGAAUAUGAACUUGCAUGGUGAAAAACCUAAAAGAAAAACCGGAAUUGGUAUUGGCUUUUGUGAAUUCAGAGGGCUUUUCUCUUCUUAAAUUGUGAGAGAGAGGGGAGAGAAUAUAAGAAACGUAAGCUAAAAGUGAGUCAACUUUUUGGAAAGCUUAGAAUGCGUUUGAUUUGCUAUUUUUAGUUUUUAAUUUUGUAAUACAUUUGGUAUAUCUGAAAAUACAAUUUUGAAAAUAAGGACAAAAUUAUAACAUAAAAUUCAAAACACAUUUUCCAUGUUUUGUCUGUUUUCAGUGAAAAUUAAAAGAUAUAAAAUUCUAACAAAUAAAAUUUUAUAUUUUAAAAAAUAUAAAAUAAAUAAUUUCUAAAAUUUAAAGUUAAAAGUUGAAAAAUAAAAUUGAAAAAAAUAAUUUUUUUUAAGCACUUAAUGAUUAUUUACAUAAAAAUUAAAAAAAAUUAAGUGAACACAUAUAAAAAUAUUCUUAGUCUACAUCAUUAAUCUUUAUUUUUAUUUUCUAUAUGUUAAAAUCAAUUUAUUAUUUAUUUUUAUUUUACUAUUAUAGCGAGACAAAACAUUGUAAGAUUCACCAACUUUAAAAUGUAUAUGUUACAUGAUAAUAAAAUGUCAUAAAUAAUUUUUCAAAAUUCAAAUCAAAUGUGUUUCUAGUUUUUUAUUUUGAAAAUUAAUUUUUCAAAAUGACAAACCAAAUGCGGUUUUAGUAAUUUUAAAAUAGACCCUCAAAACAAAUAACAGAAAAAUGAACUCAAAACUAAAAUACAAACCACUCUCAUGGAUGCAAAUUAUUCCUACGUUAUAUAAUUUUUUGUUAUUUCCCUUUUCUUCUUUGUUUGGCUAAGCUAAAAAAUUUUUAAAAAUUAAAUAAAAAUAAACGGAGGGUAAAAAAUAUUUUAAGCAAUAAUAUUAUAAAAGUUAUUUUAUCCUUGAGUAAAAAGAUCGAAGGCCUAUUCUUAGUUUAACCGUUCCAUCAAAAUCAUAAAAUCCACCACUUAUCGGCCUAUAUGCUCGAUCAACUCGAUGCAGCUGGGAUGUUUACCCCCAUACAAUCCAUCAGACUGACAAUUUUUUUCUUUCACUUUAUUUUGCUUACCCACACUAGAUUUAUAAAAUUAAUUAUAGGGUUACAAUAUGAAACAGUGCCAUUCCUCGUCCAUAAAGAGAUAUUUACAGAAUAUGAAUAUAAAUAAUUGUAUUUCUAUUUAGUUGAUAAUAGGGUUAACAUAUAUACAAAUGACAUUGUUAUUAAAGAUGCUAUAAUAUUGUCCAAAACUUCGUCCUUGCUCCUUUAUUUCCUUGUAAAUGCAGUCAUUUUUGCCAUUGGUUUUUAACAUAAAACAUUUUAUUUAAAGAUUACCAUAUGAGCUAAAUAGACGAUAUUUAAAAGCAUGUCCAUUGUAGGAUGACGUCCCACAAAAAAAUGGACAAUGUCUAGGUAAUGAUCUAGAUGCAGAGGCUUUGUUAAACAUUCUCGCUCAGCAAUUUAAUUGAUUAUGUUUCUCAUUUUAUUUUUUUUUAUAUAUAUCACAAUUUCUUUCCCUUUCACUCUAUUUUAUUAUUUGUAUUUUAAUGUUGAUAAAGGACAUUAUAUAUGCUAAAAUAUUGAAAUAUAGAUGAAACUCAUUAGAGAACAAUUAUAAACUUGAUGUCUAUUGUUAGAUAUCAAUUUCAAUUUUCAUAUCUACUAAAAAUCCAUAUAUUCAAAUGUCACAUGGGUCGCAAAUCACGAAAUGCAUUUAAGAUGCCAGAGUCAGUUCCAGUUGUCUCAAAUGGCUGAUGAGAUCCAGUAACUUAUUUUAACUUUAAAAUCAACUCAAUUAAUAGAGAAUAAUUAAAAAGGAGAAAGUAAACUGUAUAGAAGAUACGAUUAAAUAAUGAAAUACCUAAGCAUUAAUAUUUUUGUUCAUUUCUAGAACUGAAAAAUAAAAUAAAAUAUGGGAAAUCAACUCCUAGGCAAUAAUUAAAGACAGGUUAUAUUACCACCACAGUAAAUGGUACACCACAUUUUUCUUAUUUAUUUAAAUAAUAAUGAGUAAAAUAACAUAAAUAUUAUAUAUUAUUAGCUUAUAUAUUUAUUCAUUCCAUCACCAUCAUCCAUACACAUUGCAUUUUCAUUAUAAUAUACUAACGAUUAAUAGAUAUUAUUUUGCAAACAAUCUAAUGUAGUGUAUUUAGAUUACCUGUAAAUCUCAUUAGAAAUCUACAAAUAGGCUAGCUAAAACUUUGUUCAAACUUAAUUCAUUUUACUUAUAGUCAAUUGAUAUGGAAAGUUUCCUCAGCAAAAUUAUUUGAAUAUGAGUUUGCGUUCAACUUGUUCAAUUCAAACUCAUUCAAUAAGUCGUUAAUUUAUGAAACAAUUGAAAUCCGUAGUGAACACUGAAAUCCAAUCAAACUUUAAAUGACAAAUGAAAAAUUGAUGAAAAAGAAGCUGAACCUUUCCAGAUAAAACUCUACUUUCCAAAGAGUUCCAGUUGACUCAAUAACUCUUUAUAAAAUUGAUUAUUUUCUGCCAUAUACAUGUUCCUUAACAGAUUAAAAUUCAAACUAUAUGAACAUAAAUUUAUUUAAGCAACUAAAUUAAUUAUUUUUAUGCCAUAAUUAUAAUUCCACCUCAAGAUGGAUAUGAAGCUAACAAGGGCGCGGGUAUGCACGAAGAAUUCCUCCAUGCUCUUGCAUGCAAUUUAAGAAUUUCUCUGGCUCUCUCCUUUGUCUUUGAUCCUCGAUCAAAAACUUCCAGUACCAGGCACAAUUUUGCCACUGCUCCAAUCUGCAACAUUUCUUGUAAAACUCCAGGAGUUACUGAGAACUUCGAUAUCGAAUGUAGAAUUCUUAUUCCGCUCUCAUUUGCUGUAGAUGAAACCCUAAGAAUCGUCUUCGAAACAAUGGCUAAUCCUGCACUGUGAUUCAACAGUUCCGCUCUUCCCUCAGCGCAUUUGCAUAGCAAAUUCAGCGCCAUAAGCAUCAAUUCGGAAGCCCUUUUGUCAGAAGAAUCGAGUAAAAGGUGAAUCAACAAGGGCACUGCUCCAGCUUCCACUGCUUUAAUCCUGUUUUUUUCCCAUGGACAUACCUUGAUAAGAACUUUCAGUGUGACUUUUGAGACCUUCCGAGAGAUUUGAUCGUUCAAGAUAUCUACUAAUUCGUG
rnacentral:lncRNA from 1 species